rnacentral:lncRNA from 1 species
AUCUCUGCAGGGUCUCGAUUUAUUGGUUGGUCCUGCCGCUUCAAAAUGAUUCAGGGGAUAGCCCAGGGGCUACAUUACCUACAUGAGCAACGUGUCGUCCAUAGGGAUAUCAAACCAGACAACAUCCUCUUCGAUUCUGAUAUGAAUCCUCGGAUCAGUGAUUUUGGCGUAGCUCAAAAGUUGAUCAAUAAACUUAACUGCGAGGAAACCUUGGUUGGCACACCGUAAGACGUUGCUCCAAUAUAUAAAUACUAUUUCCAUUUCCUGAUUAACUAUAUAUCGUGAGCCCAUACGUGCAUGAAGCUCUUUUCUUUAACUACUUCAAUUUUUACCUCUGAGAUCAUUAUUCAUUUUUAUUUUAUUUAAUCACCCAGGGGUUACAUGGCUCCAGAAUACCUGUACCGAGGAGCUGUGUCAACGAAGUGCGAUGUGUAUGCUUUUGGCAUCACCCUCCUUGGGACCAUUAUUGGCAGUAUGAUCAUGUCUGCGCCCCCUAAUCUAAGCGAAUUAAUUAUAUGGGUAAGUACCUGGUAAUAAUACUUUUUUUACAUUACAAAAGCAGUUGGGACUAAAAUUUAGCUGUUAUGGAUCCAAACAUGAUCCAGCUAAAGAUUAGGUAGCUAAAGAUUUUUUUUUAGCUAGUUGAACCUAACUAAACUAGUUAAAGAUAAAAUUGUCCCACCACCUUCCUCAAGAAAAGUUUCUAAAAUGGAAGGGAAGGGUAGGAUAGACAACUACCUCUUCAACUUAGCUAGUGGAUCCAACACUACUAGCUAAACUUCAGGUAGUGUUGGAUCCACUAGCUAAAUUUUGUUGAGUGCAUCCAAACAUGACCUAAUUUAUGUUCUUACUUUCCAGGCUUUCGAAGCUCGGGAUGAUGUACGGAUGGAGUUGUUUAAACCGUCAUUGUGUUGUUGCGAGUGUCAGCUAAUGCAGAUCAAGAAGUGCAUGGAGGUUGGGCUCCUGUGUGUUGAGAAAGACGAAGAACGUAGGCCCACCAUGGCGGAUGUGCUUGCGAUGCUAAAUGGUGUGAAAGAGUUGCCAGCUCUAAAGCGGCCAUGUGGCAUAAGAAACUUCGAGUAGGACGGAAGCGGUCCAGCAACCUUAUUUGUCCGGAUUGCUUGUGGCUUUAAUUGUCCCUAAACGUGUGCCUCUAAUGAUUUGGCUUGACCGCUUGAAUUACUUUUUACUCCUCUUCUCACGUGUAUUGAAAAAGAAGGCCGAAGGCGUAAUAGGCUCUUCAGCGAGUUGUGCGCUGCCAGCGUACGGCGUGGACGAGACACAUCGGCAAGCUGGCAGCUAGCGCGAGGAUAUCGAAAGCACUCUAGGGUCACUCUAGGUCAUGUUUAGUUACUCCCAACUCCCAACUUUAACACUAUGCAAAAAGAAGAUUCCCCAUCACAUCAAACUUGCAGUACAUACAUGGAGUACUAAAUGUAGACGAAAUUAAAAACUAAUUGCACAGUUUUGUUGUACUUUGCGAGACGAAUCUUUUGAGCCUAAUUAGUCAAUAUUUGGACAAUAAUUCACAAAUACAAACGAAACGCUACAGUGUGCUACAGUGCUAGCACAGUAAUUUUGCAUCUCCUAAUUUGACCAACUAAACAAGGCCUCGAACUAUCAGCUGAAUCACGUCACUAUGGGCCUCUUAAUAAAUGGGUAAGUGAACGUCUUCGAGUAGAGCGCAAGUUCACAUGAAACAUCUCACAGUAUUCUUAGUUCAUCAUCUAAUCAGUAGUAGCUUCUUUCAGGCGUGGGACUUAUGUGCAGCAGGAGAGCUGCUGGAGUUCUGCGAAAAGGCGAGAGGAGCCGUGAGAAACAUCUCACAGUAUUCUAGAGAAAUUAUAACAAAUUUUUAUUAACUUGCAAAUGAUGAAAUGAUGAAAAUUAGGGUGUUACAAGGAGCCGCGAUGGUGUUCGGAGAAAUGCCGCACCGGAGUGCCCGGCUGGCUGGGGGCCAGAUACUCUGUUUUAAAAAAAAAAAUAGAGGCAAGAUACUCUGUUUCCAUGCAUCAUCUGUCAUCAUGCAGUCUUCUGCCGUAUUUACUUCGGUCACCUUCUUGGAUUUGGUCCAACGCGGUUUCCUUGGAAGUCCACGCCCACCCCCGUCCUGUCAAUUUCCUGGAGUUGAGCUUCCACACGUUUCCUUGGAGUUAUCUCUAUCGGCUUUCUUCCUGGAACUUUCGUUCCACGCGGCUAGGUAGCUUGCAGUAAUGCAAGAUGGUGUUGGGGGCCAGUGGAAUUUGGGCAAUAACUUGAACCACCAGAGCUUCAUUCCUAGCAACACCAAGAAAUCAAAGUCUCAAACACUGCCAGUAUCAACUCUGUCUCGUGGUGCCUGUCUGGAUAGCCCGAGUUCUACAUAGGUCAGGUGGUACUGAGAAAGGUAAGAGUUUUACUAAUGUGAAGAGCUCUAGAAAAUUGCUUUUCAUCUUUGCAUAAGCUGGAUAUUAGUCAUGUUUAUUGUGUACACAGGCACGCAGGGACUGCGACAAAGAUGGUGGUAUGGAAUGGUCUGGGGCAGGCUGCCACCCUCGCUCAGCUGGCUGGAGUUGAUGCUGGUGGGCUCAUCUCGAUGAUCAUCCACUCUGCGCAAACCGUUAAACAGAACAAGGAGGAGUGCCGGCAGCUUGUGCAAGACGUCAUGGUGAUCAGUGCUCUCGUGCAGGAGUUCCAGCGACUACACAGAUGAUGCGAUUCCCGGUGAUCAGGGCAGUACUUGGCGGAUUGCAGGAUACCCUUCGGCAGGUCCACGAGCUAGUCACGUCGAGCCAGAAGAGAAACAUCAUGUACAGCUUCUGCAUGGCUGGAAAUCAGGCUCAAAAGUUCCGUGAUGUCCGGGAUAGAAUCAAAUUGUAUCUCGAGCUCUACCCUAUGAUUAGCCACAUCCACAUCACAUACCUCUCAUGUGGACUUUACAGUCGCCUCGAUCCUUCAGGCAACCAACCCCAGGUAUACAUGUUAAAUAAGUUGGAUAAUAGCUUAUUUUCUGUAUUAUUGCUCUUAUGGUUCUGGCUCCUCGCUUACUGAAGCUGUGAGUGCCUGAAGGACCAAUUUCUGGCACAUGCCAACCAUAGGUUUCAUAUCUAGGAAAGAGUUUAACAGAAUCUCUGGGUUUUAUUUAAGUGAAUGCUUAUUGAAGGGAUUUUAUUAAAUUAUGGAAGGAUCAUUUUUAGAUUUGUUUGUCAUUUUCCCCCUCCUAUGAGAUUUAUGUUGCAAUUUUCAAGCAAUAAAUGAGAUUGAAACAUUAUGUGACCAGAACUAGGUUGGCAUGAAAUUUUGUUCUUUGUAAAGGGAAAACAAUGUCUUAUAAAGUUGUUACCUCUUGUUUUUCAAAAUCAAUUAAUACAUAUGGGGUACAUGACCAUAUCAAUUUUACAGAUUUUUUUUAUUUGUGAUCAAUAUAUGUACGGGAAUGUCAAAAUAUUCAUUAUGAAUAAAUGCAUUUUUGCUUGAAGCUAGACCAAGCAAUAUUCUGUUUAUCCUAGCUCAUACUACCACAUUUAUUGACACAAUUACAACCAACUCCUGGUUAUUCAACAUUAUUAUUCUAAAAUUCUAAGUUGCUUUGUCAUUUUCAGGCUUUGGAAGAGGUGCUGGAGUCAUUUGCAAGUCAUCCCAACCCUGAUUCUACGUACAGUGUUUAAAUUAUCCAGUUUUCUCCUUUAUAUGUUGUGAUCAUAUCUCAUGUUUGUUUUGAGUUUUCACUCAUACAAAAAGCAUUUGUUUUCUAUGCAUGGAAAUGACAGGUCUGCCGUCAACAGCGAGAUAACAAUUUCUGCAACAGGAAGCGGGGUGCCCUGCGCUCCCCUAUCGGGUAAUAUGACAAUCUCUAUUAUAUGGACCAUUUAAAAAAAAUUGACCAUCAAUAUGUUUAAAACUAUCUGCAAUGGUCAUAAGAAAGAUGUAUCACUAGACCCGUCGUUACAAGGCAUUCAUCUAUCAAAGUUUAACUAAGCAGGAAUCUGAGCUCAAACAGUACAUGAUCAGAACUAUAUUUUGUUCACUGGAAAAUCAAUAGUAGUAACAAAUAAUAAACAAGAAACAGCAAAGAGAGUAUCUUUCUUCAUUAUAAUUUCCUCCACUCAUUUUGGUUAGGCAGGCAGAAGGUGAAUUCUACAUAUCAUUAGCAAUGCUUACCAGUUGUGUCAUUCAAGUUGAUUAGGACUAUCCUUUCACUAAAAGUAACAUUUUAGAGAGCGAUCAAUCAAUAAAUGUUAAGUCUAAUAAACAUUAUCAUUAUUUGUAUUUUAAUUUUGUUAUAGGGAAAUAGUAUACAUGGAUUUGUUUUGAAAGACACUUUUAUGUUAUUCUAAUUUCAUAUAAUUUGAGUCAUGGCCAGUUGAAGGCAUCACAAUUUUUAAUUGAAAGGGGUAUGAUAUGGCAUCAAGAUAAGCUCUUUUGACGUUUUAUGUUUGCACCCGUAACCCAAACUUCUUGUUUUCAACAACAGGAAUAGCAGAAUUUACUUUUUGUCCACGUUGGUGGCCACUACACAACACUUUCCAAAGGAAAGCAUCACUGAAGGAGGUGGCCAUUCUCAAGUCACAAUGGUACUCCAUCUUCAUGUGUCUUCAUGAUCAUAAUAAUCAUUGCUUCAGUUUUGUAGAUAGACCUUGCCAUCUAAAUCGAUAUAGCUUUCAUGGUAUAUUAAUGUAAUGCCCUGCCAGUAACUUAGAAUUAGCAAAAGUAAUUGUUAGCGACCUUUCAGUUUUCUUGAUAGCUCUGCCCUACUAGUGUACAGACCGGAUUCCUCAUGCGUAAGAUGUUUUUCGACCUGUUGAAACAUUAAUUUUCCAAACAAGGGGAAGAAAAAGAGGAGUAAGAAAGUGAGAAAUGGAAUGAGGGAAACCUAAGUGAUCCCUUGGAUCCUUCAGCACACUGGGUGACCUGAGUCCAAAUCUUUGUUAACUGUGGCAGGAUGAGGGUUGCACAAAGUACAAAGUCUGCUACACCUUGUUUUUUCUAAAAUAUAUAUGGUGGGAUUUCAUGUCCAAUGCACUGACACAAACUGCAGAUUUAUAAAUUGAUCAAGUCAAUUUCUCACCAACUGUUAUCCUAAAUUAGCACCUCGGUUCUCUAGAGCAAUUAUUCAAAUAGUCUGUUACAUCACUUUUAAGUGAAACUAGACAUAGUACUCAAAAUACAUUGACCAAGACAAAUCAAUUUCACAUUAAAUUCUGUGUGUUUGGUCAAGGUUGAGACUGGAAAUUUGAGAUCAUGAUAAGAAUGCAUUGCAUUAUAAACAUAAUUAGGCACACAAAAUGAUGAAAGCUUUCCACGUUAACUUCUAGUAGAACAGAUAUAUAAAGGCUUACUAAAUGAUAAAUUGGCAUACAAAGAAAAUUGCUUAAAAGGAUUGUUAGUUACAACUUGGUUGUGUUCUUGUUCGUUCAUCAAAGGUCCGCAAGAUCCAGCUGAGGGUAAAACAAUGAGAAACAUAAGUUCUGUAACCGCAGUGUUUGAAAAUCGAAACAUCUAAUAUGUAUGAUUUUGCUCCAUUUUUUAGCUAAAGAUUGUGAUCAAGAUUGAGAUGACCUGCGAUAAAUCCCGGGGCAGAGCUAUGAGCUUAGCCUCCAGUUUAUAUGGUAAGCACUGCUUAUAUGUCGGACCAUCAUCAAGCUGAUCAUUUAUUGACUUAUUAUGGCUGGUGGAUUUGUGGGUGCAGGACUGACAUCGGUGGCGCUAACAGGGGACGGGAAGGACAUGCUGGAGAUAAUCGGCCUUGGCAUGGACCCCGUCUGCCUUGUGCGUUGCAUGCGCAAAAAGGUGGGCCACGCGCAAAUCCUGAAAGUGGAGGAGGUCAAGGACAAAGAGUCACAGCCGGUGGUGGUGAACACCGAAGAGGCGCGGCCGGCAGACAAGCCAGCCAACAGGCGGCGGCGUGCCCGCAGCACAGGUGGAUUCCGGGCUAUUCUUACCAAACUAUCUAAAUUCAUGUGGCCGCGCGCACGCAGGAGUGUUUCUCCUCCACCACCGUCGCCCCUGCGCGUGGAGCACACGGACAACCCGGCGCCGGCUGCAUCGGGAGGCCCGAGCUCCCAUCUCUUCUCUGUGCCGUCGACGUCCACUGCCUUCAGCGCGGCCUCACCACCGGCCUGCACCCAAGAGCAGCUGGCGCGCAACCCAUCGGCUUUUGCACAACGGCAGGACCUCUCCAGGGCGGCGGAUCUCCCGCCGGUGAGGGUGGCCCAGGCGCGACGCAGACGACGCACCUUCAACAUCAUGUCCUCCAGGGUUCGCCUGGGCGCCCGGCCGGCUGCGGCGCCCCGCCAACAGACGACGACACAACAGGCGCAGGGCAAUGUGUCAUCAAGCAACGCCAGGGGGACUGAUGACGAGCUUGCUGCAGUGGAAGCUGGGUGUGUUCUCGAAGACUACGUGGCCAUGUUCGACGGCCCGAUGCCUCCGGCGGUGAUCGCGGCGCUCGCGGGGGCCGUGUUCCACCUCGACGACGAAGAUGGCAUCCCCAUGGGCAAUGCGUGAUGUACCAAAUUAUGUAUAUUUUCCAGGAGCGAGAACCUAAUUAAUACUGUGCCUAGCUGGUCCGAACCGUCGCCGGUAUUAACUAUCGCUCCCAGUAACCAUAUCAUUAACUAUCGCUAAUGAUGGGUUUGGAUGGGUUUGGAGCGAUAGUUAGCAAACCCAUCCAAACGUUUGGAUGGGCCGGGUUUGCUAACUUUCACUCCCAGUAUUAGUAGAAUAAUAGCUAGUACUUCAGUGGUCUAAAGACUGGAUCCAGUUGUGCUAUUGAUAUCGUGCAGUGUCCUUUGAUCCUACUACUACUACUACAUGCUGUUGUGGUAUUAUAUACGAGUAUAAUAAUAUAUUGCCAGGGUCCCGGCACGCAAUAUUGCUUUUUGUUACUUGGGCCACGCAGGGCCCAUCUCUACCCAAAAAACCGGCCCACUACCUUCUCCAGGCCGACAGUCCAUGUCCAAGCCCAGAACACCUCGAUUUACGAUGGGAAGCUUAUCAAGCCCUGUCAACACAGAAGAGAGAAGCUCAAAGAUUUUAAUCUGUCGGAAUUUAAUGAAAUUCAGCAAAAUUUUGCCAGUCAAACUACAUCUACAAAUAUAAAUGUAAAGGGUGAUGUGCUUGUUGUAAGAGUCAUAAUAGAGUUAGAAAACACUGUUCGAUGUCAAAAUUAGCAAAUUUGGACGAGCACGUCUCUAAUCGGUCCGGACCGCUUUGGUCAAAGUGCUCAAAAUGCAAAUUGGACUUCACUAUUGUGUAGCUCUCGUAGAUCAAAAUGCAUAUGUAGAACGACCAAUUUGGAGUUUGGAUGAGAGAGUUAUGACCUCGGGAAGAUCUGGACCUAGGAAAACCGGUCAGACUGGUUUUGUCUGUGUAGUCCGAGUUAGGAGUUGUAUUGAUACGAGAUUUGUUAGGGUUUUGACUCUAUUAGGGGCAAGACAUCUCCUUCCUAUAAAUAUAAAUGGCCAUGGCUGAUUGAGGGUAUCCAAUCGAUCAAUCAACUUAUCUUUUAUCUUUUUACCUUUUUCCUAGCCCUAAUCUUUUCCAACCUCAUGUGUUGUUCUUCUCUUGUCUCUAUGGCAUGAGGAGGCGUCUAACUAGCCUGCCGAGCCUAGGGCAACCCAAGGUGCGCCUGUCCCGAUGGGGUCCUUCCUGGGCGGGCGUUCGUUGGCCUCUCGCCGAGCUCCCCAGUGAGACUGGUCUGAUCAGCCUCCCCAUCGACACAAAAGGAGCGUCUUUGCGGGCUGCACGUUCGAGUGCUUUCGUGUGUUGGCUCUAAAUUUGCGUCAACAAACACUAAGCUAUUUUUUCUCACAGCACCAACGCAACAUUCACUUGCAUUCGUUGAGUUCGUGUGUGACGAUGAUGAGGAUCAGCCACAUCAAGUAGGCUAAUGUGUAGCACCUCCUCAAGGAAUUCAAGAACAUCUGCAAGUGGUACAAGGACAACACCUAUACAUAAAAGUGCAGCUUCAUCGGAGGUAAUCUAGCUACAAGCUUACCAUGCAGAUGUGUAAUUAACCGGAUGUGCGAGGCAUGCCUCAGGAAUUAACGCACUACACAAUCUUUAUGAGUCAGAUCUCUCCUUAAACAUUGACGCAAAAGACAGAAGGCACUACUAGAAAAUGACCACUCAUCCCUAACCUUAAUAUUGAUUAUUUUUGGACCCGGUACCAAAUUUAGGAGGGCCUACCUGUUGAGUUACCAACCAGUGUUGGAGCUCUCUCCCACCUGCCACUGCGAAUUUUUUUAGCCCCGCACAGAGGCGCAUGCACAUAGCAGCACAACAGCGCACAACGGCACCCCCCACAGCAGCGCCUUAUAUCCUCCCCUCCCUCUUUCCUUCUCUUCUCCUUCCUCUCAUUCUCUCCUCUCUUCCUCUUCUCUCUUCUCUUCUCUCCUCUCUUCCAGCACAAUGGUGGAGGCAGCCGGAGGCAGAGGGGGUGGCGCAGAGGAGGAGGAGCUAGGGGCGGUGCAGGGAGAAGGAGGGGCGGCGGCGCGGAGGAGGAGGACCUCGGGGCGGCGCGGGAAGGAGGAGAGCUGGCGGCAUGGGGAGGAGGAGGGGCGGGCAGGGCCGGUGGGGGGGCCGGUGGCGGCGGGGGAGGCUGGGCGUGGGGGUGGGGGAUUUUAUUUUUCUUUUUUUAUUUUUUAACAGCCUCCAGUAACAACCGGUACUAGAGAUUACCAGUACCGGUUGGGCAACCAGUACUAGAGGAGGGUUCCCAACCGAUACUAGAUCCACUUUUUCCAUUAGUGAGGAUACAAAGCUGUCGCGACAAAUAUAUUCUUGUAUUUUGUAAAAAGUUUGACAAAUAUAUUCCUGUAUUUUGUAAAAAGUUAAGAUUAAUGAAACAAUGUGUUCCUCAUAUAUACAUGCAUGUGUGCUCCCAUACGUUACCUUUACCUUUUGUCGUCAUGAAAAGUACAUUAUACAUGUACAUGUGUCCUGUCCCUUUGAUGGUUUGAGUACAACCUAGUGUUGUACUUAGAGUCCUAUGGCUGUGUCAGUUGUAGCCGGCUAGACCUGUAAACGUGUCCGUGACAAUUCAUUAACAAGCAUCAUUGCCUUGUUGCUGGUAGCCGUCAGAUCAUGAUUCAACGUUCAUCAACGGGUGGGUACCAUAUAGAUAUACAUACUAUACAGAUACCAAGAUAUAGAUAUAGAUAUGGAUGUAGAUAUAUAUAUAGAUAUAAAUACAGACAUACAGAUACAAAGAUAGAGAUUGAUAAAGGUAUAUAUAAUUUGAUAGGAAACAUGUACAUUCCGAUAUCCUAGUGAGGUGUUGUUUAUAUAUAUAUAAAAGCACCUAUAAAUGCUGAAACAGAUUAGUCCUAACCCACAAGUGAUAUACCAUCCUCACCUCUGCUGCCUCCCAAAAGCUAAAGGAAAGGAUACAAGAGCUCUCUUGGUCAAGAAACCGCCAUCAGCAUGGGAAGGAUUGUGCACUACUUGAUGGCUACUUCAUUCGUGGUUCUUGUGAUGAUUUCGACCAACUCUCCAUCCUGCCAAGCAUGUAAGAACCCAUACAUACCUACCUACUUCUGGCUGUUCCUCAUAUAUAGUGCACAUGCAUGCGUACUCCCAUGUGUUACCUUUACCUUUUAUCAUCAAGAUAUAGAUAUAGAUACAUAUACAGAUACAGAUAUAAAGACAUAGAUGUAGAUAUAGAUAUACAUACAAAUACAAAGAUAAAGAAAUAGAUAUAGAUACAGAUAUACAGAUGCGAAGAUAGAGAUGGAUAUAGAUAUACAUAAUUUGAUAGGAUACAUACAUUCCGAUCCUAGUGAGGUGUUCUUUCUAUAUAUAAAAGCACCGACAAAUACUGAAACAGAUUAGUCUCAACUCACAAGUGAGAUACCAUCCUCACCUCUGCUGCCUCCCAAAAGCCGAAGGAAAGGAUAGAAGCUCUCUUGGUCAAGACCGCCUUAAGCAUGGGAAGGACUGUGCACUACUUGAUGGUCACUUCAUUCGUGGUUCUUGCGAUGAUUUCGACCAACUCUCCAUCCUGCCAAGCGUGUAGGAACCCAUACAUAUAUACCUACCUACUUCUGGCUGCACACUGCACUGUCUUGUUCUCAGACAUUUUCAGACGAUGAGUAAUUAUUUGACAAACCAGUCUUGCUUUAGUGCUAAUAACAUUGCAUUGCGUUGCCUUAUUGCAUGUGCAGGCUUCGGCCCCUGGUGUAAGCGACCGCCGGUACCUUGCUUCGCAGCUACGAAUGAGGACUACUGUACGUCGGAAAUCUGCCCACAUGUGUGCGAGGUGAACCAUGUUGUGAGCAAUCGUGCCUACUGCAAGAAACCUGGAAGACGUGAUCCAGUACAUAUAUGGCUAUGCUGCUGCCCACCACCGCGUUGAGUGUUGUAAUCCACCAUGCGUGCCUGGUGGAAAUUAAAUAAAUUGAUCUGCUCAUCGAUCGAUCUGUUAGCAAGUAUCUGUAAUCAGAUCUGUCCGGUGUUUUGCUUCCUAGUUACUUUUUUGAUAAGGCACCUUGGCACGAUAACAAGGGAAAUAACACUUUAGGGCUCGUACAUCGGUGAGACGAUCCUCGUCUUUUUGUUGCCAGGAGGAGCUCCACCUAAAUCGAGCGUCAGCGGCAUUCAAGGUUUCACGCCACAACACCACCACCAGGCCAGAAAGGAUUUUUGCUGGCGGGUGAAAGGCUAAUGUGCUGGCGAUCUAGUAUCCACCAGCAACUUUGAGCCAGCAUAAUGACGCAUAGUGGCUCUUGCGCGGCAAUUGAUUUUUCAAUUAAAAAAAGCAUGCACGCUACUCCCGCCCGGCCUACCACCGCCCCCGUGCCCGCCGCUUCUGCGCCGCCGCUCGUCCCCGUCGCUAGCCACCUGCCUUCCCGCCGCCCGCCGUCGACCGCUCCCACGCCCACCGCUUUUGCGCCGCCGCGCGCUGCUACCUGUGCCAGCACUGUGCACGCCCGCAUGCACAUGCUGCUCCUUCCCACCCACCACUGUUGUUGGCCUCUCCGCCAUGCCGUCGCCUGGCCCUGCGCCGUUGCUGCAACUUGAGCAGGCCGCCCCCACAUCAGCAUCCUGCACCACCCGAGCCGGCCAGCCACCGUGCGCACCCCGACGUGCCGCCCUCCGUGCCCCGACGCACCGCCACCCACCGCCGUUCCCGUCCGCCGUGCCUGAGAGCAGGCAAGCAAGGCUUCCACCGCACCAGCCCUACGUUCUUCAUUGCCAGCAAAUAGGAGGCACAAGUCUUAGAGAUCGAGAUGAGAGGAGGAGAACCAAGAGAAGCAAGAGAGAUAGAAGGAGAGGAGAGGAUGCAGAUAGCAGACGGAGCCACGGAGGUAGAUAAGAUAAGAUUGACAUGUAGAUGGCCUCCGCUCCUAUCAAGCUCUGUGUUGGCGGGCCACAUAAAUGCCUGCCAGCAAAAAUGGGGCGAUCUAUGCUAGCGGGUCCAUAUGCGCUCCCCCGCUAGCCCGACAAAGCACUGUGCUGGCAGGUGCCAAUCACGCCCAUCAGCAUGCUAAUUUUUCUAUGCCAGCCCAAAUUGUUUUUGACGCAGUGACCAGCUAGCAUCAGCAAGGAGAUGGUGCGCGGCCACUCAACAAAGCUACAAUGCAAGGACGGCCGCCACAUGGCAGGAGCUAGCACCAAGGCCAGUGUGGAGGGGAGCGGCACCUGGCACGAGGUAGCGGUGACAGCACGGCAGCGACGAGCCGACGAAUCACAGUGUAAGGGCUGCUCCUUCCAUGGAGGAAUCCGAGGACUCAAAGCAGGCUGCUGCAAUCCCAUGAACGCCACGGGCAUCCUCCUGGUAGCCGCUGCUAUAACCAACCGAUCGUUCACUCUGCGUUACGCAUAGACCAAUCUGAAUCGCAGAACCCACUGCUGUCCCCCGCUCGUCUCCAUGCUUGCGCACAAAUCGCAGAACCCGUUUCCACAAGAUGCCCCUUCUCGUGCAUAGGCUCGACCUCAACGCCAUCUGUAGGGGCUGUGAACUCGGCUUAUAUAUGGCCGCGCGGACGUCGCGUCUAGAGCUCGGAGGCGGUGGUGACGAUUAGAGUCCGGCUCCGUCGAGUUCAUUGCGAAAACAAGGGAGGGUGGAAACGGGUUUGGCUAGGACACCAACAAACAGAGGUACGAGAAGCAAAGAAGGCAACAGACCCAUGUACAAAGCGAAUGAAUCAGGCAGUUGGAAGACUGAAAUCCCUCCAAAUAGUGGAGAAAUGGGCAGCACCUCCCCUAGGUCGCCAUGGAAGUGAAGAAGCCCGAGCUCUCAGUCAAAUGGUUGAGCUCAAGCUCGGGGAGGAAGAAAGAAGGAACUCAUAGUUUGUAUGUUAGUACCGGUUGGUGGCUCUAGCCGGUACUAAAUUGUGACAUUUAGUACUUGCUGAAGCUAACAACCGGUACACACAUGCGUGAACACCAUUUAGUACCGGUUGAAGCUACCAGCCAGUACUAAAUAACUUCUAGGGGAAUCUAGCCAUUGGCCACCCAGUCACCAUGCCACCAUUUAGUAUCAGCUAAGGCUCCAAACCGGUAAUACAGAGGCUCCGAUGGUACUGUGCGUGAUGACCGGUACUAACGCGUUGGACGAAUGCUCAGUUUUCCAGUAGUGGGUUUUGGGGCUGCUAGCAACCAUAUCCACACAAGCCUAUGCACUAACGCACGUCCAGCUGCCUACUGCACGCUGCUGGGAUCGACGCGCAGAGCGGCGGAGCCGGAGCACUAGUCCAGGCUUCGUGAGCGCCAUACGUCCGGAUCUAGGACACGGAAGAUGUGAGGGGUGGGUUGAUUACAAAAAAGGUAAGUGAUUUUUUUUACGAAACAACCACAAUGGUUGAAAGAAAACUAUCGCACUUUGAUAUUAGGUAUAUAGAUAAUAUAGAUAGAUUAGGUGUGUCAUUUCUUUUCUUCAUAUCCAUUCUAUACUCUACCCAAUUUUAUAACUACUAUCUUUUACUGCUGGAAUUUAUUCUCAAGGCUUGACAUGGGAUCUUACACGCAGGCUUGGAAAUUCUGGUCAUCGGGAAGGGCAAGGGAGCUGAUGGAUGCCUCACUGCGCGAUGAACCUCGAAUAAGUGAGAUACUACGAUGCAUGCAGAUAGCACUGCUGUGUGUUCAAUUUGAUCGGGCAGACAGGCCGAGCAUGUCGGAUGUUCUCAUGAUGCUGAAAUGCGAGGGUAUGGCCUUGCCAGUGCCUAGGGCACCAAGUGAUACGUCGAGGCAAGGAGCCGAUGAUUCGUCACCAGAUGCCAGUGAAGCAGAAGGAAGUACAAGCUAUAGAAGCACAUAACUUAGCUGACGACUGAAGAGGUGCAAGCUCCUCAUACUUCAGCUAUUGUUCAGAUGAUGUACAUGGACCACUGUUGUUGCGACUAAGUCAUUGUUGCUCAAUGCCAAUUCCCCUAGUUUUCUACUCCAUGCCCGCAUGGCCCUCUGGGCUCUUGGCUAAUUUGUUAUGAAGGGCUGUAUUGAGCUUUCAGCUAUUUAGCCCGGACACAAGUGGACCAGAUUAACUGUUCUAAGGUCCAUGGAAAGGUGAUUCUGUUGCUGUGUUGCAACGGCGGCAGCGUCCCACCGGAGCCCGAAGCAGGAGGUUGGCAAUUUGUGGGUUGACCUGCCAUCAUGUACUUGUUUAAUUCAAGCUGCUAAUAGUGGAUUUGGUCUCGCGUCAACGCCUCACCGACGCCACAGGGUGGGUGUAUCCUGCCGUAAGAAACAACGGCUUAUUCCAUUCCAUCCUCCAUCGUCUUGUUGGUUUUCCUCAACGUGGUUCCAUGGAGGUGUUCACUACGGGAAACAGAAAGUUCGCCGAGUGCCUGGGGCACUCGGCAAAGGCAUGAAAACACUCGGCAAAGCCUUUGCCGAGUGUAACACUCGGCAAAGGGCACACGGCAAAUAUUGUGUCGGCAAAAUCUGAUUUGCCACGGCCUCUGCAUAUGAAAUCAAAACAUCUUGCAAAAUCUCAUGAUUUUCAAACUUCGUUUGUAUUUUUGAGAAUUAAACAAUCAUUUGGCCACACGUUCGUAGUCGUGUUUCCUUAGCAAAAUGUUCGAAAUUUCUUUUCAUUUUAUGGGUGAGACCUCAAUUUAGACUCACUAACAUGAAUAUGAUUUUUUCACUCAUAUUAUUCCAUUAUUCCAACCACCUGCAGUUCAAAUUUGACUUAAAUCAAAAAAUUACUCUAAAUGAAAUUAAUUGAUUAAAUAUAGCAAACAGGUCAAAAAAUAGUCCAUCUUCUACGAUGCAGUGCCAAAUGCCAUACAUGUGGAGUGUAAAAAGUUUGGAGGGUGGAGGAGGGGAAAAAAAUUAUGUUUGCCGAGUGUGUAAAAAAACACUCGGCAAACGCUAUAGUUUGCCGAGUGUACACCCUAGCACUCGGCAAACUAUAGGGUUUGCCGAGUGUCCCAUAUAGACACUCGGCAAAGACUAUAGUUUGCCGAGUGUCCCAUCAUGGCACUCGGCAAACUAGUGCCUUUGCCGAGUGCCCUAUAUUGACACUCGGCAAACACUAACGGCCGUCACGGAGGGGCGCCGCCGUCGGCACGGGGAAGUCACGUGGACGUCAGUUUGCCGAGUGUCAAAGUUUGCCGAGUGCCGCCUGGGUGUUUGCCGAGUGUUUUUUGGAGGGCACUCGGCAAACAGGUUGUUCGCCGAGUGUUUUAUUUUUGCCGAGUGUUUUUGGUGUUACACUCGGCAAAACGGUUCUUCGCCAAGUGCCCGAAAAAAAGCACUCGGCGAAGUUAUUACACUCGGCGACUUUAUGCUUUCCCGUAGUGGUUGUUGGCCUGUUGGUUUUCCACUCCCCAGCACUUGUACUAAGCUGUUUAUCGACAUGAGCACUCCCAAAUCAUGCGUGAGUCAUUCACGAAGAUCUAAGACCAAGCAGAAGCAAGCAAGCUAUAUUCUCUUGGAUUCUGAUAUGAAUCCGAGCUAGCAUUACUGAUUUUGGCAUGGCUGAGGUCUUAAUAAAUUCUGAUGAAGAUGCAAAAGAAAAAGUUGUGUGAUAGCAGUCCAUCAUGACAUUCGGUGCAUUUUUUUUGUUAAAUGGUCUAAAUAUUUGUUUUUGGCCUUUCAGUGGUUACAUUGAUCCUAAAUUUUUUUUGAACAAUGACUAUAUCUCCACCAAUCACUGCGGCACUGCGCAGCAUCAUAUCCUUUUACUUAGACUCCGCUGCACAGACAGGGAUGCAUCGUUUGUUUUUGUAUUUUAGUUUCUGUAACCUUAGCUUGUAGUAUUGCUCCUAGUCCAUGUCUGAAUACACCCUGCAAGCAGUUGAUCAUUGUUCCAAAACUUGCACAGCAAAUUCAGGGCAUGAUGGUGAAUAUCUUUGUUUCAUAAACUUGGAGCUGCACAAUGUUAUUUCAGUCCAAGCUCAGAACAAUUUCAUCGAUAAAAAAUACACCUCACAUUUCUGUUGAGAUCCAUUCUAUUUCGUCACCGCCAUUUUAAAUUUCUGUUUUCUAUCUAAAAAUAAUGCUGAGUGGCUAGGAAAUUGUGGUCGAUCAUCAGGGAGAUAGAUCCAUCGGUACUGCACAAUUAGAUAUAUACUUCGAUGCAUCCUACAAUUGUCAGACGCGUUACAGCUCGCCCAGUUCUCUCAGGUCGCCAAUAGUUUACCCGUAUAGUACAUUGUAUUAGCCUCCUUCCACCUUUUUUCUUAUUUUCCAGCUAUGUCAUCCUCUGCAUGACGUGGUGUAAUUUGUUCUUACAUGCUUCUUCCUCUUAAUGAAAUACGCAUGGCCGCGAAAAAAAAAAUCAAGUGGGCAGACAAGCCUACAAUGUCGGAUAUACUGAAAUGUACUGUAUGAACAUAUGCAACCCUGGGAAACCUGAAACUAUAUUUAGUUUGUGGUUUUACCAAAUGCCAGUGAAGCAGCAGCCAGUGCAAACUGUACAAUUGAAGAGUAGAAGAAUGAAGAAUAAGAGGAGGAAGAAGAGUACUUGAGCUAGGAGGAAGAAGAGUACUUGAGCUAUUGUUGAAGUGAUGUGAGCAAUGGCGAUGCAAACUUUAUUGCCUGAUUGCGUCGUUGCUAUUUUUUUAGAAAAUGGAAUUGUCUCUGACCUCUGCCACCGCAGACAGCUGUUGCUAUGAAAUUUUUAUUACUCGCUAAUAAGCAGUCACACAAGUGGGCAUAAUUUAGCUUUUUCUCUAAUCGUAUCCUCCAUUUUUCAAUGAAAUUUGUGGUAUGGGCUCCUUCUCCUUGUUCAGUUUUUCUUUAAGUAGUGAAGACUUGAUUUGACUUGGCUUGAGGGGUAUUAACUUUUAUGAGGUGGUGGCCACAGCCCACAGGCUCACAACAUGUCUUACUUUGUCAGUUGCAUGUGGCGUGUUGUGAGCCUUCUUUGGCUACUGGCUUACCACUUGUCUCUAUUGUGCGUGUAUCUUGCGAAUAGAAGGCCGGCUGGCUCUCUGCCGGGCUGCCGGCUUGGGGGGGACGAAGAGGUGAGAAGAAAUUGAAGGCAAAACGCCAACAAGCAAGGUCAGUGCCUCUCUUGAAUAAUUACUUUGAUUACUAUGGUGGGAAGGAGAAGAAGAGAAAUUCAAGAAAUGGUUUCUCCGUCUCAGCAUCCCAUAGAUCGAUCUACAUCUACUGAUGUGUUUUGUUGAAUAAUGGCCCUGAAGAUCAUCUCGGUCAACGCCACAAGAGCAAGAUGGCCGACAUCGCAUUCAGAAGCUUGGGGAAGAUCAUCGAGGCCGCGCUCAAGAUCAAGGAGGCCGUGGAGACGGUGAAGCAUAACGACAGGGAGUGCCGCGAGAUCGAGAGGUGCGUGGCGCGAGUCAGCGCUCUCCUCGAGCGGCUUGAACAGACGACGGAGACGAUGAAGGAUCCCGCCAUGAGCGGCCCGCUCGAGGAUCUGGCUGAGAGUGUCGAGAAGGCCCUCGAGCUCGUCAGCGAGUGCCAGCAGCAGAGGCACACCUUCACCGUCCUCCGUCUCUGGUCGGCUAGCAACAUGGCCAGGGAGCUGCGCCAGGUGCAGGAAGACAUCGUGAGGAAACUGCAGCUGGGAACCUUCGCCCAUGUCACCAUUCUGCUGACGAUCAACAUUCAGUAUGCUGGUGCCCGUCGGUCGACCCCGCAUCCGCAGGUAACAGUAAUUGCUUAUUACUCCGGCAUGUGCGCCACAACAUUAGAACUUUUCACUGAUUUUGUUACUUUAUUUAUAAUUUUCCCUCUUUUAGGAUUUUUUUAAUUUUAUUUUCUAAAAAUGAACCCCGUCAAAACUAUUUUCCGGAUGUACCGAGGUGUAACAGCAACCUAUCUGCCAUGAGAAUGCAGUUUAAUUAUAUCUCUGCAGCAAGCCAGACUUUGCCAAAUCAUUUUGAACGGCAAUAGGAGAGGAUGGCACUAGGUAGCAUGCCCCUCCCCACCGUCUCCGUCACUCAAUACUCCUCAAAACCAAUAGUUCUAUAUAUAUAUAUAACUAGUUUGAGCAUUUUGCAAGAACUAUGAUAUAUUUGCACCUACAAUGUAUUUUACUCUAAAAUAAAGUUUACAUAUGCAACCUUCUUGCAUUGCACAUACACCAAACUGAAUGCGAUUCAUCAAACGAAAAAUGCUACUCAGGAUGCAGGAGCUGGGAAGGUCUCGCAUGAUGGUCAUUCAACUGGUGAUGCAAGGUAUAAGAUAUCUACACUCCAAAUCUCACUCUAUGGUAAUAUCAUCAAUUUAUCGUAUAUAUACUACCACCAUCCAGUUUUACAAUAAGCCCCUAUUACUAAUAAGCUGGUACAUCAUUAUGCCCUCUUUUCUUUGCAUACCGAAGUCAUCCUCCACCAAUGAGAAUCAACUGCGCACUUGCUUGCACGUACGUGUGCCAGAAAAGCAAUUAGAUUACGUCCAUACACUGAUACACGCCUUGUAUGGUAUUUGGAAGCCACUUAUUUCGGAUUUUGAUGGCAAUGGCAGUAGCAGACCUGGAGCAGUGAGGAGCGAGAAAGAUAAGCCCAUGGUAGCAACAGUAAGCAGUGAGCUGCUGCCUGAUCCCUUGCCUGCAGGUAAUUAAGGUGGCAUAUUUCUGUUAUUUCCACCAACUCAAUUCCUGUACAUGCCUUUGUGCGGUGGCAGCCGGCCCGUAUUUUUAUACUGAGAAUGUUUACAACUUGUCUCCUUCCAAUUGCAUAGAAUCACGACAACUUACAGUUUUAUUAGGUUUGCAUAACUGCCUGUUGAACUAUGUCAUAUGUGUUUGCUUCCCAUGACAGGUGCUACGCAGUUCAGUUUAUCUCAAUUGAAGGCCGCUACAAAUGACUUUUCAGGUGACAAUGUGGUUGGAAGUGGUGGCUUUAGUGUCGUCUACAAGGUACUCUCCGUAUGCUUGGUUUACUAAUUUUGCUUUGGGCUUUUUAGAAGAUGAUAUUAACAUAAUUAGGUCAAUUUGCAAUAAAGGACAGUCAUGCAUAUAAGAUGAAGCAAUUACUUUUAUUUUCUUGGUAUAACAAGGCUUUUCCCUUCACAUAAUUUCAAUUCGACAUAACUAACUGUUAGCAGCUAGCCAACCUCAAAGGCCAUGCAAUAUUGAAAUGAAGUACCUGCAUCAGGAAUUAGAACGUUCUUGUUCCAAAAAUUCAAUUAUUACUAGGAGCUUAGAAUUAUGUAGGCAUGCUUAAUUUUUUACUUCAAUUAGGUCUUCUUUUGUUUCGGCAUCUUUUUUUUCCCUUUUGAAGGUCUAACAGAAAGGAAGGACUAGGGCCCCUGAUCCAUUCCAUCAAUAGGUACACACAUAACGGUUUGCCCUGUUGCAGCACACUUUAACACUACUGCGCGAGGUGGUGUCUCUUGUUAUGGGUCUAUGUUCUAUUCACUUUCCGUAGCUAAUUGAUAUUUUUUUUGAUACCCCUUGAUAAUUGAUCUUAGAAGUGCAAUUAUAUCAGAAAUAUCAGCAAAGCAAACUGCUCCGCAAGGAUUAUAAAUUAACAUUUUACUAUAUAGUUUUAGUUUUAUUUAGAUCAACGACAAUGAACCACAACUUAUCUUGCAAUUUAUGCUUUUCAGGGUGUAUUGCGCAACGGACUAGAUGUUGCAAUCAAGAAAUUGUUAAUCUCUGAUGAUUUUCCAGAGAGGCGCGUGCAUCAUGAGCUUAAUGUUGGUGCAAAGCUUCAGCACAAAAACAUAGUUAAACUUCUGGGAUAUUGCUUCGAUAACAAAGAGGACGAAAGGCUAUACCUUUUGGUCCAAGAAUACAUGCCCAAUGGGAGCUUGGGAAGGGUUAUUAAUGGUGUGUUUGCACAAAAAUACUAGCUUACCUGUAGACCUAACUCCAUUUAGACUUGUUCUCGCUAACUAAUGCUUGAUGCUAGAUGUUUUGUUUUUUGCAGCCUCUCGACUUGAUUGGCCCUCCUGUUUCAAGAUAAUUCAGGGGAUAGCACAGGGCCUACAUUACCUACAUGAGCAACACGUUCUCUAUAUGGAUUUGAAACCAGCCAACAUCCUCUUUGAUUCAAAAAUGAAUCCUGUGAUCAUUGAUUUUGGAUUAUCUAUAGUCCUUGAUGAUGAUGAUGAUGAGAUCACUUGUGAUUCCAUAGCAGGCACAAUGUAAGAUGCCCUUCCCCCACAUAAAACAAUUCCAUUAGCAUGAGUCCAUAUCAUGCAUGGAGCCUGUUUCCUUUUUUUUAACGUCUCUUCUAUGAGAUUAUUCAUUAUUAUUUAUUCAACCAUUCAGGGGAUAUAUUGCUCCAGAAAAAAUUACAGGAGCUAAGAUAUCGAUGAAGUCUGAUGUGUUCUCUUUUGGAGUUAUCCUCAUUGAGAUCAUUACCGGGAGGAGAGUUACACCUUCCUGUGAUCUACCGGCUUUGGUAAGUAACACAUUUACAUGCUAAACAGGAACAUCAACAUUGGCAUUGUAUCUAGGGGAACUAGCCAAUACAUAGAUCGAAAGCCUAAACCACAAGGGCGACUAUAUUUGUACACAUUAUUGGCAAUUAUAUAACAGAAACAUAGAACAAAUCAAGAAAGUCAAAGAUGAAAUAGAAAUUAUAAUAGAAAAUACUUGCCUCAUUUGCCCCAAUGUGAUUCUCUCACCUCACAUGUAUGUGGCUAACCCUAUAAUCUACAUACGUAAGUUUACAAGGCCAAUAGCAUAAAAAACUUCAAAAUUGCAAAGGUAGCAUUAUCAAGAAGGAUGCAUCACCCCUGCAAUUAUACAAGGAUGUUGUAUGCUCGAUGCAUGAACCUUGGUAGUCACAUUAUUGGCAAACAAAACGAACAGAGGCAAAGAAUUACUACAAAUCGUUGGAAAUUAUGUAACAGAAGUGUAGAGCAAAUCAGGAAAUUCUAUGGGGGUCAGUAUAUCUUAAGAUUGAUGAAGUCACCGCAAAUGUCUCGCUGUUGACAGGCAUGUGAGCUACCAUUGUAAAAAUAGCAUCGAUGCUUUGCCAUCCGUUGGAAAAAAAAUAUCACCUUUAAUUUUUUGAAUAAAUUUAGAAAAAUAUGAGCAUAUGUGCUUAGUUGAUGACUCGAAUCUCUGAGUGGCUUCCAUAACAAGGAACCUUAUCAACUCGCAAACUAAAGAUGGUUUGACUUUCACUACGGGAAAGCAUAAAGUCGCCGAGUGUAAUAACUUCGCCGAGUGCUUUUCUUCGGGCACUCGGCGAAGAACCGUUUUGCCGAGUGUAACACCAAAAACACUCGGCAAAAAUAAAACACUCGGCGAACAACCUGUUUGCUGAGUGCCCUCCAAAAAACACUCGGCAAACACCCAGGCGGCACUCGGCAAACUGACACCCACGUGACUUCCCCGUGCCGACGGCGGCGCCCCUCCGUGACGGCCGUUAGUGUUUGCCGAGUGUCAAUAUAGGGCACUCGGCAAAGGCACUAGUUUGCCGAGUGCCAUGAUGGGACACUCGGCAAACUAUAGUCUUUGCCGAGUGUCUUUAUGGGACACUCGGCAAACCCUAUAGUUUGCCGAGUGCUAGGGUGUACACUCGGCAAACUAUAGCGUUUGCCGAGUGUUUUUUUACACACUCGGCAAACAUAAUUUUUUUUUCCCCUCCUCCACCCUCCAAACUUUUUACACUCCACAUGUAUGGCAUUUGGCACUGCAUGGUAGAAGAUGGACUAUUUUUUGACCUGUUUGCUAUAUUUAAUCAAUUAAUUUCAUUUAGAGUAAUUUUUUGAUUUAAGUCAAAUUUGAACUGCAGGUGGUUGGAAUAAUGGAAUAAUAUGAGUGAAAAAAUCAUAACAAGGAACCUUAUCAACUCGCAAACUAAAGAUGGUUUGACUUAAUUUGGAUAAAACUUGAAAUUCUUAUAUUUUGGUACAUAGUAGUAAUUAAGUCAUCAAAAAUGUUGUUAAAUAAAUGAGUAUGAUUCCUUUGAUAAAAUAUAUAAUCGUUUUGAAAAUGGACAUGAUCAAAUAUACUAUCAAAUAACAACAAAUAUAUAGUAUGCUAAUGUUUUUGCCGGUAACAUCAAGUAUCAUUUGAUUAUGUAAUACCAACAGUGUUAGUGUUAAUACUAUUUACAAUGUGGGUUGUGCAUCGCAUCAAUCAUUUGCACAACUGAGCUUACUUUUACCAAUCUAUUUUUUGUCCGUGCAGAGUUCAAUUGAGAUGAUCAGGGCAAUGAAAGGGUUAUUUGAUCCGGCACAGGUUAAGGACUCUCAGGUAAUGGAGAUAAACAAGUGCAUGAAGCUAGGAUUGAUGUGCACGGAGUGGGAUCCGAUUGAUCGGCCUACCAUGGCCGAGGCACUGGAAUUGCUAGAAUAAGUUGCCAGCCCCAUAGAACCACAUAUCCGGUCAGACAGAUCAAAACUGCUGUGCUGCACCGACCGUGGAUGUGGCAAUAAUUAAUUUGCUCCUAAAUUGCUUUCACUUUUGUGGCAUUCACUAAUAAGGAUUAUAGAAUACGUAUACUAGUCCAUCAACCAUCCUCCCACACAUGCUACAAGACUUAGUUUACAUAACUACUAAUCAAAAUUAUUUACUUUUUGCUCUCUCUAACAAAAUACCUGUAUAGAUACCAUGUAAUCUUUAUCCGAUUGUGGAUAAACUUAUAGAUUGCUCUAUAUGUUAAUCCUUCCAUAUUCAUAACUUGCCUCCGGCCCCUUUGCAUCCCACAUCCACGUGCCUAGUUGAUGUUACAGAAACUAUCAGCUGUUUGAAGCUAUGACCACCAAAUAAGGUGAGAGCAGAACUGAGGUUUGACCGUAAGCUAUAACCACAAAAUAAGCGAGGACGAGAAGUGUAAGAUGGCGCAAUGCAUACGCAGACUCGUUCCAUGCGGAGUGUUACAUGGAGACUUUGGAUCGAACCGCUGCUGCACAAUCAACUACAAAGCACGACAUCACGUGGGUGGGUCCAAAACAGCCGCGGAGCAUGGCUUGAAGCCUAGCCUCAUGUAACACUCCGUCUACCGCCCAGCCCUUCGGAAGGGUGGGCAUAUGUCCACAUAGCACCCUGCUUAAACAUCCAUCCUAAUUUCAUGUAAAAGAGUUAACCCGAACCUGCUAUGGCUGGUUGACAAAGGCUUACAAGUUGGCUCUACCCUUGCUCAAGUAGCAAGGUGGUACUAAACAUGUGCACCUGCACUCAUGGACCCACUAGACCAACCAAAUUGGGCCGGGUGUCACAUACACCCCCUCAAAGACCCUGACGUCCUCGUCAGUCCAACUCACCCACACUUGGGCAAAUGUCCAAGAAUAUUCCCUCUUAGCACACGACCGUACAUCCAGUGCUGGCGUCAUAUGCCAUGCUGUGUGUCCCAUCCAGAGUCCACACGCGCCAUGCGCCAUAUGCCCGCACACUGAUUCGUACGCACAACCGCGAGGGUCCCCGUCCUCCAAAACCGCAUCGCCCAACCCUUCCGAGGGGCAGGCACACGUACACAUAACAUACUGCUUAUACUUUCGUCCUUGCUUCGUGUAAAAGGGUUAACCCGAAGAUGCUAUGGCUGGUUGAUAAAGGCUUAUAAAUUGCUUUCACCCUUGCUCAAUCAGCAAAGCGGUACUAAAUAUGCGCACUUGCGCUCAUGGGCCACACUAGGCCAACCAAAUUGGACCGGGUGUCACACCUUGGCAUUAACCCCAACCGGCAAUGGCCCUAUGGUUGAGUGAGUUUGCCAUCCUGUCCACGUAGUUCCUGUGAUGGCGGAUGCAGCUCGUGAAUUUAGCAGGGGCUCCCUCUUCUUCCCCUUGCUUCCCACGAUUCUCUUCUUCUUCCUUUUUUCUAAAAAUAUCAUGUAAAAGCUAAUGGAGCCCCACCCGCCACACCAUUAGAUCCGCCCCUGCGUACCUAGUUCUACCAAUCCAAGAUGAAGGCCAUGCUAUGUGCGAGGUCACUUAAAGUCCGCGGUCAAACACUCAAGCUGCAGGAUCGAAAGCCAAGCGCCACAUGCUAACAAUGAAGUUAGCACUGGCCACCCGCUCCCAAUUUAGGGCCUGUUUGGAUACAGGUUCAUAAAAUUUAGUACAUGUCACAUCGGAUGUUUGGACAUUAAUUAGGAGUAUUAAAUAUAGUCCAAUUACAAAACUAAUUACACAGAUGGAGUCUAAUUCGCGAGACGAAUCUAUUAAGCCUAAUUAGUCCAUGAUUUGACAAUGUGGUGCUACAGUAACUAUUUGCUAAUGAUGGAUUAAUUAGGCUUAAUAGAUUCAUCUCGCGAAUUAGUAUAGGAGUUCUGCAGUUAGUUUUAUAAUUAGCUCAUGUUUAGUCCUCCUAAUUAGCGUCCGAACAUCCGAUGUGACCCCUCCUAAAGUUUAGUACCCCGCAUCCAAACACCCCCUUAAAAGUCUCCACGGUUUCCAACUUCAUAGUGAAGCCUUUCGGGCCUGUUUGGAUAGGGGUGCUAAACUUUAGCACCUCACUUUUAGCACCCUUUUAGCACUAGGGCUUCCAAACAAGUGUGCUAAAAGUGGUGUGCUAAACUUUAGCACCCCACUUUUCUUUAGUACAUCAAAGGAUGCUAAAGCCUGCUAAUAGUGCUAAAAGUGGUCCCCAAGCCUACAUUUUCCCUGGUUGCCUCCCCCCUCUCCUCUCCUCUCUCUCCUCCCUGCCGCCUGCCUCUUCCGCCUGGCCUCGCUACCUCCACUGGCCCUGCCUCCUCCACUAGCGUGCGACGCCGCUCUACCGUGCCCGCGCCCACCGCGGCUAUGGCUGCCGCUGCCGCCGCCACCACCCGAUGGAGGGCGCUGGGCGUUCGACCUCUCCGCCGGCACGGAGCCCACCCUGGGUCCGCACCCCUCGGCAGGCAGAAGGAGGUGGUUGCCGCUCUCUGGUACGGUGCCGCCUCUCCGCGCGGUGGCUGCCGCUCAAGCCACCUGGCCCCGCCGCGCCCAACCCCAAUCCCUGGCGGCACGCGGAUCUUGAGGGGGCAUGAGGGAGGAGCGGGGAGGAAGGUGGUGGUGGUGGUGGUGGGAGGGAAGGGUGGCGGUGCAGCAGCUCGGAGGAAACCCCACGGCAAUGAGGACGCGGGCGAGGUGCUUGAAGUAGCAGUGGCGGUCGGUCCUCGCUUGGCUGAUGGCGGAGACCAGCUCGUACUUCCCCAUCAGCACGCCCCGGCGCCAGCCAGUCCUCGCUUGGCCACGGCGGCGGCGGAUGGGGCCGGGUGCCCCGCUUGCGGCAACGGCGACGGUCACGCCUCCGCUUGCGAUGGCGGCGUGGCGGCCACCAUCGGAGGAGGGUGGUGGGGAAAGCAGCUCCCUGGCUGUGAGGAGGGGUAAAGGAGAUGAGGAAAAGCAGGGCUAUAAUUGUCUUUUGCAAACUAAGUGAUAAAGUUUAGCACACCAUCAAACACUCCAAGUUGCUAAAUUUUAGCUUUCCAUUUGAGGAUGCUACACUUAAGCACUGUGCUAAAGUUUAGCACAGGAUAUCCAAACAGGACCUUCGUUCAAUGGCGCCUCUUAGUAUUUCCACGCAAUAAUCUUCUAGCAUGGGAACCAAAUUAAAGGUCGUUCUCUUUUGCCUGUCCUGCUUGUCUUCUCAGACUAGAAGCUGUCAUCAGAACCUUCUUGACCCCUUCCUGAUUGAUUACAAAAUUGCUGCCCUCUUCCCCUCUCCCUUCCCCCGUCCGUCUCUGCUACUCCGCCGGCCCCGCUGCGCCGUCCUCCUUGGACCCGUCACGCGAAGGAAGAAGGUAGUAAGAUGGCCGACAAGGACGAUGGUCCUGCCAUCGGGAUCGACCUGGGGACGACCUACUCCUGCGUCGGAGUCUGGCAUCACGGCCGCGUCGUGAUCGUCACCAACGACCAAGGCAACCUAACCACACCAUCCUGCGUCGCCUUCACCGACUCCGAGCGCCUCGUCGGGGAUCCCGCCAAGAACCAGGUCGCCAGGAACACAAGCAAUACAGUCUUCGGUGAGUGCCUUCCGCCUCUUCUUUGCCAAAUCAACUCCCUCCUUCCAUGAACUCCUUCUACCUCCUGUUGUGCUACUUAUUGAAUCUGGGUCAGAUAACAAGGGGGAACCGAUGUUGCAAGGGUGCUUACUGCUAAGUGAGUACAUAGCUGUAGCUUUCCUAGUUACUACAUGGGUAGUGUCGAUCUAGAAGUUGGACCGAUAUUGAGCUAAUUUCAGUUGUUACUGCAAGAAUGAUAUUUGAAGGAUUAUUUCUGUCAGAAGUUUAUCUGUUGGUCAGCGUGAUGCCGUGAUAGUGUUUGCUAAACGUUGCCUGCUGCCAUUUAUAGAUUGCAAUCUACCUAUUGAUUAGAACUGUGCAGUUGUACUUGUACCACUAUUCAAGGUUGGGAAAUUAAUUUCUAAUUGUGAUGUUCUCUAUUUACUACAAGCAUCACUGUACUAGUAAAAGUAGUACUGCACUUACUCUCAUCAAAUCCUCUCUGCAGAUGCCAAGCGGCUCAUUGGUAGGAGAUUCGGUGAUGAAUCUGUCCAGGCUGACAUUAAGCUCUGGCCCUUCAGAGUCAUUUCUGGACCUGGAGACAAGCCUAUGAUUGUUGUUCAAUACAAGGGCAAGGAGAGGAAGUUUUCUGCUGAAGAGAUAUCCUCAAUGCUUCUCAUCAAAAUGAGGGAGAUUGCAGAAGCCUACCUUGGCACCACCAUCAAGAACGCUGUCGUCACUAUCCCUGCAUGCUCCACCGACUCGCAGAGGCAGGGAACCAGGGAUGCCGGAGCGCUCGCUGGUCUCAACAUUAUCCGUAUCAUCCCUGAGCCGACUGCUGCUGCCAUGGCUUAUGGUCUUGACAAGAAGGCCACUAGUAGCGGUGAGGAGAAUGUUCUCAUCUUCGACCUUGGUGGUGGUACCUUUGAUGUCUCUGUUCUUACCAUCGAGGAGGGAAUCUUUGAGGUCAAGGCCGUAGCUGGUGACACUCACCUUGGAGGUGAGGACUUUGACAACAAGAUGGUCAACCACUAUGUUCAGCAGUUCAAGAGAAAGAAGAAGAAGGACAUCAGUGAUGACCCCAGGGCUCUCAGGAGGCUUAGGACAGCCUGCGAGAGGGCCAAGAGGACCCUCUCCUCAACUGCGCAAGCCACCAUUGAGAUCGACUGCCUGUAUGAAGGAAUCGAUUUCUACUCAACCAUCACCCGUGCCUUGUUCGAGCAGCUCAACAUGGCUCUCUUCAGGAAGUGCAUGGAGCCUGUGGAGAAGUGCCUCAGGGAUGCUAGAAUGGACAAGAGCUCCAUUCAUGAUGUUGUGCUUGUUGGUGGCUCCUCUAGAAUUCCAAGGGUUCAGCAGCUUCUCCAGGACUUUUUCAAUGGGAAGGAGCUUUACAAGAGCAUCAACCCUGACGAGGCUGUUGCCUACGGAGCUGCUGUCCAGGCUGCCAUCUUGACAGGACAGAACUAUGACAAUGAGAAUUCAAAGAUUAUCGACCUCCUUUUGUUGGAUGUUACUCCUAUUUCUCUUGGUUUGGAGACACUAGGUGGUGUCAUGUCUGUGCUGGUUCCAAGAAACACCACCAUCCCCAUCAAAAAGGAGAUGGUAUUAAAUGAAAAACAGAUGAUCUUAUCUACCGACUCCAACCAGACUACCAUCCAUAUCCAGGUCUACGAGGGUGAGAGGACCAGAACUCGUGACAACAACCUGCUGGGCAGGUUCGAGUUCUGCGUUCCUUCUGCACCCAGCGGUGUUCCACAGCUCACUGUUACCUUCGAUCUGGACGUCAACGGUAUCCUGGUCGUAUCUGCUGAGGACAAAACCACUGGCAAGAAGAAGAAGAUAACCGUCAACAAGAGAUUUUAUAUUACAAAGUGAGAUCUCUUGUAGAGUAAUGAUUACGUAAUCAGUAAUUACUGUAGAAAAUAAUUAUUUAAUCAGAAACUAUGACGGUAUCCUGGAGUGAUCAGUACUGUAACGUGGUUAAGAUGUGCAAAACUUCGUAACUUUGUUGUUAUUGGGAUAUGAAUAAUUCAGAUUUGCCUCUUGUGGAAAAUCAGUAACUAUGGAAGGAAAAACUACAAUACCUUGCCAUUCCAUCAUGGUACUUUGGUAGCACCAAUUAAAAUGCAUUGGUAGCUCCAAUUCCCCUCGCUGGAGGAACAAAGCACGCCCAUUAUUUUCAUGCUGUCUUGAUCAAGUUGGUCCGUUCCCACACCACCUAAACCGAAUCACACACUAAUUAACCUACUCUAAAAGCUCUAAUCUCUUGUGCGUUAAGUCUCACAUUAGCAGCAGCUUUUGCUAAGGGGACUGCUUUUAGUUUAGUACUCCUACCACGUAUAGCUUUACAGAUGCUUUGCCUUGCCUGGUUUAUACUCCACCUGAAAGCUGGUUUAUACUCGGUCGAGGAGGUGUUUCAGGCUGCAAUGGUCCGUGCGGACGAUAAAUCGCGUGUCCACAGGUACGGGCGCUAGUGGCAGACGGUGUGCACAAGGCCAGUGAGCUCUCUCUCGUAGGUGGCCAACUUGGCAUGCUGCGGCGCGACUGCUUUGCUGGAGAAAACGAUUGGUCCCUGACCUUGAUGCAGGACCAUGCCGCAAUCUGUACCGGAGGCAUCACAAUCGACCGUGAACGGGGCGUCAAAAUCCGGCAAUUGGAGCACUGGCCCUGUCGUCAGGGCAAGUUUGAGGGCGUCGAAAGCAUCAGUCACCGCCUAGGACCAGUGGAAAGCUUCCUUCUUGAAGAGAACCGUCAAUGGCGCGGCGAUCACACCACAGUUGUGGAUAAACUUCCGGUAGUAGCCGGUCAAGCCCAGAAAUCUACACAGCGCCUUGACAGAACGGGGUAGGGGCCAGGACCGGACCGCCGCUAUCUUCUCCUCAUCCAUGGCAACGGCGCCGAUGGCAAUGAUGUGGCCGAGGUACUGGAUCCGCCGUUCACCGAAGAGACACGUCGAGCUCUUGAGAACGAGGCCGUGUCCCUGGAGCACCUUGAGGACGGUGCAGACGUGCUGGAGGUGCUCUGUCAUGAGCUGUUGUAUACGAGGAUGACAUCGAAGAAGACGAGGAUGCAGAGGCGGAGGAAAGGACGGAGCACCUCGUUCAUAGAGCUUGGAACGUAGAGGGGGCAUUUGUCAGGCCAAAAGGCAUUACCAAGAACUCGAAGUGGCCAUGGUGGGUGCAGAAGGCCAUCUUGUGCACGUCGUAUGGGUGCAUGCGGACCUGGUGAUAGCCGCUAUGUAUGUCCAGCUUGGAGAAGAACAGGGCGCCCUUGAGUUCGUCGAGGAGCUUGUCGACCACUGGGAUUGGAAAUUUGUCGCGCACUGUCUUGCUGUUCAAUGCCCGAUAGUCCAUGCAGAAACGCUAGGUACCGUCGCGCUUGCGCACAAGGAGCACUGGAGAUGACAAGGCCGAUGUGCUCGCCCUGCUCAUGCCCUGUUCCAACAUUCCUUGGCAUUAGCUCUCGAUUUCAUCCUUCAAGAGCUGCGGGUAACGGUAUGGGCGGACGGCGACGGGCGGCGUGCCGGGCAGGAGGUGUAUGUGAUGAUCAAAUUCCCGUUGCGGCGGCAGGCCUGUCGGCAUGGCAAAGAGGUCCUUGAAUUCGUCCAGCAGCAGCUCCAGCGUGUUGUUGAGAUCCACCAGUGCGAGGCGUGGCACCGGCUUGGCGUUCACCCCGAACCGCUUCAACCCAGUGGAAUGAUGUAGAGGUCGAUGGAGAAUUCCUCCUAGCUGAUGGUGACGGUGACGCCCUUGCACACACCCGAGGAGCACCCGCUCGCCGUUGGCGACACCCAGCGUCAAGCCGGGGCGGGCCUUCGGAACUAGGCCGAUGCCUUCCUCGGAGAUUUUCAUGUCUUCCUCGGACGUGUCCCCAUCAAAUCCCUCGCCAUCCUCUAAUUCCAAGAAUUAGAUGCCCUUCAUGGAGCAUUGCUUGAUCUGGUCCUGAGAGAAUUUCUCAGGGCAAUUGUAGCAUAAGCUGUCGAGGUGGCGCGGAACCAUCUCCUCCGGCGUGAGCCGGGUGAAACGCGCGCCUGGUGGCGGAGCUAGCUUGAUUGGCGUGCCGGGCGAGGUUGAAGUAGAGCCCGUCGCGCCCGGCAUUGAUGGCGAUUGGGGCACCGGCGCAAUUGGGGCAGCCGCGCGGGACAACACAUGUGACGGGCAGCCGAAAGUGCGCGGUGUGUCAUCGGCCACCUGGAGGCGGCACUCGUACGCCCGGGCGAGCACCAUGGCGUCUUCCGGGGAGUCCGACCUGUGCAUCUCGACGUCGAUGCUCAUGGGUGGUGACAAGCUGGCGGUAAAGAUGUCAAUCUGCUGGCACUCGGAGAUGUUCUCGCAGCGUGCCAGGAGCUUGAGGAAGUGCUCCUGGUACUCAUCUACCGAGCCCGUGCGGCGCAGAUGCGUAAGCUCAUUGAGCGGGUUGCUGCACACUCGAGGAUCAAAGCGCUUGUUGAUGCCGUCUACGAACGCUGGCCACUCAGGUACGCUGCGGUUCUUUUCUAGGCGGUAGUACCACUAGUCCGCCGUGCCCUUCAGGAGAAGGACGCCUGUCCAGACCUUCUGGUCCUCCCACGUUCCUUGCGAGCGGAAGAAUUGCUCGCACUUGUGCAGCUAGCCGAGGGGAUUUUCGGUGCCGUCAUACUUGGGGAAGUGGAGCUUGUGGACCGGUGGCAGUGGGUGGGGCUGCUUGCCGUCGGGUGCCAGACGAGGAGGAGGAUGAAUCGAACCGGCCCUAUUUCUUCAGGACUUGCGUCUGCACAUUGCUGAUGGAUGUGGAUAGGCGGCCUUGCUCCAGGCGGACGCUGCCCAGCUCCACAUCCAACUUCUUGCUUAUGUCGUUCAUCUUGGAGAUCAUCCUCUCGAUGGCCUCGUUGAAAACCGCCCGGGUGACGAACCCAUCGCCCAUUGUUGCUAUGGAGCAGUGGGUUUGGCGGCGCAAUCGGUGGCAGAAGGUUGAGGGCGCAGGAAGGCGAGGUUGCAGCAAAGAACAGGCUGGUACUAGAGUUGAUACAGCCUGUUUAUUCAAUCUAUAUAGCAAUGGUAGAUGUGUUUACAGCUAACUCGUCCUCUCCUUGAGAGGCUCUAAGAUUAGAGAUAGGUCAAGUAGCAUGAGUCCAUGACAUCCAUGAACCCCUUUUCUUUAUUUUCUCUUCAUUUUUUCUCUACAGAUAGGUCAAGUGGGCUUUAAGUUGACAGUUGGCCCAAUCGACUCAUCAAAUGGACGGAGAGCAACAAAUUUACAAAUAUCAAAUGGCCUUAGCCCAUCUAAGUCUCCUCAGGCCCAUCUAUACACGACCCACGGUGACUGUUGUGGCAGGCUUGCAGCAAGCAGCGGCCACCGGAAUCGCCACCCUCGUCGCCGGCGCGGUAGCCGGCAGGAGUUUACCGACUAGUCGGCUACCGACUCGGCUAAUCCUUUGCGCGGAGAUGUAUAGCAAAGCUCGGCGGGGCAAGCGGUGCCUACUGAACCACUCGUCGUGCUCGGGUCCCGUCCGAUGUGGGAGCGCCGCGAAGGUGCUCGGAGAAAUGGGGCACCAGGGCGCCGCACUGGCGCUCGGGGUAGGUAUGUAAGGAGUGAUGUGCGGAUCGAGCGCUGAAUUUUCGAAGACCUCACCCGUCAUCUUUGAAUCUCACUCAUCGGCUUGAAGCCUGGUGGGCACUCCAGUCUGUAGCGUGGAGUAUCCGCCCACCUCUGAAAACGACGACGGCUUCCUUGGAGGCUUCUGUCCGUCAUCUUCUUGGAUAUUUCGUUCAACGCGGUGGCCACAGUCCAAUGGCGGCUCACAAGAUGGUAUUGCCGUCUUGUGGGCCUGAUGAGUACACUGAAAAGAGGUUCUGAUCUUCCAAUUAGUUUGUUCACUGAUUGGUGAUUGCACGGAAAAACAGAACAAGACUAGCAAUCACUUGGUGCAGGAUAGCAGGAAGGGGUGAUCAGAAGAAAGGCAACAGAGGCAAUAUAUAAGGUCUGUAUGCUGUCUUAUUUCGAUUGUUACAAGGAGGAGAAUAUCAUAAAGGUUGAUGAUCUUAAUUAUCAGUUCAAUCAUGUGUAGUCUAUUUUUGGUCCAUAAUUUGCUUGUUUGGUAUGUAGUUUGCACUGAACUACAAGAUGGCUGAUCCCCUGGCCAGUGUGGAGAAGAUUAUCAAAGUCGCACUCGCCAUCAAGGAGGCCGUCAAGACUGUCCGGAAGAACAAGGAGCAGUGCCGUGAGAUCAGAAAGCGGGUCCUGCGGGUCAGUGCCCUCUUGAAGCGGCUUCAGGAGACAGAGAUCAUGCAAGACCCGGCGAUGUGUGACUCACUGGAGGCGCUCGAGGAGACGCUCACCCACACCCACGACCUCAUCAUCGCCUGCCAGAAGAAGAACAUCAUGUGCCACUUCUGCAUGGCUUGGGACCUUGCCAAGCAGCUGCGCGAAGUAAAGCAGGACAUCUCAGAUCAAAUGGUGGAUGGGAUCUUCGCCGCUAAUGUCAAUGCUACAAUUAUCUUGACAAGUAUUCAAUAUGCGGCUUGCCCUCUGCCCCCAAAGGUAAGAUUAGUUACCUGCUUAAUUUGAUUUGAUGGUAUGGGUGGCAGAUCCUUCAUGCUCUGCAUCUGACUCUUUGUAUAUAGAAUGCAGGGGCGGUGGACAUCUCACAUUGCAGUCAUUCAACUUAUGAUGACAGGUUAGAUAUGAAUUUUAACACAUUUACCUCUGUUGUUCCACUGUAACCUGAAAUGAAGUAAAUUAUACUGGAGGUUUCAAAACUUGUAAGAAAUUUUCAACUGGCGUAAGUUAAAACAUUAACUUUUCAGUCCCUAGACUUGCAGAUUGUGUGACUGACCUAUGCCAUUUUAUCUCCCAUUCUGACGUAGUAAAGGUUAUAUGUCAAUCAAGCAUUCCAUAAUCAGGGCCUGUUUUGUUACUCCAUUGAGGUGUUGCAACAAUGUGCUUUGAGUCAAUUUGGCCAGAGUACUUUCAUAUUACCGUGCAGAUCAUUUAUUGUGAUUAUCCACAUAAGCAAUUCGAUGAAUUAAUUGACAAUGCACACGUUGUCCUCCUUGGAGCUUUUCCAAAUGUGUCUCUUUUAGCAUCUAUUUUUAUGAACUGUUGGAUAUCAUUUUCAAUAAAUUAGCAUAGUAAGUUGCAAGCUUUGAAAUAUGCCCUUCAUUUGAGUUUCCUCAUAUUGAAAAUCAUAUAAUAUUGCUGAAUGGAAAUGGCAGAUGUGGAUUGAUGAAUCACAGUAAAAACAAUGUACCUGCCAGAAGUGUGUUGCAAUCUGCUCCCUUCUCAUGUAAGAUGCCAUCUCAUCUCACUCGCUUCACCAUAAUUCCUGUCCAUACAUUACUCGUUAGGCAAUAGGCUAGCCACUUUCGCAUCAAUAUCGAAUGUUUACUGUAAGCUACUCAGAAGUGAUAUUGCUCUUACAGUUUCACAUUUGCAUGAUUUGAUGUUCUGAUGACAGGUUUAACAAAGUUCAGUUUGUCAGAGUUAGAGACUGCUACGAAUGGAUUUUCAGAUGAAAAUCUCAUUGGGCGAGGUGGCUUUGUUAGUGUCUAUAAGGUAUUCCACAUGCUUGGUUUGCUAGUUUUAGAUCCAUUUUGGCCUUCCACAUGACCAUAGUCAUCAAUGGCAUGAUUUUCAACAAAGCACGUGUACUACAAUUAAGACAUGAUUUUUUUUCCUGCUAUGACAAGUCUUUUUGUUGGUUUACAACAAGGUAUAUCUGAAAACAUUGAUCUUUAAAGCCAGUGCGUGUUUCAGGAUAACACUGUAAAUCUCAGGGUGAAUCAGUAUUUAAAAGUUCACGUGAUUUAGUGCUUAAUCCUUGUUGAAGAAUUAGGAGGGUCUACUCAUUAAUGUAACUCAAUAGAUGACAAAUAAAAGAUUUGACCAAAUUGAUUGGAGAUGACCUAUCUAAUAUAAAAUAAUGCAUGGCCCUAACUGUCAUUUUGGUGCAAACACUUUCCUAAAACUAAGGCUCGUGCAUCAUUGAUUCAUGUUGGAACUUGUAGUUACAUAUUGUCCAGCAAAAGUAGAAGUGAGCUAUGUUCUCUUUAUAUUAUAAUGCCAGUAUUCUGUAUACACACCAAUAUCUCCUGUUGAGAAGAAAGUGGGGAGAAUCAGGACUAUCAUUCUAUUUCAGCAUUUUUAUGGAAAAUUCGAGACCAAUUUCAAUGUUAAAGUGAAAUUUUAACAGCAGUGAGUAGAAAUUGGGAUUCACGCACGGUUUUAAACCACCCUUGAUCACACUUCACCGCAUUCUACUUUUCUGGCAGAUUUGCUCUCUUUCUGAGUUUGGUCUGUUGUAGCAGUAAACAAACAUGUCACAUGACCACAGACACAUCACAAAUUCUUGAUUUUCAGGUUUUAUCAUUGCAAAACAUUCACAUCAUUUAAUUUGAUUGUUGCACUUUUCAGGGUGUACUACAUGGCGGUUUAGUGGUCGCCAUCAAGAGAUUUCGAAAUUCAGUUAUAUUUUCACAGGAUCACUUGUAUGAUGAACUUAAUCUUGUUUCAAAGCUCCAGCACAAAAAUCUAGUUAAACUUCUAGGAUAUGGCUAUGAAGUCAUACAAACGGUGGUGCGGGAAGAAUUUCAAGCUCAAGCGAGGCUAUAUUUUUUGGUCGAAGAGCACAUGCCGAAUGGAAACUUGGAGGAUAAUUUGAAAGGCAUGUUUUUCUUUAAAAGGACAACAAGAAUUUCAUUUUCAAUGUAGACCAACUUUCUCUUACCUUUCUUUUCUAUAUCAAUAGUUGGUCUAAUGAUCUUUAUUUCUCAGGGUUCAGACUUGAUUGGUUUAACAGCUUUCACAUAAUCCAGGGGAUAGCGCACGGGCUAAAUUAUCUACAUGUGCAGCACAUUGUCCACUCAGACUUGAAACCAAGCAACAUCCUCUUGGAUUCAAAUAUAAAUCCAAAGAUUGGUGAUUUUGGGAUAGCUAGAAUGUUGGAUCAUGGUAAUAUGACCACUCGUGAUGUCAGCUGCUUAGCUGGCACAAUGUAAGAAACCAUCCCUGAAUAUAUCCAAUAGCCUACUUCACUUUUGCCCCCAUUAGUUUUCUUCUGAUAGUAUCCAUUUGUUUAUAACUAUUCAGGGGAUAUAUGCCUCCAGAAUAUAUUGUGGAAGGUAUUUUGUCAACAAAGUAUGACGUGUACAGUUUUGGUGUCAUCCUUCUAGAGAUCAUUAGCAGUAUGUGCAGCUCCAAACCAGCUCGUCGCCAAGCUUCUGUUGAAUGGGUAAGCACAUCAUUUGCAUGUCAUCAUGCAUAUACCACAACAUUAAUCUGUUACUGUUUCUUGAACUUCAACCGAAAAGAAUGUAUUAGAAUCUGCUGUUCUGCAUCCUAAUGCCAGUCUUAGCUGGGGUUUUCUCCUGCCCGCCAUAUCGAUCUUAUGGUUAAUUUUGAGGGUCUGCUAAGCUGUUAGAACAAAUUGGCUUUUGAGAAAGAAUAUUUGCAGGGGCCCUGUCCCAGCCAAGCUUCUUGGAAAGAGCCUCAGGUUCUCAAGUGUUUGGCAUCAUCAGAUCCCCAUGCUAUAUUCCUUUUCUUUCACACAUGGUUCUAGCAAACCACAUCCCAGAGACCCAGACCACGUAUGCAAGUUCAUUGUCCUUCUGGUCGACAAAGAGCCUCGCGACAGCACAGUAUUGGUCCUGCUGCAGCAGGCCUCUUUUGGAUAUAAGAACUAGUUGAUUGAUGGUUUGUCUUGGGUGCAUAUAGAGAAUGGAUAUUCAACAAUUAUCCUAGUCACAAUAGAAAAUCAGAUUGUUUAAAUGAAACAAUCACCAGGUGACCUCCUCAAGCGCGAUUCAAAGCCAAACAAACGCCAUACAAUUAAAUUGAUGGCAAAAAAUGGAACUUAUGCUGAGAAGAGGUCGCCAAUGGCUACCAAUGGCAAAACCAUCACCAGGUGACUUCAGGCGCAAUUAAUAAGUGUUUCAAGUAAUCAUGGUUGGGACUGAAAAUAGAAACUUUUUUUCUUCGAUAGAUUGAAAAUUGAAACUUAAAAGCACGUAGUUGAGAGGUGUGAAAUGGACUUGUUCAAUGAUGUUUUUUUUAUUUGUCAGGCUUGGGAGGUGCGGCGAAUUGGAUUAUUGAUAAAGGAAAUAAAAGUUCGGUGUAACGCAUCUGAGGGUGACCAGAUAAAAAGAUGCAUGGAGGUAGGACUCCUGUGCACCCAAUUUAAUCCGGCGGACCGCCCCACCAUGGGGGAUGUUCUUGAGAUGCUAAAUGGGAAGAAAGAGCUACCGACCCCAAGGAAGCCACGAUAUAGCAAAAGAAGGACCGGCGAAGGUGUGAGGAAUUUCACGCUAAGCGUCCCGAAUGAUGGCGAAGGUGUGAGGAAUUUCGCGCUAAGCGUCCCGAAUGAUGUGAGGUUGUAAAGUUGGAGGAGGGUAGGGUGCAUACAAAUACGACUGAUGACAUAUAUAUUAUGUAGAUAGAAAACAUGUAUAGAUUACAGCUGCGAGUCAUCUCUCUCGAACAAUUUCAUUUUGUGUCCUGUAAAAGUUGAGCGUUCAGUUCGUGUUAUGCACUGUUCUUGUAAAAGUUGUAAGCAUUCUCAUUGCCAGCUCCUUGCUCUCAGCGACCCCUUCUGUAGUGUAGCUUCAUGAACACUAAGUUUUGAAAAUCAUUGUGUACAAAACACAGAAUCAUUUACUCUCUACAGCAUUAGAAGCCAUUACCGGCGGAGCAUAAUCAGCGUGGUGUGUGAUAAUACCAAUAUCAGUUCAGUUGCUAUCUGUGUCGUGUUCUGGAGUAUGUCAGAGUAGACUGCUCUGUUGACUUGAGCUCAUGCCCUUGUCCUUUACCACUUUGUCACCAGGUGAACUUUUGUUGCAUGCUCACAUCCAUCCCUCUGAAGUGAAUAAGUUGUUGACACACGCAAAAAAUAGCUGAAUAAAUACUUUAUUUUGGAUAAUGGAAAGCCUGAAUAACCACCUGAAACACUCGAAAUACCUUUGCUCAGUCUGAAUGUCUGAUCAACAAAUACCUUUCCCAUGCGUGGUUCUGACCCAGCGUCAGUCUUCUUGGCAAGAAUUUUCACGACGCAUGAUUUCCACAAAGAUUCCCAUGUGGGUGGAAUCUCGCAAGGAACCCAGGCCAUAUCACAAGUUUUUGCAUUCCAACCCAUAUCAUGGAUGCUGCUUCUCUGCUUUGUAUGGGGGAAAGAAAAUGCAGCGCAUGAAACUAUCUUACAAGAGCGCCUAUUAUCCACGACACGAUUGAGUACAUUACUACGUUAACAGAGGAAGGGGGUGCACAGCCGGAUGUCUAGAUGAGAGUCAAUGCAGAGGAUGAGAGGACGGACAUCGCUGCACGCAUGCAUGGACGCCGUUGGGCCAAGAGUCCAAAGGCUUAUCUUGGGCUUUCCAAUCACACGCAGUCAGGAGACCCGACGGGCCUAUUGAACUCACCUAAGGCCCAUAAAAAUUUUUUCUCCUCGCAUCCCGAAGUAGAGGAUGUCAAGAAUGGCGGACUGUUGCCGCCGGAGCCCGCAGCCACGGCUCCCCUCGAGUCUCCUCCUCCUCGCCGCCGGGGCGGCGGAUCUGCACGACUACACCUACUCGGGCGACAAGGCGGAGGCGUCGCGAGAAACUCUCCCGGGAACCAUGAGCUCUGGCUGCGGGGACCUGGCGGGCGGAGCCUCGCGUUCUGCGGAAAGGCGAGAGGAGCCGCGAUGGUGUUCGUGGAAAUGCCGCACCGGAGUGCGCGGCAACAACUACUCCUACCAAAAAGAAAAAGGUUAGCAUGAUUUGUUUUUGAGGUCAAUUCACCGAAACAACACCAGCGCGCACUGGCGUGCGGAAUUUAGCAUUAGCAGGUUAUGAGUUGUCUGUGUCAUGAGGCGCUGAAUCAUUCACAAACUCAUCCAUCAUCAAGUCUAUCUCAAAGUCUCAUCAACUUUAUUUCCAUGCCAAGGACUGUCUUCCUUGACGCUAUGUUCGUUACCUUCUCAGAAGUUUCGUUUGACGUGGUAGCUGCAGCUCAACGGCGGAUCCCCUUGGUGAAGCUUGUCAUGGGACAGGACUACAGGAAUGUGCCGGAUUGGCCACAGUUGUUCAACACGGGGGUAAGUCACUAUCAAGAAUUAAUGAAGAAGGACCAAAUCACUUUCAAAAGACUAGUAAACUCCCAUUAUGUAUGAAUGAAUAUUUUGCUACUUAUAUGACAAUGCAAAUGGAAAUAAUAAAUGAAAUAAAUAUUAUGCAGUUAAUAAAUAGAUUCUGAAAAUCUAAUGAGAGAUGAUGCUUGAACUCAUCAUUCCUGGAAGGAAUAAAAAUCACAACAAAUAGAAGUUAAAUCUCAUACUAAGUAUUGAAUGUCUAAGGUUGAUAAUAUUCCUGAAUGAAUACUAAAUAGUCUCUAGAAGAGCAAAUCUUCGAAGGAAACAAUGCUAUGUUCGUUACCUUCUGAGAAAUUUCGUUGACGCGGUAGCUGCAGCUCAAUGGCGGAUCCCAUUGGGGAAGCGUGUCAUGGGGACAGGACUACAGGAACGUGCCCGGCCGAUUGGCCAAAGUUGUUCAACACGGGAGUGAGUCACUAUCAAGAACUAAUGAAGAAGGACCAAAUCAUCUGUUUGCAUAUACCAUAUAGGUGAAGAAUUCACUACACGGGGGUGCAGAGCUGCCAUUGCUAUUGCUUCGUGCAGGCGCAGGGGAAGAAAGACGGAGAGCUAACGAGGUCGGUGGUGGCCAGAAAAGAUGGAUCUGGUUGGCAGCGUGGAGACGAUCGUCAAGCUUGGUCUGACGAUCAAGGAGGCCGUCGACACGGUCCGCCGGAACGAGGAGGAGUGCAGUGAGAUCCGGGAGAGGGUGCUCAGAGUCGGCGACAUCUUGUCGCCGCUGCAGGAGACCGGGUCGAUGGAUGACAGCCCGGCGAUUAGCGGCGCGCUGGAGGAUCUGGAGAAGACCCUCUGGCGAGCCCACACGCUCGUGGAGGCGUGCCAGGAGAAGAGCACCAUCUGCCUCUUUUGCACGGCCGGGAAGCAGUCCACGCAGCUGCGCAAGGUGCAGGAGGACAUAACACAGAAGGUCAUGGUGGUGAUCUUCGCCACCAAUGUCCAGCUCACCAUGAUUCUGACACGGCUGGACCGUCCGUGCCCACAGACCCGGGAAUCUUUUCAUAUGGGGUUGGAGGUCUCCCUUCCUGGGGACAGUUCGGUCGGACAUACCUUGGCCUUCUCGCGACCCGCGAGACGGGCGCACCCAGCGCCGGCGCCGCCACAAAGCUCCCCCGCCACCACCCCAGCGUUCGCCGUUCCUCGUCGUCGACGUCCACUGCCGUUCGCGUCCACCGCCGCACAGGACGGCCGCUCGCGUCCACCGCCGUCGAUGUCCACCGCCAGUUGCGUCCAAACUAUUAAUGGUACAACCAUUUAUGCAUCCAAAUCUAGUAUUUAGUUCUUAUCUAUCUAUUAUUUAGCUUAUCUAUCUAUUAUUUAGCAAACCUUGUAAGAGCAUUUUCAAGAGGAUGGCUAUCCCACUCUCUAAGCUAAAAUUUGGCACGUUUGCUGGAAAAUUUUGCUCCAGCAAAGUUGCUAUCCGGAUGGCUAUCCCAUCCGGCUUAUCAAAUACUCACCUAAACUUAGCAAGUGGGUUUGGCUUGUCAAAUAUGGGUCCCACACCUAAAAUGGAGAGUCUGUUAUAGUAUGAAAUGGAGAUGUUGGUGGAAUGGAUGGAGAGUGUAGAUAUUCAGAGAGAAACCUAGCUAUUGAAAUUUGGAUAGUGGGAAAUGUUGGAAUGAGCAACUCAAUAUGGAAAGGAAUCUUUUUUCCAACUUGAUUAGAGAGUCGAAGGAGAGCUAAAAAUGGAUAAUUUGUUGGAGUUGCUCUAAUCUUUUCGUAAAAACAAGUUAUUCUAGAAAUUUUGUGACAGAUUAAUACAUCAACAACAACAACAAAGCCUUUCAGUUCCCAAAGCCUUUCAGUUCCAAGCAAGUUGAGUAGGCUAGAGUUGAAACCCAACAGGAGCCACACAUCAGGGUUCAGCACAUGAAUAGCUAUUUUCCAAGCACUCCUAUCCAAGGUUAAAUCUUUGUGUAUAUCCCAGCCCUUCAAAUCUUCUUUUAUUGCCUCUUCCCAUUUCAAUUUUGAUCUUCCUCUGCCUCUCUUCACAUUACUGUCACGCCAUAGGGUUUCACUAUGCAUUGGUGCCUUCGGAAGCCUCCGUUGGAUAUGUCCUUAUUCCGGAUUCGAUCCCUUCUCGUAUGACCACAAAUCCAAUGCAACAUACGUAUUUCCGCAACACUUAUCUGCAGAACAUGUCAUUUUUUUAGGCCAACAUUCUACACCAUACAACAUUGCAAGUCUAAUCGCCGUCCUAUAAAACUUGCCUUUUAGCUUCAAAGGUACCCUCUUGUCAUAUAAAAUUCCUGAUGCUUAGCGCCACUUCAUCCACCUUGCUUUGAUUCUAUGGAUGACAUCUUCAUCAAUAUCCCCAUCUUGUUCUAGCAUUGAUCCCAAAUAUCAAAAUGUAUCCUUCCUGGGCACUACUUGUCCUUCAAAACUAACAUCUCCCUCCUCAUCUGUAUUAGUGCCAAAGUCACAUCUCAUAUAUUUAGUUCUAGUUCUGCUGAGUCUAAAACCUUUUGACUCUAGGAUCUCCCACCAUAACUCCAGUUUCCUAUUUACUCCUGCUCGACUUUCAUCAACUAGCUCUACAUCAUCCAUGAAGAGCAUACACCAAGGGAUAUCCCCUUAUAUGCCCCUUGUGACCUCAUCCAUCACCAAGGAAAAUAGAUAAGGCCUCAAAGCUAACCCUUGACGCAGUCCUAUUAUAAUCGGAAAGUCAUCUGUGUCGCCAUCACUUGUUCGAACUCUAGUUACAACAUUGUUGUACAUGUCCUUAAUAAGUCCAACGUACUUCAUUGGGACUUUAUGUUUGUCCAAAGCCCACCACAUGGCAUUCUAUGGUAUUUUGUCAUUCGCUUUCUCCAAGUCAAUGAAAAUUAUGUGUAGGUACUUCUUCUCCUUAUACCGCUCCAUAACUUGUCUUAUUAACAAAAUAGCUUCCAUGGUUGACCUUCCAGGCAUGAAACCAAAUUGGUUCAUAGAGACCCGCGUUAUCCUUCCCAAAAGAUGCUCGCUAACUCUCUCCCAUAGUUUCAUAGUAUCGAUCAUCAACUUAAUUUCUUGGUAAUUAGUACAACUUUAAAUAUCUCCCUUAUUCUUGUAUAUUAGUACCAAUAUACUUCUCCACUCUUCCAGCCUCUUGUUUGACUGAAAAAUAUGGUUAUACAACUUGGCUAGCCAGACUAUGGCUAUAUCCCCGAGGCAUCUCCAGACCUUAAUUGAGGUACCAUUCGGGCCCAUCGCCUUACCACUUUUCAUCCUUUUGAACGCCUCUCUCACCUCAGAUUCUUGGAUCUUCCGCACAAAGUUCCUGUUGGUGCCAUCAAAAGAGUCAUCCAAUUGAAAGGUUAUGUUCUCAUUCUCACCAUUGAACAAUUUGUCAAAAUACUCUUGCCAUCUAUGUUUGAUCUCAUCCUCCUUUACCAAGGUGUUUUCUAUUUCAUCCUUACUGCACUUAACUUGGUUGAAGUCCCUCAUCUUUCUCUCACAAACCCUAGCCAUCCUAAAGAUGUCCUUCUCUCCUUCCUUCAUACCUAAUCAUGGUAAAGAUCCUCAUAUGCCUUACCCUUUGUCACACUCACAGCUCGCUUUGCGAUCUUCUUUGUCUCCUUGUACUUCUCUAUGUUGUCCACACUUCUAUCAUGGAACAAGCGCCUAUAGCAUUCUUUCUUCUCUUUAAUAGUCCUUUGAACUUCCUUAUUUCACCACCAAGUAUCUUUAUCUACGCCUCUACCCCCUUUGGCCACUCCAAGCACCUCCGAGGCCACCUUCCGAAUGCAGUUUGCCAUAUUCUCUCACAUGUUUGUGUCCUCUCCUUCCUUCCCAGGGUCCUCUUUGAUUACCCUUUCCUUGAAGACCUCUAAUGUCUCCUGUUUUAGUUUUCACCACUUUGUUCUAGCAAUCUUGGCUUGUUUAUCCCUGCAUGCGUGCAUCUGAAAACAAAAGUCCACCACCACAAGCUUAUGUUGAGAAACAACUCAUUCCCUUAGUAGCACCUUGCAAUCCAAGCAUGCUCGUUUAUCCUCUCUUCUUGUGAGAAUAAAGUCAAUCUGGCUAUAGUGUUGACCACUACUAAAAGUCACUAAAUGGGACUAUCUCUUCCUAAAGAAAGUGUUCGCUAUCAUCAAGUCAAAAGCUACUGCAAAGUCCAAGAUUUCCUCUCCAUCCUGAUUCCUACUACCAUACCAAAACUCUCCAUGAACUGCCUCGAAACCUGCAGUUGUUGUACCUAUAUGCCCAUUGAGAUCUCCUAUGAAAAGCUUCUCGCUAGAAGGUAUAAUUCUAACCAGGCUAUCUAAAUCUUCCUAGAAUUGCCUCUUAUUACUCUCAUCGUGGGCUACUUGGGGCAUACGCACUAAUUACAUUCAAGACCAUAUCACCAAUUAUAAGCCUAACUAAGAUAAUCCUAUCCCCUUGCCUUCUCAUGUCCACCACUCCAUCCUUAAGACACUUGUCAAUCAAAACUCCCACUCCAUUUCUAUUUGCAGCUGUCCCUAAGUACCAAAGCUUGAAACCAGUAUUGUCCGCCUCCUUCGCCUUCUGGCCCUUCCAUUUAGUCUCUUGAACGUAUAAGAUAUUUACACGCCUCCUAGUCGCUACGUCUACUAACUCUCUUAACUUACCUGUAAGAGACCCUACCUUCCAAGUACCCAUCGAGACAGAUGUGAAGACCCUUGCUCAUUUUUCACUACACUCGAGCACAGAUAUAGUGCACCGUUAAGGAAAUGACUAUCCAAUCCUUGCUCACUUGACACUGUGCCCAAAUCACAACACGUCGCGUCACCAAUGGGGAGAUGACCAGACCCUUGCCCAUUUAACACCAUACCUAGAUUCCGAUAUGGCGUGUCGAUAAGAGGGUUACGCCCCAACGAAUUUCUCUUGGGUUUCAUCUCCAUUAGAAUGGCUAGGUUUAACAUUGGCUCGCCAAGCCUAUCACAACCCUCCUUCUUUGCUAGGGCUUGAUAUCGGCUAUGUUAAGACAACAUAGGUGGAGUUAAAUUUUAAGACAAAUUAAUAAAAAAGUGCUAAGUGAUUGCCGCAUGCGCAUGCACGUACUAAAUGAGGUAACAGUAACUUAUUUUUUUUGGAUAAACUUUGAAGUCCUAUUCAUUCGUUCAUUUCUCACUUUUCAUUCCUUAAUCUCACUUUUUUAUUUAUUUUGUUUUUGGGCCCAAGCCUUCUGACAUUGUAUUUGGUUCUUUAUCCUUUUUUAAUAAAAAAAAAGAUAAUCAGUUUGAUGAAAACAGAAUGAAAGAAGAGAUACGGAAUGCAGGCAUGCAAGACCUCCUCCAAUAGUUAGAGUCAAGUACUAACUCAUAGACUUAAAAGAUUGUGUAAGAGACAUGUUCUCGAACAAUUAGAGUCAAAUACUAUCUCUUAUGUCUAUAUAGAUCCAUACAUCAGUCUCACAUGAUUUAGGAAUAUAUGUCUGAGACUAUCUCUUGAACAAGAAAUAGCUCUUCUUUCUUUUUCUCCUACAUGGGUAAAAAUCUGAUGUGUGGCAUACCCAUGAGGUAGCUGAGUUGGCACCAUUGGAGGAGGCCUAAGCUGAAUAUAGGUGACCUAGGUUUGCUUCGCUAAAUGCAUUUAUGACCGAGUAUUUAUUUUGUCAUAAUAGCACUGCUGGGGAAUUGCACAUACAACUAGGAGUAGUUCCAAACUGGUUUUGGAUCCAUCUUUUGGAGGUGGUUGAAACCAGAAUUUUCUUUCCAUUAUCUAAAAAAAACUGAUUUUGGAUCCUGUAGUAGGCUAGUGGGACUGUGGGAGUGAUAUCUCCUGGCUGUAAGUAACUCAGUUCUAUUUCUCAAUGCAUUAACCCUUUCGUACAAAUUAUCACCAGUGGACCACUAUGCCUACAGCAGUGCUUACACGGAAACACCAUUUUUUUUUGUCAGAUUACGCUGGUCGAGUAAGUAAACUUUAUUUUAUUAUAAUUUACAUGUUCCAAGGAAGUGAGUCUAUCUCAACUGGUUAGGUUGGAAGGUGUGGUCAUGUAACCACCAAAUUUCGAAUCCUCUCUAACUUGAAUUUAGUUGUCUAUUUUCUUCUUUUGAUGAAAGAACCACCUAGUUCUUUCUAGAUGUUUUGAAGGGCGGUUCCACUAUUGGAAAACUCCCUAUUAGUACCGAGUCGAAUCUGGGCAGUUCCACUACUGGAAAAGUCCCUAUUAGUACCGGGUCAAAUCCGAGACUAAAAGUGCCAACGUUUGUACCAGUAUUAAAGAGUUUUGCACCAAAAAAAUAUUCUAAAUUUUGUGGAAUUUUUCACCUACACAAGUCACGUGAUUUUUCACGUGAAAUAUGCGCUUGCACGGCGCCUGCGAUUUGAACUCGUGACCUAUUGCCUCACGCAUAGCUUCCUGACUAUCUCACCUACACAGCACAACUAAUUGAGUAGGAGAUACUUUCCUUUUGAAGAUACCUAUGGGGGUCCUUUUAAUAUCGAUUUGUGACACCAACUAAUACAAAAAGGUGACUUUUACUACCGGGUGGGUAACACCAACUGAUAUUAAAGGGUGGGUUUUAAUACCGGUUGGUGUUACCGGUACUAAAAGACCUUCAGGACUGCUAAAUUUAGACCCGGUACUAGCACUAGGUCCAAUAAUUUAUUCUGAGAUUUUUGUUGGGGAUCGAUGACUCUUUUUCUACUUGCUAGUGUUCAUCCUUUGAUCCGCACCUGGAAAUCCAUUUUUAGAUGUGGGCCGACUACUAUAGUGCGUCGCCAUCUUUUUAGAGCGCGUCUAAAAAUCUUUUUUGCAGUUGUGCUCGUCAAUACUCACUACCGUGAGCUAAAACUCUAACCACGAGAAGGUUAAGACUAUGAUAUCCUGGAUAUGCCAGGAAGAUCACCAUUAUAUAAUCUGGGAGGUCUAAACGGUGGAAUUUUAGGCUAUAAAUAUCCCAGGGCAAAGGCACACACAGGGCGAACAACACUUCAAAGCGAUAACAUGCUCAUCAUGGCCUGAAUAAACACCCUGCAUGCAUGUGUUUGGUUGGAUUUCCUUCCUUCGUUGUUUGCAUCCUAUAUUUUUAGAGAUGCAACUGAUAUUUUGAGAUGUUGCAAUGCGCAGUUUUUGGGAUGUUUAGUCAUUUGGGGAUUCAAACUUGAGUUUGUAUGAUCUGGAUUUCUGGAAUCCAUUUUAUGCCAUUGGUUAAGGAGUUUUCUGUAGCAAAGAGCUAUUUUUAUACAUAUUUGAAGUGUUUUACACAUUGACUUUUGAUGUGGCAGUAACCGUUUCUAUGUUUUGCAACGGGCCAUUGGAGCAUCCGAUAGGGAGUUUCCCAUUGGAUAUCCGGACACUAGCAAGAAUGUUAUAUAUAUUAUUGUUUUCACCAUAGGUUGGAGAAAAUUCAGUUCCUUAGAGUUGGAGACUGCUACGAAUCACUUUUCAGAAGACAACCUCAUAGGGCGAGGUGCCUUCGCUGCUGUCUUCAAGGUUCUCUCUCUCCCUCUCUCUCUCAGGCUUCUAAACAUCUUUCCCGUGUUGACCGAUAUGUGUAUUGGCUGAUAUCCCAAUUGGCACAUAUCCAUAAGUUCACCUAAUAUAUUCAUCAAUAUGAUAAGACUAAUUCAACUUUGGAAAUUGUACACGUAUUAAGCAAAAAAAUAAUCAAAGCUUUCUUAUAUAUCUACAUCCCAAUGCAUAUACAUGAAAAUCUUUACAUUAUGAUUUAUUUAUGCACUUUAUAAAAUUACCUUGAGGGGUUGAUGGCAUAAUUUAUGUUAUGACAUUGAAACUUUAUUAUUAACCUUAUCAAUAAUCGUAAUGAAAUCUAUUUUAUGAAUUGGAUACAAGGAAUACAUCUCCUUGAGAUGUCUUAUGAUCUCUAAAAUCUGACAAACAGCAGUGGCCGAAAGAUAUGAUCAUGUUCCAAUAAAUGCUACUUACCUUGCACUCAAUUGUCAUUGUGUUUUUUAAAAUAGAAUGCAUGCCUUAGCUCACUGUUUGUGCAUAUAUACGCAGAUGUGUAUUUAGGCUUUAUCUGAAUAAAAAUUUGAUAAAUAACAUAUCCAGAAAUUAUAUUUAAAGAAAUUAAUUGCUUCUAACAUGACCAUAAUUAGCAUUAUAUUAUUCUUUUUGCUGUGUGCCUCAAUCUCCCAUAGCAUCGGCUAGAAAUUUGCCUUGUAUAUCCCAUUGACCUACUGGCUAGAAUCAUAUACUGGUUCAAAUUUAUAAGUUAAUUUAGGUUGUUUUUAAAUUAACAAUCGUGGAUAAAUUAUUUAAGUUUAGAGGAUUUUUAAGUUAUUUUGUAUAAUGAUAUAAGUGGGUAAUCUCGAUGAAGGUUCAUGGACUAAUUUAGUUUUUUCAUAAUGAUAGGGGUGUAUAAUUUAUAUAUAAAUUUAGGGGGUUACUUUGUACUUUUUUUCAUAAUAGCAGAGGAGGGUACUUUUUUUAGAAAACCUAAUAGAUGCAAUGAUUAGAAUUAUCAAAUUGAUGGCCAAAUUUCUAAUUUUGCGAGAAGUUUUAAGAUUUAUCUGUUUUUUCUAGUGUGUCUCAUGAGGGUUAACGUAGAGGCUCCAAAAGGGUCUCUAAUUAGUAAUAGUAAGAUAAGAUAAGAUGCCAUGACGAUGACUAGCAUGCACACCAAAUCAGCAAUGAAUUUCACGUGCAAACAUUUGUUGACAACAUAUCCCUAUUUUCUAAAAAAAUUGGUAAAAUAAGAAACGCAUCAAUUAACUUGGUUUGCCCUCGUACUUUUCAGGGUGUGUUACGUGACGGACUGGGCGUUGCCAUCAAGAAAUUUAAACAUCCAUAUCAACUUCCAGCAGCCCACAUUAAUGAUGAGCUCAGUCUUGUUUCGAAGCUUCAGCAUAAAAAUAUAGUUAAAUUUAUAGGAUAUGGCUAUGAAGUAAUAGAGAAGGUGGAUGGAUUUGACGACAAUAAACAUCAAGCACAAGAAUCACAUUAUUUUCUUGUGGAAGAGUACAUGCCAAAUGGAAGUUUGGACGACAUUAUCUAUGGUAGUUUUCAUUGAAGCAUUGGUAUUUCACCUACGGAGUUGUGAAUCGUCAUGUCUUUAACUACUAGUUUGUUUAUUUGCCCAUGAUUUAUGUUUGCAGGGUCUCGAAUUGAGUGGUCCUCCCUUUUUGGGAUAGUUCAAGGAAUAGCCCAAGGCCUACAUUACUUGCAUGAACAACAAUUAGUCCAUUCUGAUUUGAAACCAAACAAUAUACUCUUGGAUUCCGAUACGAAUCCAAAGAUCACAGAUUUUGGAAUUGCCAGAAUAUUGGACCAUGGUGAUGAUAUGCCACGUGACAUUAACUAUUUAGCAGGAACAGUGUAAGAUAUGUUCCAUCAAUAUUUCAGUAAUUGUGAACAUAACCUCGCCUAAAUUAACAUGAGUUCCAAUAUACACCAGGUGUGGGCAUGUUUCCCCAUAAAACCUUGUAUAAUUGCAGUUAUUCUGUUAGAAUAGCUUUUUCAUAAUCUUUUGUAGAAUUUGGUAUUCUGAAUCGAAGCAUAGCUUGAGGAUUUGCUCCAUAACAACAAAUUUUCGUUUAUGGUGGGAUGUCUAGUCCUUAUUUUAUUUCUUUCAGAAAAUUCUGAUGUUAAUUAUUUAACAAUGCAGGGGAUAUAUGUCUCCAGAAUAUAUUGUGGAAGGCAUUUUGUCGACAAAGUAUGAUGUCUAUAGUUUCGGCGUUAUGCUCCUCGAGAUCAUUAGCAGUAUGUGCAGAUCUAAACCAGCUCCUCGCCAAGCUUCAAUCGAAUGGGUAAUUAGUAAAUUUUACAGGCAUGCAUGCAUAUAGGUUCUGUACCAGGAUUUCGAUCAAUUUGUUAUUUUUUUCUUAUGGCCGGGCUUUGUUUUGAAAUCAUAGGUAAAAAUGGGUAACAUGUAUAUGCAAUUGUGCGUCUUACUGCUGGUCCAAAAGGGGAUUAAAUUGUAGUACCUGCCACAGUACAGCGGACCUAAGAUUUUUUUUUCUAGGUUAGGCAUUCAAACUAGAGCAUAUCUAAAUGUUCGUAGUACAUAUAUACUGACCAGAAAAGUAUGUUAAGAGGAAUUGGAAAAUAACUUUUGUAUUUUAUGUUCAUGCUUUUUGUUGCUUGGAACACAAUAAUGUAAGCUUAUCUCAUAGAACAUGUCAGUAGUUGAGCUCUUCAAAUUGUCUAUCUUUUUUAUGUGAGAUUGGAGUUGCAAUUAGAGUGCGUAGAGGAUUCCAGCCCUAUCCGCUAUAGCUAUGAGCUAGUGCCCAACAGGCACCAGUCACCAAAGCUCACAACAACUAAGAGCUUGGGCCUAACUCAACCCAAAGGGACCAACCUAAUGGGCAAGGGCUGCCCCACCUUAUAUGUUUGUGCUUCCCCACCAUCAAUUCCUGAUGUGAAACUAAUGAACCUAUGAAUCACGACAAAUGUGGGAUUAUAACACACAAACAAUGGUGAAUAUUUAUUUUUAUGAAGAAAAUGAGUCAAUGCAACACUGUGCUGUGACGGAGAGAACAAUAUUACCCUGAAAAUUCAUACCUUAUUUUUUGGCCUGCAUUACAAUUGAUGGCUGUGAGUUCCUUAAUUUCUUCCUCAUCCCCCAUCUCUCUCUUGUAGUCUUGUGUCACCCAUCCUCUACCGCGAAAUAAACUAGAGUGGUAUGCCAUCUUAAUUAAUCACCUGACCCAGAAAAUACUAUUGGGUACCCACUCGCCUCCCCUCGCUACCGCUGCUUUCUUGGCUCCUCCAUCCGACAAUGCCACGAAAAGCUCGGAGCUAUGCUCCUGCACCAGGGAGUUAGUAAAAACAGCUUCUUGAAAGAGAUAAUCCAGGGGAUGUAUAUGGAGCUGUAAUUACUUUACAAUUACAAUAAUUGUGUAAAAAAUGAGUUUUUAUGGCCUCUGAGUGAGUAAAACGAACCUACUCCAAAUUCAUAUGUAUAAGAAAAUAUUCCACAAAUAAGUUGUUUGCUUGCACUCUAUCUGCCAAUCAUUUACUGUACAUGCAGCUAAUUUAGGUUAUCUUUUGUUAUGCAUAGGCUUGGAUGGCGCGGCAAGCGGGACAAAUGGAGGAGUUAUUGGAUCCAUCGUUGUAUGCUGAGUUUCAGUUGAAGGAGAUAAGAAGGUGCAUGGAGGUAGGCCUUCUGUGCACUCAGUUUAAGCCGGCUGACAGACCCGCCAUGUCAGAUGUUCUUGCGAUGCUAGAUGGCAAGAAAAAGCUAAGGACCCCCAAACAACCAGGAUAUACGAAAGGAAGAAAGGCCUGAUCAGACUGAUGCGCGGGUUCCAUGCACUGAAUAAAUUAUUUCCUCGUGUAUCUACUCUUCACAUAAUAUUAAUCGAGGAUAAGCCGGCCAUUUUAUCCACCUUAUUAAUUCUAGUGCCUAAAUCUAAAACAACAAGGUAUUUUGUUUCCAGAGUAGUAAGAGUUAAUGAUGUUUCGUAUUUUUGGCUGAACUCUCGACUUUGUUUGUUUCUUUCUGGGUAUGUGGAAAUGAAAGAGCCAGGAGCCAAUUUGCCUUUUUACACACAAUAUGAUCUCUCUCUCUCUCUCUGCUAAAACGAGAGUUAUUACCUGAACGCAAUGGGAGUACAGAUUCAGAACACCUGCCGUGUGAUACCGAUACCAUGAAUUCAUAAUGUCAUGUCAAUAAGUUUCAAAAAAAUAAUGUCACGUCAACAAUAACCAAUCAAAAAAUAGGAUUGAGACAGUAAUCAAGCGGUGCAAUAGUGCAUUUUUUAUCAUCACCCUCUCAUGCUUAGAUGUUACAGUACAUCGUAGCAAAGGUACUGCCUCCAUCCUAAAUUAUUCCUAAAUUAUAGGUCGUUUUAGUUUUUCUAAAUACAUAGAUAGAUAUAGGGUAUAUCUAAGUGCAUAUCAAAGUCUAUGAAUCUAAUAAAGCUAGAGCUCGCUGCUUAUUUUCCCCUAAACUGAGGGAAGACUUUAUCUCAGAACUGGGGUACAACCAGAGCUCAGCGUAUUCGGUUGGAGUCACCGGACAAUCCAGAGUCAUCCGAUCCAAAUGCUGAAGCUGAUCGAUCUGUUUUGUUGGACUGAAUUUAAAUAAAACUUGUGCGCUGAUCAACCCUCGUACACACUUUUCUUUAUUUUUCGUAUAGAAAUGUUGCAGUGUGGUAAUGAAGUGAAUGGUGAAUCAGAGGGUGCAAUAGUAUCCAGUACGACUCCUGCAGAUUCAUAUCAGGCAGGUCGAGAAGAAACUACCUCAGCAUCCAACAGAUUUGUUGCAUUAACUCAUUUACUUUCUACAGCAUUAGAAGCCAUUACUGGAGGAGCAUAAUCAGGGUGGUGUGUGAGAUGAUAUCAAGAUGAAGGUGUGUCAGCUGAAGCAGUCAUCAGCUCACUUUGCUGUAUACGUCGUGUUCUGGUAGCUGUCUGUUAUGCCAGAGUAGACUUCUAUAUGUGUUGAUGCCUAAUUGUAGAAAGCUGCCAUUUCUUGGUCCUCUUUCUGCACUAGCGGCGUGUCCCGGCCGGUUCCCACGGCCUGGACGCCGUGCUGUCUGGGGACACAGUGUACUCUGCUGCUUGCUCUCCUGCUGCUCUGUUUUCUGGUGGUAUGUCCUGAGGUUUGACUUGAGCUCAUGCCCUUGUCCUUUACCACUUUGUCACCAGGUGAACUUUUGUUGCAUGCUUAAAUCCAUCUCUCUCAAGUGAAUAUAUCCAAAAAUAGCUCAAUAAAUACUUUAUUUUGGAUAAUGGAAAGCCUGAAUAACCACCUGAAACACUCGAAUACCUUUGCUCAGUCUGAAUGUCUGAUCAACAAAUGUCCCAGAACAGAAACGCCGGUAAGCCUUUGGUAUAGAUGCUUUGCCAAUCAACAAUGUCUAUCCCAGCCGAAAGGCUCUUAUCUCCUGUGCUUUAAGGUUUAUACAACUAACAGUAUCUUGAAAUGUGCCAGAGAGAAGAAUCGCAGUUAGUGUAAUCUCUCACUCAACCUUAAAAUUCCAUACGAGCAUAUGCAUUGCUUAAUCUUCACGCGAUGUUUUCGUACCCAUACCAUUUUGUUAACACAAGGCUUGGCUUUAGCCUUUUUUGUCUUUUGCAUUGGGCCAGCCAUGUAUUCCUUCUCAGCAGAUAGUAGACGAGUUCAUACGGAACAAAAGAGCGGCAACCUCGAUUGGUCCAGGGAUAGGAGGAAGAGGUGACCAACAAUCUGAAGAAAGAAAAAGAGCCAACAAGGUCAAUGCAUGCUAGCUUACUCUUGCUUAUAAUUACAUUGAUUAUUUUUGCUUAACUCGUCAGCUUGUCUUGUUAUUUUCACAUUCAGUGAUCUUGUAGCUAGGUUGUGUUGCAUAAAUCUCUGGUGGCAGAGGCUAGAGAUUACCUCAAUAAUCUGAGAAAAAAAAAGGAGAUUGCAUGGUACACAGCGAUUAGAAUGGCAGAUCCAGUGGUCAUCGUGGAGAAGAUCAUCGACAUUGCGAUCAAUCUCAAGGAUGCCGUGGAGACAGUUCGGGAGAACAAGGAGGAGUGUCGCGGCAUCGAGAAGCUCGUGCGCAGAAUCAGUGACCUGCUGUCGCUGCUCAAGGACUCGGAGAUGAUGAGGCACAAAGUGAUUGGCGGCCCGCUAGAGGAUCUUGGGGAUGCCAUCAGACGCGCUCAUGAUGUCGUAACAGCCUGCCAGGGGAAGAACAUCCUGUGUCUCUUCUGCAAGGCCGGGAAGCUGGCCAAGAAGUUGAGCCAGGUAAAGAACGACAUAUCACAUGGGAUGAUGCUGGCCAUCUUUGCCAACCAAACCGCCGCCACCGUGUUUGUGGCAACGAAAGGCCAGCAAAGUUCUGUGACUGUCAAUGUGUUCCCUGUUCGGACAUACCAACCACCUCCCCUGUCCGAACAUCUACCAUCUCGCCCUACUGUUUUUGUUGAUGAUGACCUCCAGCCUAGUUUGCCCACACAUGAAGGUUCUUUUCAUCCUCCUGAUGAUGUUCUUGGCAAUGACAUACGUCCUAGUCGGCCUCAUUCGCACACAUCCCCUCCUCGUACCAAUGUAGUAGCUCCACCUUUGUCCAAACACCUACCUCGUCGUCAACCCAGACAACCAACACCAGCACUGCCUACACCUCCACCACCUCCUCCUCGUAUGACCCGAUACAAACCGUCGCCACCGCCAACUCCUCCAUCACCACCACCACCACCACCACUUCCUCUUCCCACAUAUGUAACUUCUCCAAUGUCUGACCAUCAGCCUCAACGUUCAUCCACACCACCAUCACCUCCUCGCCGUCCUCCCAUCGCAAAUAUAGCUCCUCCUCUAUCCAAACAUCAACCUCCUUCUCCACCCACACAAUCAUCAUUACCACCACCAUCACGACCUACUCCUACUAAUCCUAUCACAAGUACAGGUCUAGCAAAGCCUGGGCAUCUACCACGUCCAUCUUCACAUGUACCUCAUUCUACCUCACAGGUAUGAUUGCUUAAUUACCUACAUUAUUAUGAAAUAAGGAUAAAGUUAGAUAUAAUAUCUUAAAAUAUGAAUUGACAAUUAUUUACAAAAAAAGUAAAGGCCUAAUUUUAAUAGGAUGGAAAUUUUAGACCAAAAAAUACAAGAUAUAUUUUCUUAACCUUUAAGGCAGUGCGUACACAAUAGAUGUGUGCCAGAACAGUAAGCAAUCUGAGAUGUGCUAAGCUUGUUUUGUGGGCGUGCCCCUUUAGAUUGACAUAAAACAACUUUUUCUCGAUAAGGGAAUCUUUAUUGACCUUUAGCUAUACAGUUUUGUGAUACAACUUCUAAAUAAGUAAUUUUGUGAUGGUCUUGCCAACAUUUCUGUUGUUUAUGUGAAAUUUUCUUUAUUGUUAUUAUUUUUUAUCUUUGUGAUUUCUAUUACCAUAUAAUAUAUUGAUUUUAUUUUUCAGAAUAUUGCAGACAUUUCAGCCCCUAUUUCUGGUCCUGUCUCCCUCACUCCAUCAGAAGAUGAUUGGUUAGUCAUCUACCAUAAGUUUUAGAGUUGUGCUACCAAAAUCUUAAGUAAUAAAUGAAUGCUGGAUGUCUCAAAACUAUGCGUCAAUAAAUAUAAGAUAUAGAGAAUUUAAAUUCAAACUAUAUAGCAUUCGGUCAACAAUACGCUAAUUAUAUAUGGGUUUAGUGAUGCAAAAGUGGUACCAGCACAUUUGUAUUUAUAUUCAUUCCAACAGUUAAGAUUCGUAACUAGUAGCGUUAUAUAAUCCCUGGAGAGUCCCACUCCCACCUAAAUUUUUAUAAGUAAAAACAGAAUUCAAUUUACUUCCCUGGAGUUGCAGUUUAUUUCAUUUCCAUCAUUAAGUGUAGCUUUCAUUUAGUUCAAACUGCAAGUAUUCAGUGAGAUUGAUAGUGGUUAUAGAUAAGAAACUGAACAAUUAUGUAAUUAUUGGUAUCUGUUUAUUCCUCCAUUGAGCUUUUGCAUCAGCGUGCUUUAAGUUUAAUUUCGUCACCAUUCAUGAAAAAUGCUGGUUUUGGACAGAAAUAAUUCAAAUACCAACAUAAUGGUAUUUUUAUUUCUUCCGACACAUGGGAAAUGGUACAUGGCAAGAUGAAGUGCAUAUCUCUGCUUGCUUAGCUCAUCCUUCCGUAGAGCAUUUCCAUUUGCACAUGUUUUGUCUAUUUUGAUGGAGUGUUGGAUUAGAAAUAAUGAGCUAACCUUGUAUCCUGCAAGCUUUGGAGAUACUUCUUUUUUAUUCUUUACUCAUUUAAAAAAACAUUCACCUUCACUUACUUGCAGCAGCAUAUCUGAUGAAAGAAAAAAUAAACGAGCAGAGAGCGAGGCACCAUCUCAUCCUUUACCAGGUAUAUGGUUGCAAUUCUGUUCCCGUCUAUCUUCACCUUCACACUCCCUAGAAGUCAUCUUUCUAAAGUUUUGAGUUUAUUUGAUACGUAUAAAGAAUACCAAGUAAGAUUGGUUAUAUCAAUAUUAUAUGGUAUAUUCUAUUUUAUAUAUGCUUUCAAUAAAAAAUAUAAUCUACUAAUACAAGUUAAAAAAAGUGGUCAAUGUCAUCUCUUGAAGAUUGAUAAAAGACAUAAAUCUACAUAAAAGAGGACAAAUGGAGUUUAUGUUUAUCAAUUUUAGCACUUGGCAGUUGAAACUCACUCAAAUUGUUAUUCUUACUACAUUGCACUAAGAACUAUUGGUUCUAAUAAUACACUUGCAUUCUCUGAUAAAUCUAAGCGAGAUAAGUUGCGGGUUGAUUCUAUGACAGGCUUAACAAAGUUCAGUUUGACUGAGUUGAAGAACGCUACACAGAAUUUUUCAGAGAAAAACAAGAUUGGAUCAAACGACUUUAGUACUGUCUACAAGGUACUCCAUAUGCUUGGCAUGCUAUUUUGUAAAUGUGAUUUCUCAACACGACACUACCAUUUAAAAUCUACAGAAACAUUGAUUAUAAUUUUAAUUUUAUUAAGAAAUUGUUUCACACACCUCAAUAAUCUAUCACAAAAACACAGUUUUUUAAGAACUGCGAUCACUUCCAACAGCUAUGCCACUUGUUGGACACAUUAUACUACCUUGCACAUUUCCUUUUCUUUACACAAGAGGUACUUGCGAAAUUGGAUAAGAUCGAGCAAACCCACUAGCUUCAUUGCAUUACUUAGACAUAUAGACAUGCACAGGACGUCACUUUUCUGGAUUUAUUUCAUAGAAUGAAACCACCAUUUAUCUUGCUUUUUAUACUUUUAAGGGUAUAUUGCACGACCGACUCCUGGUUGCCAUCAAGAAAUUUCGUGAUCCACCUCCAUUUCUAGUGGCGCGAUUGAGUACCGAACUUCAUCUUGCUUCAGAGCUCCAGACCAAGGAUGUGGAGGCUUUGAGGGAUAACAAGUAUAUUAUCAGAAUUCUGGGAUAUGGCCACGAAUUCAUGUGGGAGAAUCAGUGCCUUCAAACUCACAUUUUUCUUGUCGAAGAAUACUUGCCGAACGGAAACAUGGGAAACAAUAUUUAUGGUAUGUUCCCCUCUGAACCAAAAUAGUACAUUAUGAAUUAAAGUAACCAAUAUAAUUGCUUCCCCUCAAAUUCUAACUAAUCUGCAGGAGAAUAUCGACUUCAUUGGUCCUCCCUCUUCAAGAUAAUCCAGGGGCUAGCCCAAGGCCUAAAGUGCCUGCAUGAGCAAAACAUUGUCCAUAGGAAUGUGAAACCAGCCAUCGUCCUCUUGGACUCUGAUAUGAAUCCUAAGAUAACUGAUUUUGGAAUAGCUAGAAUCUUGGAGAAACCGAUGGUUCAUGACAAUAACAUAGCCGGCACAGUGUAAGAUGGCCAUCUUCUGAAUUAAAUAUCACAUUAGAGCUAACUUGUGACAAGCAUAAGUCUCUUUUGUUUCUUCUUUCCUUCAUAUUUUGUCCUGAGGUCUUCCCUUUCUAUCUAACCAUUCAGGGGAUAUAUGCCUCCUGAAUAUAUCUUGGAAGGUAUUUUGUCGACUAAAUACGAUGUGUACAGCUUCGGUGUCACCCUCCUUGAGACCAUUAGCGGUAUGUGCAGAUCUGAACCUGCCCGUCACCAUGCUUCAAUUCCAUGGGUAAGUACACGCACACCGACACAUCAGUUUAUUUGUCACAUUUUUGUUGGAAUUACACAAGAAAAUGCAUCACGUGCGACUUUGCAAUUCUACAUUUUUCAAGUAGUCCAUCUAGCUCAGCUCCUAUUUUGGUGACUACCCUUACAAAAGGACAGAGUUUUGAGGGAACAAUAUUCAGAUUUUUUCAGAUAAUGAUCCACUAAAAUGGGAAAACGAAAAUCUGGCACCCAAAUUAAUCAGGCAAAACAAUUCAGUUUGCCACAUCUUGUUUGUUAGAAUUGCUAGCGAGGGGAUGCUGAGGCCUUGAUUUACUAUUUUAUCUCCUAGUGGAUCAUUAUAUUUUGCUAUUAUUUCUUUCAUUUUACUUGUUUCAUGUUUUAUUUUGUAUAGGCCCAGGUUUAAAUUUUUAUGUAUAUUUUUAAAACAUUGUAAAUUGCCCAAAGCAUUGUUGAAUUGAUUUGUUCCAAAUAUGAAAAUGAUUAAAAAAUUAGAAAACUUUCAAUUAGGGCCAUAAAUUGAACACUGUUUGCAGUUGAGAAUAAAAAUAGAUUUUGUGAUAAUACAUGCAUGGAAACAAUUUACUCAAAAUUUCCUAAAAAGAAAAACAACAUCUUCAUCAGCAUGAUUUUUGUUUCAUGACCGUUGUUGUUUACCGAACAAAACUCGACAUUUAUACGUGCCGUCCGUUCUUCGCAGGCCUGGAAUGUGCGAGAAAAUCAACAAAUGGGUGAGUUGUUUGAUCAAUCCUUGUUCGAGAUAUCUCAGUUAACAGAGAUAAAGAGGUGCUUGGAGAUAGGACUACUAUGCACUCAGUCUGAGUGGGUGGAGCGGCCUACCAUGGCUGAAGUUCUUGACAUGCUUAGUGGCAAGGUAGUAGGGUUAGGAACCCCAAAGCAACCCGAAUACACCAAAGAAAGGGUCAUGACUUCCAAAGGGGCCAGCCGUAAGGUCAGAGGUGGGAGGUAGCAACGCGCCGAAAUGGCAUGUUGCAUCUCUGAAAUCUAUAUAUAGUAUACUCAUGCAAACCCUCGUCACUCGGCAUAUCUACUGUUUCCGAUAGUGUCAUACACUUGUGUAAAUAUUAUCUACAAAAAGAAUCCGUUGUGAAGUUGUAAAUACUGUCGUUGAGAAUCAAUUGUUAAGUGUAUGUGUGAAUGAUUUGUAAGUGCUUCACGCUCUUAAGCAAAAUCUACUGAACUUGCAAGCAGAACACGACCCGGCGCUCCAUGCCUCCGCCGGCCGGCACAUGGCUGCAGAUGCAUCGGGGAGUUGCAGUCGCAGGCUUGCAGCGGCAGAGCUGAAGCGGAAAGGCUUGCGUGGGGCAAGCUUGGGUGGCUUCAAGGAGGCUGGGAGGAGACGGAGGGAAGUGAGAGAUGGCCUCAACUCGGCGGCGCUCCGGCGACCCGCGGCGUGAGGCGGAGGCAGCGUCCCUCUGCGGCCCCAGGGGUGGACGGUACCUGCCGUCCGAUGGGACGUGAGCGGUCGGGAUCGACUGAAUCGUGGCGGGAUCGUGUUCCCCGUCAGUCAGGCGCGGCGGCCGGUGGCCAUGUGCGGGCUUCGCUCUCUUCUCUUGUUCAUCACUUCGCCGUCGGAGUGAGCGCCCGCGCCGCCGCAUGGACAGCGAUCGAUCGCAGGAGCUCACCGGCGCAGCGCCCCGUCCCGAGCAGGAACAGAGGGGUAUCAGGCAGCUGUUCAGUGUUCAGAUUCAACCUGGCAGUCUGGCACCGGUGAUCUCUGCCAUUCUUCUUCGCCUAGUGAAUCGUCGCCAUGGCCGAGUAAAUUGAGCGCGGCAUGGUGUUCGUGGACGUGAUCCGUCAAUAUGCUGAAAUCAAGGGAUCAAUUCAGAAUCUGUCAGAGCCUCGGUUCUAGUUCUGUCUCACGUUUCAUUCAGCUAAUUCAACAGAUAAAUUGGGCUUCCGCCCUCCGUCGAGCCGUGCGUCGCGUCGUCACCAGGUGAUGGCGGGCAACAACAGGGAGCGUACAUCUUGGUAGAACAUCCAUGAUCCCAACCUCUGAAUGCCUUCGCCGGCGCUGCCAGCCGACAUGGCACAGGGUUUCGGUACAGCGCCUGCAACGUCCGCCGUGGUUCCCGCCGUGCGACAACCUUGCGCCUGUUUCUUCAGCGGCCGCGGGACAUGGGAUGGAUGGAGUCAUCGUGCGCGCGCCGCCAUGCCGGCCGUCGCGCCGCGCCCAGCACACGGACGCGUUCGGCCGCCGGCGCCUUCGCCUCCAGCUUUCACAGCACACCAGAUGCACGAGCCACAGACGGGGAAGGGGACGGAAACGGAAGCUCCGGUGCGGUGAGCCACGGCGCGAGGACCCCCAAAGGGUGGACCGUCCACCCCUGGGCCCUGGUUGCCUACUUGCCGUCCGAUGCAACGUUGGCGGUCCAGAUCGACUCAAUCGCGUACGGGGUCGGGGAGGCCAAAGGCGCUCUGCUUCGUCAGAGUCGACGCCAGCGGCCGUGGCGCGGUGCUCCGCUGGCUCCGGCGAAGUAAAGGGAGAGGAGGGCAGCUCACCAGCUUGGCCGCUGCCGAGAGGGCCACCAGGGGAGUUUGUUCAGAUCUUUCAACCUGGCUGGCUUCUUGCCGCCUUGCCGGAGCUUCUAGAUUCUUCUUCCCCGCCUGGAUCAGUGGCAGCCCGGGCGCCUGAAAUGCGUGGACAGAUUGUUUCGUCAUGCAGCUGCGUGUAUUGUUUUGCCGGCGGUUCAGGUCACCGAGCUCGGAUGCCGUGGUACGGUGGCACGUCGUCAGAUCAGGAAAAGCACAGCACAGCUGAGCUGCCGACUGGGCUGGCAGUUCGGCACGCAGUGCCGGUCCGGCACGGUACGAAAAUACCUUCGGGUUUGAUAGUGCUGGGCUAAGGUCAGGCGGCCCAUCUAGCCAUCUAUAGGAAAUGAUAAGGAAUAUGGAGAAAUUAAAACAACAGUAAUACUAAGGUGAAGACGUCCGAUAAAAUACUUUGACUCCUGAUGCUACGUGACAUCUUCCUAUCUACGUAUAACUUGCACGGGCUGAAGAUAUUAUCUCCACCUUUCCACUCCGCACAGCACAAUGGCUAUCCUCUCCCUCUCAUUCUUUUUGCCCGGUCCGUCUCCUACACGGCCGCUGCCACCAAUCCACCACCACGUCCACGCCAUCGUCGCGACGUCCUCCUUCUUUCCCCACCACACGCGUCCUGGUGCUACCAUCGGGCGCGCGCGUCCCUGUGACACUGCUUCCGCCCACCACUACCGCAGCGUGUGGGUUCAAAGUCAAGGCGGCGGCAGGUGGGGCUGGGGCUGGGGAGAGCGGACUACGUGGGAGGAGGGAGGAUAAGGGCGGCCGCGGUGCGGGGCUGAGCUGUGGAAGCGAGGUAGCGGCAUUUUUGGUUUGGGUGGUGCACUAGGCUCGGGGAUUGGCCGCACGGGCCAGAGGAGGAGGAUUAUGGUGCAGGCCGAGGAGGCACAGGCGACGCUGCUGCAGGAUGAGGAGGCAGGCGGCGAGUGGAGCUCCAAGCCGCGCCACAUUGCUCUCCUCAUCGAGCCAUCGCCCUUCGCGUUAGUCCAUGCCCUCCUCUUCUCAAGCGCUCAGCUAGUCAGUCUGAUUAGAGUAGAUCAGAUCGAGGUAUAUGUAUCGAGUCUUUUACAAUAUCAUUAUUGCACCCUUCAAUUGAUGUCAUCCACGGCGGCGCUCGCAGAUGCCUCCCGCCCACCGCUGCCAUCAUAAGCGACCUGACUCUUCCACUCAUGAAUGGGAUAACGGUAAAGUCGAGAUGUUUCAUGUAUUUAUUUCAUUUGUUUCAAUUGUUCGUUUCUCUUGUUGCGGAUUUUGUUCACUUUUCUAGGAUUUCUAUUCUGAUUUUUGCUUGCCCCUUCUCUUUAGGAUCUAUGAUGUUUCAAUAUUUGAUUUUGCAUGUUGCAAUGGUUGAUUUGAGAUGUUAAUGUAGGAAUUGGUGUUGCCAUAGGGGUAUCCUUCUUCCUCGCUGGCUGACUUCUUGAAGCCAACGCUUUCAUGUUGCAGCUCAAUGAAUAUGAUGUUGCAGUAGCCUUGUUCUGAUGUUUCAACUAGAUCGAUGGAGAUGGUGAUGGCAUCCAUACUUGCAUCCUUACAUGUUUCAACGAGUAAAUCGAUUUUGUUGCGGUAAUAUUUUCUUGAUGUUGCAGUAGCCUUGUUCUGAUAUUUUAACUAGAUCGAUGGAGAUGGUGAUGCCAUCCAUACUUGCAUCCAUACAUGUUUCGACGAGUAAAUCGAUUUGUUGCGAUAAUAUUUUCUUGAUGUUGUAGUAGCUUUUUACUGGAUGUUUGAAGAGCAAAAUGAAUUGUUGCGAUAGAUUUAUCUGAAUGUUUCAGAAUUGGUACAACUUAACUGGAUCGAUGGAGAUGGUGAUGCUAUGUUCAAGGUUGCAGUAGCAUUUUUUAUGGAUGUCGCAUGUGCUUUUUUUGUUGUUGCAAUAAGUUUUCAUUGAUGUUGCAGCAAUGAGUGAGUUUUUUUAUUAUAUUCUUGAUGUUGCACAGAUUAUUUUAUAACAUUGCGGAUGCAAUUUUUUAUGGUGUAUGAACUAUUUUCAUCUUCUCUAAAUCUCCAACCAAUCAUCUCUCUACCCUCUGAGCCGUGUGAUGUUGGGUCCCCCCUCUCUCGUGACGAAGCAACAAUAUAGGAGCUCACGGUGGUAGGACAAUAUGCGCGUGACGAAGCAACAUUAUAAGGGCUCACGGUGGUAGGACAAUGUGCGCGUGCAGGUGGUUAGGUAAUAACUAACAUGGGACCCACCGUCCGACGACCAGCGCCCGGAUCGGACAUCCGGGUGCUAGCAGUACCGUUAAAACAAACCACGUUUGCACUGAAGCCGAUUAACUGCCCUGUGCAGGUGUAGCUAUUUGAGACUUUGGGCCUCGAGUCGAACGGCUGAGCUGUACAGCCGCAGCAGCCACCGUUGAAGAAGCUUAAGUAGCAGCCCCAGUAAUCGCGAUCCAAAAAGUUUCAUAUAAUGAUAUAACCCCUAACAAUUUUCAAAGAACCCUUUAAAUUGGAUCGUGAUCCAAAUAUUUGCAAUUACAACCCUGGAUUUUGCAUAUAGCACCCCGGUCGGGGUCCAAUUCCCUCCCGUUCGUCAGCCGCCGCCGUCCUCCGCGCCCGUCCGCCGGGAGAUCGAGCGGAGCACCUUCCCACCCACCAUUACCGCAUCCGAUGCCUAGCAUCAACAAGCUCUCCAUGAAUGGCACGGAAGAGCUCGUCAGCAAGCCCUGUGUCCAGAGCGGCCGUCCCGUGGCGUCCCGGAGUUGCGGCCGUCGCCGUGGCCGGAAGCCAGCCGGUGCUUCGCCUGCAGCUGCAGACGGUGCACUGCCAUGUUUUUCAUCUGUAACCCAGAGCCAGCUAUUGCAGCCACGAGGUGAAGUGGAGCCUGAUGUUUCUCGCCCAUCUCAGACGACCGCGAGGUGUUCGUGGAAAUGCUUCUCAGGUCGGCCGCUCCUUCCUUCUCAAGCAAAUUGGAUGGGGACGGCUGAACGCGACACAUUUUCAGACGCCGUGCUCACAUUGGAAGAUGUGUAGUCGAGGAGGCCGCCGCCGCCUCUCUUGCACAGCUCGGUCUCAUUGGAAUUGUGAACCGAUAAGGACCCUGCAAUGUCAAGCCGAAGUGCUGAACAUCUGGGACAGGCUUGCUACUCAGUGCACAGUCAAGAGGAAACCAUGUCCGUGAUGAUAACAGGAGAUGGUAGUUCACGCGCCAGAUUUCUCUGGACUCUUUCUGGGUUUCUGAUGCUGCACCGGGAUCUCUGCUAUUGUUUGCCUCCAGGUCUUUGCUUUGCAGUCUGAACCUGUAUAUAUCUGUUCACUAUCUGGCAACAUCCUCAUCAUGAUAUUGUCAAAGUGAAGGCAGUGGCUCUCAUAACUGUUGGCCUGUUGCAUGCUUUAGUUGCGUCCAUUGGAGAAAGAUACGAUACGAUAAUAGAUACCUUUAUGCCCUGUUGGGAAAACUGAAGAACCUCAGCACCGUUGAGGCAACCGGUAAAGCGGGUGUGUGCAAGAUUCUCGAGAUCAAGAUGGCAAUGCCAUUUUCUGUGCCUGACACAUUAUGUCCUCGUGCCCUAGAGAUGAAAUUGCUGCAUGGGAUGGAUUGCCAUCAGCUUUACCAUGCUCUCAUUUACUACUAGCAGUGAUGGAAACUGAUUGAUUGUCUGCAGGUCAUUGCCUGCUUGGUCUCUCUUCCGAUGAGGUUCUGAUGACGACGACUCACCCAAUAGCCAGCUCGCUUAUAAAAUUCAUGGUGAGAAGAGGGUCACUUUCCUUACCCCUGUUCAGAAACGCUUACCCUGUCCAAUUAUUGCGCACUGCUAAUCACAAACGCUUACACUGUCCUAGUUUGGUCGUUGAUAAACCAAAAAAGAUAUCCUAUGAUUAUGUUUGCCAAAACAAAAAUAACCUAGGAUGACCACUCUUUUUCAGGAUCAUUUGAAGUGUUAAUUUGCAUGUAUUAGUCGCAGAAAAUUUUAAUUUCUCAUAGUAGAGCUAUUAUGUUGUAGUUGUAGCAUCGCACCAUCAUAUCUGCAGCCAAAGUUAAGCAGGGCCAUUUUUUCAUGCAUGUGCCCUAUUGAAGGACCGAAAGGGUGACCAGAGAGGGGUGAAUGGGAGCCUAUAAAAAUUCUCAACGAGAACAAGGCCUAUGUCCCAAAUGCAACCCCAAAGCACACUGCGCGUUGUAUUGUCAAGAUGACCAAGUCAACUCGUGACAAGCUCACCCUAGGAACGAUUUGACACGCUCAAGACAUAACGGAAGCAAAGACAUAAAAUGAUUUUAACAAGUUUGCUCAAAACAUGAUUAACCAAGAUCACUACUAGCUAAUCACUCAACUAAGCAUGCAAGUGGAAAAAGAUUAAUCUAAAGUGCUAGGUGUGAUUAGCAAAUGAGAGAACAAAAUAAUUAACCUCUAGACUUGAUUAGCAAAAAGAUAUAUCAUGGAAAGUACUAAACAAGUAGUGAUUAACUAAUUGCUAUAAAUAAAAGAACAGUGAAAGCUCACGGUGCUGUCCAAGAUGAAGCUGGACCUGUGCGUGUGAAUCUGCCUCGGAGCUCGCAAUUUGCUGGACGGUUGCCUAGGCCAAGUUCCUUGCUUGGGCCGUGCGUGGAAGCUGCUGCUGCCUGCGUUGGUCCACGUGCCUGGUGUUGGGCCUGGCUUGCCUGGAACGCAGCUGGGCCGCCUUGCUCCGUAGCUAGCUGACUCACACGUUGGACUGUAGGAGCUGGGUCGGCCUGCUUGCCUCCCUGCUGCUGACCCGCGUGCACGUGCUGCUCGCUGUCCAGAGAACCUGCGCGAACAGAGACAGGAACACCAAGAACAACCGAAGAACAAGAACAAACUUCAAAUCAUAAGAUCUCCUCCCAUACUUCACGGAUCGAGAUGAAAUUUGAGACACGGAUGCAAUACCCCAAGGGCAAAUAGAUCCAUGAAACAAAAUUUGAAAAGCUCAAGAAUUCAGAAAAUCGCAACCCUAACUCAAGAACACAAUUUGGGAAAAACUCAAAAUCAAGCUGGAUUCGUGAGGGAUUUGAAAGGGGAUCAUAUCAAAGAUGCUCUCCAAGGUCCUAGCAACAUUUCUCUUCAACCAACCUCAUGAGAUUCGGGCUCAAACAUGAUGAACAAAAAUUCCCCAAAAAUAGUUCCGAAAAUAGGGAAAAAGAAAAAUGCUCGGGAAUCAAAGAUUUAGCACGAUUUGAGACAACAAAUAAAGCUAAAUCACCAGAACAUCUUCUAUACAAGAUAAGGACUAGCCUCCUCCCUUCAUCCGCCCACUAAAGAUAAAGAAAUCAAGAGAAAAGAGUAAUCACUCUCUAAUCUCCCUCUCUCCUCUCACUUUAAGCACAUGACUAGCCUCUAAGCAAAUAGAUAAUGAGUUGUUAAGCUAAGAGGUGCUGAAAUAACCAGCCCCCAUCCCUAUUUAUAGUCCAGGACGAAAGACUAUACUACCCCUACAGCUACAACUAAGAUAACUACCCACGCAGGGGCGUUUUGGUCCAAGUUUUUAUCCGCGCAUCGGACGGACACGCCGCCUUCACGACUUUGCUUCGCCUCGACGCAAGCUUCGCGAUGACGCCACGUGCCCUCCUUCUUGAAGCUCCGGCUGCACCAGGCUCGCGCACGGUUUUGAGGCCCAAACCGGGAAACCUGCUUGCGCGAUGGUUUUGAGGCCCAAACCACCCAAACCGUCCAUCUUUGCUUGGCCGCCACGCGACCUCCACGAUGUCGACGCGUGUCCGGCCUCUGCCAAGCCUCCCGCUCGACUCGACCGACGCCGUCUCCAUCUCGUCAUGUUCUCUCGUCGUGCCGUGCACCAUGUGGACCGCUCGUAACUCCGCCCGGACUCCUCGGGUCCAUCGGUCCAAGCCUACUCGCGUUCAUCCUUCACCGCCCUUGGUCCAUCGGCACGAACCUUUCGCUUGACCUUCACCGCACGCCGUCAUGUCGCAUCCUACACCUACUGAGGACCAAUGGUGGUCACCCUUGGAUGAUGAGUGAUUGACAACGUUGUGUUGGUUUGAUGUUGCUCUUAGCUUGUGAUGUGCAGGUGUAGGAUGCGACGUGGCGGUCGACGGCGUGCGGUGAAAGUCAAGCGAAAGGUUCAUGCCGAUGGACCAAGGGCGGUGAAGGAUGAACGCGAGUAGGCUUGGACCGAUGGACCCGAGGAGUCCGGGCGAAGUCACGGGCGGUCCACAUGGUGCAUGGAAUGGCAAGAGGGCAUGACACGAUGGAGACGGCGUCGGUCGAGUCAAGCGGGAGGCUUGCCGGAGGCCGGACACGCGUCAAUGGACGGUUUGGGUGCUUUGGGCCUCAAAACCACUACGCAGGCAGGUUUUCCGGUUUGGGCCUCAAAACCGGGGGCGAGCCCGGUGCGGCCGGAGCUUUGAGAAGGAGGGCACGUGGCGUCAUCCCGAAGCUUGCGUCGAGGCGAAGCAAAGUCGUGAAGGCGGCGUGUCCGUCCGAUGCACAGAUCAAAACUUGGACCAAAAUACCCCUGCGUGGGUAGUUAUCUUAGUUGUAGCUGUAGGGGUAGUAUAGUCUUUCGUCCUGGACUAUAAAUAGGGAUGGGGGGCUGGUUAUUUCAGCACCUCUUGGCUUAGCAACUCAUUAUCUAUUUGCUUAGAGGCUAGUCAUGUGCUUAAAGUGAGAGGAGAGAGGGGGAUUAGGGAGUGAUUACUCUUUUCUCUUGAUUUCUUCAUCUUUAGUGGGUGGAUGAAGGGAGGAGGCUAGUCCUCAUCUUGUAUAGAAGAUGUUCUCGUGAUUUAGCUUUAUUUGUUGUCUCAAAUCGUGCUAAAUCUUUGAUUCCCGAGCGUUUUUCUUUUUCCCUAUUUUCGGAACUAUUUUUGGGGAUUUUUCGUUCAUCAUGUUUGAGCCCGAAUCUCGUGAGAUUGGUUGAAGGGAAAUGUUGCUAGGACCUUGGAGAGCAUUCGUGAUAUGAUCCCCUUUCAAAUCCCUCACGAAUCCGGCUUGAUUUUGAGUUUUUCCCUAAUCGCGUUCUUGAGUUAGGGUUUCGGUUUUCUCCAAAAUCCGUGAUGGAUACUUGAGCUUUUUGAGAUCUUUUUCAUGGAUCCAUUAGCCCUUGUGGUUGCGCAUCUAUGGCUCAAGUUUCGUCUCGAUUCAUGGAGUAUUGAGGAUAGAAUUUUGAAUUGAAUUUCGAACCGAGUUCUCGGUGCCUUUUGUUUUCUUUCUGUUCUUCAGGUCGAGCAGCAGACGAGAGGUCCGUGACGGCGCACGCAAGUCUGCACCAGAGCAGCAGGCCAGCAAGUUGCGCAGCAGGCCGGGCAAGCCGCGCUGCAGGCCAGCUCGUUACCUGCGCCGGAACGGAUCUGGUGGCCCAAGCUGCAGCGGCAGGUGCUCGCGGGCCAGGCUUUCAGCAAUUCCAGGCAAGCACCCGCAGGCCAUCCAGUGGCAGCAAGCCUGCCACUCACGCAAGGAGCAAAUCAACUACAGUGAGCUUAUUCUUCUGUUCUUUUAUUUAAUUCACGCACAUUGGUAGUUAAUUCCUAUUUAGCUACUAAAUUAGUUUUAAAUCUUGCUAAUCAUGCCGAGCUAUUUAAAUUAACUGUUUCUUCUUGCAUGCUUAGUUUAUUUAAUCAAUUGCUAAUCCUUCCAUGCCUACUUAAGUAAGUGAUUAAUAGUGUUCUUGUUUUGUCUCAUCCGUGCAAAUUUGAUAGAAUCGAUUCAUGCUAUAUUUCCGCUGUAAUUUGUACGUCUCUUAUCGUUCCUAGGGUGAGCCAGUCACGAGUUGACUUGCGUCAUCUUGACGAUUGAACGCACCGUGUGCUUUGGGGUUGCGUUUGGGACAUAGGCCUUGUUUUUGUUGAGAAUUUUUAUAGGCUCCCAUUCACCCCCCCUCUGGUCGCCACGAGGGAAACAGUCAGGUGAAGGCUAAACUCUUUGAGACUUAUAGGUGUGAGUAUGAGAACUUUGUUCAUUUUCCUGGUGAGUCUGCCGAUGCUUUUUUUCAGCGUUUCUUGGCUAUUGUGAACAAGAUGAAAGCAAAUAUCACCGUCAUACCCUACACUGAUCAUGAUAGAGCUUUAAAGCUCCUGCAUGCCUUGGAUCACGAAGUGUGGGGUACGAAGGUUGAUGCUAUCAUCGAGUCAUCGAAUUAUGAAACACUUUCCAUUGAUGAACUCUUUGCCAAGUUGAAAUCCACGGAGGUUGACAAGAGGCUCCAAGCAAAACAAGGAGGCCCUACUGAUCCAAAUAGUAUGGCUCUCAUGUCAGGCUCUGAACAGCCUAAAUCUUUGAGUAACUCUUCUUCUAUGACGUUUGCCUUGUCUUCUUUGGUUUUUGUUUCAGAGGAGCAGCUGGAGGUUCUUGAUGAUGAUGAGCUCGCCUUGAUCACGAGGCGAUUCAUGCGCUUCAACGACAACCGCAAGAACAGGCGAAGGAACAACAACAACUGCUUCGAUUGUGGCAAGCCAGGCCACUUCGCCGCCGACUGCCCCGACAAAAACAAAACCAAGAGCAAGUACGACUACAACAAGCACAAGAAUAAGGACGGCACCAAGAAGAAGAAGAAGUACACCGACCGCGAGAAGAAGGAGUAUCGCAAGAAGGCCAAAGCACGUGCCUUCAUCGCCUCCCUCAGUGACGUCGACUCCGACACCGACGACCACACCAACUCAAGCUCAAGCGAGGAGGACGACGACCGCAAGGCAAAGAAGAAGGACGGCAAGAACUUCAAUGGCCUCUGCUUCUACUCCGACAAGAACCGCGACGGGUACUGUGUCAUGGCUCUCAACUCCAAGAAGGAUGACAAGGAAAGUGACUCCGACACAGAAACUGAGGUAAAGUCUACUCCUGAACAACUUGCUCUAGAAGUAGAAGAACUUAAUGAUUGCCUAAUCAAUCAAGAUAAACUGCUUAAGAAGGCUGCUAAAGAGCGAGUUGAGCUCAAGGCUAAAUUAGAAAGUGCCUUGAUUGAGAUAGACAUGCUUAAAUCUGCUUCUACUGUUUCUGAUGUUGUUGAGUGUGAUGAAUGUGGUGUUCAUAUGGCUAGUCUUGGAUCUUUACAAUCUAAGCAUGCUUUGUUGGUAGAUGAAUUGGAUUUGACUAGGGCUGCUUUAGAUGAGGUCAAGAAUAGGCCUGUUUUGCUUAGUGCAUGUAAUUCUUGCCCUGCUUUGCAAGUUCAGUUGGAUGAUGCAUGUGCUAAGCUUAGUGCUUUAGAGAAGUCUGAGUUUAUUGCUAGAUCUAAACUUCCUGAAUGCACUGUUUGUCCUGAACUCAAGCUUAAUUUGCAACAUGUUGAGGAUGAAAACUCCUACUUGCGCACUGUUCUUAGUUGGGUGUCAAGUAGGGAACCUCAGUUAGGCAUGAUGAUUCAGGAGUUCAAAAGGGCUGAUAGUUUUGGGCUUGGGUCGGUUAUGAAGGGAUGUCUUUUUAAUGGGUUGCACAAGUUCUUUGAUGGGUUGUGUGAGAAGGUGGGUCAAAACAGUGGAGAGAGAAAGAAACCAAGCUACAAUCAAUGUGAGCCACCAAUUGACUACACCCCUCGAGAGUCACUCACUAAAAAUAGAGAGCAACCCAAUCCAGCUUGUGAGCAAAACUUGUUUGAGUGUGUGAGAGAUGGAAUUUUCAUUGAGACACCACCUAAAGCACCCAAGAAAGCCAUUUGGGUGGAAAAGCCAAACCACCUCAAGAACAAACUUGACACACUUCCAGAAAUUGCUCCUAAGAAACCUCCACCAAAACCCCAAGACAAGCCACAACCUAGAGUGAAUCCUCAGCCAAAACAGUCUGCUAGAUUCCACUGUGAGUAUUGCAAGAGAUGGGGUCACCUUGAGGAGUUUUGCUUUCGCAAGAAGAAGGCUUGGAGGCGUGAGCGUGAGUGGGGCAACAGGGACAUGUACCACCCUUCUCAUGGUGUACAUGCGCCUAGAGCAACUCCUCCACCUCAUCGUGUGGAUAGUGUGCGUUUUGCUCCUUCGCGUGUUUUUGCUAGGCAUGCUCCUCGCCAUGAUCAAUAUGGCCCAGGACAAUAUGGCCGUGGCUUUGAGUCUCGGAGCUACAACGGACCACGUUUUCCCCCUAGCGUUGGCCGUAGUCCUCCGGUGAGACGAGAGAUGGUUGAUUUUGAUAACCCCACUCUUGAGCAAAUGGUUCGACACUGGUAUUCUACUUAUUUUUCUAACCCCAGUGUUGAGUCAUUUGCUCAUCCUUGGUCUCCCUUUGUUUGAGCAGGUCGGAGGCCUGGAGAACACGUGGCUUAUUGAUUCCGGUUGCUCUCGACACAUGACCGGUGAUCACAGAUGGUUCUCCAGCCUCACCCCGGUGAUGACCAAGGAGUACAUCACUUUCGGGGAUAAUAGCAAAGGUAAGGUGUUGUCUGAAGGUGUUAUCAAGGUGAGUGAGAAUUUCAUGCUCAAGCGAGUUUCUCUAGUUGAUUAUCUUGGUUUCAAUUUGCUCUCUGUGUCGCAACUGCUUGAUGAUGGUUUUGAGGUCCAUUUUAAGCAAGGGACCUCAAGGAUUUUAGACUCUCGAGGUGAUCUUGUGUGUAUGAUCGUCCCCGAGGGUCAAGUGUUUCGAGUUGAUUUUUCCAAGUCAUUUGGUCUCUCUCGGUGUUUAGUGGCUGGCUCAUCUUCUGAACUUUGGAAAUGGCAUAGGAGAUUGGGUCAUUUGAGCUUUGAUUUGCUUUCCCGCUUGAGUACUUUGGAUCUUAUUCGUGGUUUGCCCAAAUUAAAGUUUGAGAAAGAUCUUGUUUGUGCUCCGUGUCGACAUGGGAAGAUGGUUGCGGCUUCCCAUCCACCUGUGAAUCAAGUGAUGACUGAACAUCUAGGCGAGCUGUUGCAUAUGGACAGUGUUGGUCCAGCUCGUGUUUGUUCAGUCGGUGGGAAGUGGUAUGUGCUUGUGAUUGUUGAUGAUUUUUCGAGGUAUUCAUGGGUUUUCUUCAUGGAAUCUAAGGAUGAGGCAUUUCUUUUUGUUCGAGAUUUGAUCUUGAGGUUGAGAAACGAGCGACCAAAAGAUGCCAUGAGAGCUAUCCGCAGUGACAAUGGCACAGAAUUCAAGAACGCUCGUUUUAAAGCCUUUUGCAAUGAUCUUGGUCUUGAACACCAGUUUUCAUCGCCUUAUGUCCCUCCUCAGAAUGGUGUUGUUGAACGGAAGAAUCGGACCCUUUGUGAAAUGGCUAGGACGAUGCUUGAUGAGCAUAGGACUCCUAGAAAAUAUUGGGCCGAAGCCGUUAACACUGCUUGCUAUGUGUCCAAUCGAAUCUUUUUGCGAGCUUUCUUGAAGAAAACUUCUUAUGAGCUGAUGCAUCGACAUUCCCCCAAAGUGAGUCACCUGAGGGUGUUUGGCUGCAAGUGUUUCAUUCUCAAGCAAGGAAAUUUGGAUAAAUUUGAGUCUCGUUCUACGGAUGGGAUUUUUCUUGGUUAUGCUUCUCAUAGUCAUGCUUAUCGUGUGCUUAACCUUGAAACUAACCGGAUCAUGGAAACUUGUGAGAUUACAUUCGAUGAAACUAUGCCUUGCACAACUCCUGUCUUUGAAGUUGCAGGUGAACAUGAAAUGGGGCAAAACAUAUUUGAGGAAGAGGAAGAGCUUGUAGAUGGUGGUGAGGAAGAGGAUGAUGAGAUUGACCGAGCUCCAGCUGUUGUACCUGUACCUUCUACUUCGACUACGAGAGUUGAUGGCACUACCGCUACUUCCACUACUUCAAGCCAUCAACCAGUACCACUACAGGAUGAAGAAGAAGAAAAUCAGAGUGAUCCAGCUGCUGUUGAGGGGGAGGCGACUUCAGAGCGAGAGGCUCCAUGGCACAUUCAGCGUCGUCAUCCUCCACAACAGAUGAUCGGUAACUUACAUGAACGCACCACUAGGCACAGCUCUAGGCAUAUUUCACACUUUGCACAUUCUGCAUUUGUUGCCUCUUUCGAACCCCGAGAUAUUGGACACACUUUAUCUGAUUCAAAUUGGGUUAAUGCCAUGCAUGAGGAGUUGGAGAACUUUGAGCGAAACAGGGUUUGGGUUUUAGUUGAACCACCUCCAAAUUGCCAUCCUAUAGGAACAAAAUGGGUUUUCAAAAACAAACAAGGUGAGGAUGGGUUGAUUGUGAGAAAUAAAGCGAGGUUGGUUGCCCAAGGUUUUAGCCAAAAAGAAGGGAUAGAUUAUGAGGAAACCUUUGCCCCUGUUGCCCGUUUGGAAGCAAUUAGAAUCCUUCUAGCCUUCUCUGUGGCUAAAGGUUUUAAGCUCUUCCAAAUGGAUGUGAAAAGUGCCUUCCUAAAUGGUUUCAUAGAGGAGGAAGUGUAUGUGAAACAACCCCCUAGUUUUGAGAGUUCUAAAUAUCCUGAUCGUGUUUUCAAACUCCAGAAAGCUCUCUGUGGCCUAAAACAAGCACCCCGAGCGUGGUAUGCUAGAUUGAAAUCCUUUUUGCUUGGGAAUGGGUUUGAAAUGGGAUCAGUUGAUAAAACACUCUUUCUCCUCAGGCAAGGCAAUGAUUUAUUGAUUAUUCAGAUAUACGUGGAUGAUAUUAUCUUUGGUGGUUCUUCUCAUGCUUUGGUUGCCAAGUUUGCAGAUGACAUGAGUAGGGAGUUUGAGAUGUCGAUGAUGGGUGAGUUGACCUUCUUCCUCGGGCUACAGAUCAAGCAAAGCAAGGAAGGAACCUUCGUGCACCAAGGGAAGUACACGAAGGACGUGUUGAGGAAGUUUGACAUGGCUGAUGCUAAGCCACUCUCCACACCAAUGGGUACGACGACGGCACUAGAUGCGGAUGAAGAUGGCGAACCGGUGGACCAGAAGGAGUACAGAAGCAUGAUCGGCUCCCUCUUGUACCUGACGUCAACGAGGCCGGACAUACACUUCGCCGUGUGUCUGUGCGCUCGUUUUCAGGCUUCACCGAGGACAUCUCACCGUCAAGCAGUGAAGAGGAUCAUGAGGUAUCUCCGUUUUACCCCUGAGUUCGGUUUGUGGUAUUCUGCCUCCUCGACACUCACGCUCCGGGGAUACUCCGAUGCGGACUUUGCUGGGUGUCGCUUGGAUCGCAAGUCUACCUCGGGUACUUGCCAGUUUCUCGGUUCGUCUUUGGUCUCUUGGUCUUCUCGCAAACAAUCUAGUGUUGCUCAGUCUACCACCGAAGCUGAGUAUGUUGCUGCUGCUAGCUGUUGUUCUCAGCUGCUUUGGAUGAUUUCCACUUUGAGAGACUUUGGUUUGGAUUUUACUCGUGUACCUCUUCUUUGUGACAGUACGAGUGCCAUUAGUGUAGCUAAGAAUCCCGUUCUCCACUCAAAAACUAAACACAUUGAUGUGAGAUAUCAUUUUCUGAGAGAUCAUGUUGAGAAAGGGGAUAUUGACCUUGGCUAUGUUGCUACCCAAAACCAACUCGCGGACAUUUUCACCAAACCCCUGGAUCAAGCCAAUUUUGCUCAUUUGCGUGGGGAGUUGGGUGUUUGCUUUCCUUUCUGAGUUGGGUUUUUGGAGCCUCUCUUGUAUUAUACUUGUAUCAUUUUUGUACAAAACAUGGUAGGAUAGUCACUUGUUCAUGAUAGCUUUGAGUUCUUCAUGUAUAUCUUAUCAUGCUAUCUUUUGUGAUAUAUUGUGGUGGAUGAUACAUAUGAACAUCAUGUCAUGCUUUACCUUAGUUCACAUUUGGGUAUGGCAUGUUGUUCAUCUGUAUCAUUUUAGCUUAGUUUCCAUGCAUUUUGUAUCAUAUUGCAUUUUGUAUCAUGUUGCACUAGAUGAGCUUCUCCUACAUAUCUUGUGUACUCCCUUAUGCUACUUGUGAGGUAGUGCUGUGGUUGGUGAUUUUGAUGCAAUGUGCAGUUAUGCUCUUGAUGAUAUUGUAUACUUGUUGAGAUAAUUGUUUUUGAAAUUCAAUGCUAAAUUCUCUCUAUUAACUUGCUUAUCACCCAUGAGUAGAUGCUUGGUUAUGGUUUGUCCUUGGUUGAAUACUGGUUCCAUAUCUAGCUUAUGUUUGGAAUUUAUGUUCUUUUCAAUUGGGUCAAAGAUCUAGGUAUCAUUGCAAAUAUUUAGCCCAUGAUGCACCCCUUGGGGAAGCAUGGCUUCUUUGUGCCGCAAAGGCACUUCAUGUAUUUUGCUUUGUGUGAAUACUAAAAAGAAAUAUGCUGAAAAUCAUAAAUUCACCAAGUUUUUGUGCUUAAUGUGAUAUUAUUGCUUGCUUAGUUGUUACAAGAUGUCUAACAAAAGAAGUAGACACUUGGUUUCAACAAGCUUUAAACAUGACUUGUGAUGCAUAUGUGGGUGUUUGCAAUGAUCUCUUGUUGAGAAUGGAUUUUCCUAGUAUGAGCUCUUGAUGGACUAGUCUAUUCUUGCUUGGGUGAUUCUUAACUAGGUGAAUGGUCAUGUGGUGAUCUUUUUAUACAUUACUAAAACUUGAUACUUGCUUCACCUCCACUGUUGUAACUUGAUAUCAUCUUGUUGGCGAUGCUAUUGUUUCUUAUGAUCUAUCAAGCUUUAUCUCCUUAGUAGCCUUUGAGAGUGCAUUGUGAUAUAUUUGAGAAGCUUGUUAGGUUCUGCAUUUCCAUGGCAUGCAUUUUGUGCUUUCAUCCUUUUCUUGAUGGUUGCAUUGUCAACAAGGGGGAGAGAAAUCUACACAAACUCUUUCAUCUAUCAAGGGGGAGACUUUGCAUGUAUGCAUGAUUUCAGGGGGAGUGCGUAUGUUCAGGGGGAGUAGUUAUGAGUUGUUAUACUCUUGUUAUGCUCUUAUGCCCUUGUACCGGUCGCGUUGAGCUGUUUACCUCUUCUUGAGGAGCCGGUUUUGAUUUGAGUUUGGAUUUUCAUGUGAUUGGUGUUCAGCCCGUUUUCUGCCUCUUCUUGAGGGAUCACAUGAUUUUGUCUCAGUUGUGUAGAGCCGUUGCCCUUAUCUUAGGGGACUGAGAUUUUUCUAUUUUGAGUUUUUUGUUUUUCUGUUUCAAUACUAUGAAUUUGUGGGGUGUUGUCAAUGCACUCAUCAAGGGGGAGAUUGAGGACCAAUGGUGGUCUCCCUUGGAUGAUGAGUGAUUGACAACAUUGUGUUGGUUUGAUGUUGCUCUUGGCUUGUGAUGUGCAGGUGUAGGAUGUGACGUGGCGGUCGACGGCGUGCGGUGAAAGUCAAGCGAAAGGUUCAUGCCGAUGGACCAAGGGCGGUGAAGGAUGAACGCGAGUAGGCUUGGACCGAUGGACCCGAGGAGUCCGGGCGAAGUCACGGGCGGUCCACAUGGUGCACGGAAUGGCAAGAGGGCAUGACACGAUGGAGACGGCGUCGGUCGAGUCAAGCGGGAGGCUUGGCGGAGGCCAGACACGCGUCAAUGGACGGUUUGGGUGCUUUGGGCCUCAAAACCACUACGCAGGCAGGUUUCCCGGUUUGGGCCUCAAAACCGGGGGUGAGCCCGGUGUGGCCGGAGCUUCGAGAAGGAGGGCACGUGGCGUCAUCGCGAAGCUGCGUCGAGGCGAAGCAAAGUCGUGAAAGCGGCGUGUCCGUCCGAUGCACAGAUCAAAACUUGGACCAAAAUGCCCCUGCGUGGGUAGUUAUCUUAGUUGUAGCUGUAGGGGUAGUAUAGUCUUUCAUCCUGGACUAUAAAUAGGGAUGGGGGGCUGGUUAUUUCAGCACCUCUUGGCUUAGCAACUCAUUAUCUAUUUGCUUAGAGGCUAGUCAUGUGCUUAAAGUGAGAGGAGAGAGGGGGAUUAGGGAGUGAUUACUCUUUUCUCUUGAUUUCUUCAUCUUUAGUGGGUGGAUGAAGGGAGGAGGCUAGUCCUCAUCUUGUAUAGAAGAUGUUCUCGUGAUUUAGCUUUAUUUGUUGUCUCAAAUCGUGCUAAAUCUUUGAUUCCCGAGCGUUUUUCUUUUUCCCUAUUUUCGGAACUAUUUUUGGGGAUUUUUCGUUCAUCAUGUUUGAGCCCGAAUCUCGUGAGAUUGGUUGAAGGGAAAUGUUGCUAGGACCUUGGAGAGCAUUCGUGAUAUGAUCCCCUUUCAAAUCCCUCACGAAUCCGGCUUGAUUUUGAGUUUUUCCCAAAUCGCGUUCUUGAGUUAGGGUUUCGGUUUUCUCCAAAAUCCGUGAUGGAUACUUGAGCUUUUUGAGAUCUUUUUCAUGGAUCCAUUAGCCCUUGUGGUUGCGCAUCUAUGGCUCAAGUUUCGUCUCGAUUCAUGGAGUAUUGAGGAUAGAAUUUUAAAUUGAAGUUCGAACCGAGUUCUCGGUGCCUUUUGUUUUCUUUCUGUUCUUCAGGUCGAGCAGCAGACGAGAGGUCCGUGACGGCGCACGCAAGUCUGCACCAGAGCAGCAGGCCAGCAAGUUGCGCAGCAGGCCGGGCAAGCCGCGCUGCAGGCCAGCUCGUUACCUGGGCCGGAACGGAUCUGGUGGCCCAAGCUGCAGCGGCAGGUGCUCGCGGGCCAGGCUUUCAGCAAUUCCAGGCAAGCACCCGCAGGCCAUCCAGUGGCAGCAAGCCUGCCACUCACGCAAGGAGCAAAUCAACUACAGUGAGCUUAUUCUUCUGUUCUUUUAUUUAAUUCACGCACAUUGGUAGUUAAUUCCUAUUUAGCUACUAAAUUAGUUUUAAAUCUUGCUAAUCAUGCCGAGCUAUUUAAAUUAACUGUUUCUUCUUGCAUGCUUAGUUUAUUUAAUCAAUUGCUAAUCCUUCCAUGCCUACUUAAAUAAGUGAUUAAUAGUGUUCUUGUUUUGUCUCAUCCGUGCAAAUUUGAUAGAAUCGAUUCAUGCUAUAUUUCCGCUGUAAUUUGUACGUCUCUUAUCGUUCCUAGGGUGAGCCAGUCACGAGUUGACUUGCGUCAUCUUGACGAUUGAACGCACCGUGUGCUUUGGGGUUGCGUUUGGGACAUAGGCCUUGUUUUUAUUGAGAAUUUUUAUAGGCUCCCAUUCACCCCCCCUCUGGUCGUCCCUUCGGUCCUUCACCUACACAUCACAAGCUAAGAGCAACAUCAAACCAACACAACGUUGUCAAUCACUCAUCAUCCAAGGGUGACCACCAUUGGUCCUCACCUAUGAGACCUGAACUGUGUUCUGCUGAACAUUCAAAUCGAUCUGCUUUGUUUUUCCUUCUCUAUGUGAAGACCUGAGACUCAGUGGUCCUAGUUUUAUUUCAAAACUGCGGUCACAGUCUGACAGCCUGUCUUAUUAAUAUGUCAUUAGCAUGUGUCUUCACUUAUUCCUUCAUCGACUAACGAGAUAAAUUGUUUCUAUAUAGUGUGUGGAGUAUGACAGGGAACAUAGGCCCACCAUGACGGAUGUGCUUGCGAUGCUUAUUUGUCCGGCUCUAAAAUGGCCAUGGGGCAUCGAGUAGGGUGGAAGCGGCCUGCAACCUUAUUUGUCCGGAUUGCUUGUGCCUCUGGUUGUCUCUAAAGAAGAAACAUGUGCCUCUUGUGACGUGACUUGACCACUUGAAUUACUUUUUACACCCCUUCUCACUUGUAUUGAAAAAGAAGGCAAGAGGCAUAACACAUCCUUAUCUAGAAUGUCUGGUCAGGCCAUCCUUUUUUUCUGCUAUAUUAAUAGAAACUUGCACUAUCUUGUACGGUUCAUUAAAAAAAUACUAGCAGUGAUGGAAACUGAUUGAUUGUCUGCAGGUCAUUGCCUGCUUGAGCUCUCUUCCGAUGAGGUACUGAUGACAACGACUCACCCAAUUAAUAGCCAGCUCACUUAUAUAAUUCAUGGUGAGAAGAGGGUCACUUUCCUUACCCCCGUAACCAAACAACACCAACGCGUACUGGCGUGCGGGAUUAGCAUUAGCAGGUUAUGAGUUGUUUGUGUCAUGGGGCGCUGAAUCAUUUGCAAACUCGUCCAUCAUCAGGUCUCUCUCAAAGUCUCAUCAAAUUAAUUUCCAGGCCAAGGACUUGGUCUUCCUUGACGCUAUGUUCGUUACCUUCUGAGAAAUUUCGUUUGACGCUGUAGCCGCAGCUCAAUGGCGGAUCCCCUUGGCGAAGCUUGACUCUACCUACCUGGUGCACGCAGUUGGGAUCGACGUGCAGAGCCGCGGAGCGCAAGUCCACCAACUGCUGCAUGCGUGCAGGCUUCGUGAGCGGCAUCCGGAUCAAGGACAGGAUACGGAAGGCCUGAGGUGUGAAGCGAAGGCAAAGAAGAAAUAAGGUCAGUGCCUGUUUGACUACUUAUUUUGAUUCUUAUGAUGAAAAUAUGAGAAUACGAGAAUGAUUUGUCCAUAUCAUCAGCUCAUAAGAUCAGCAUCUGAUGCCUUUCCUUCUCAUAGUCUUGAAGAUUAUUGUUGUUGCAGUCAACCGCACAAGAGCAAGAUGGCUGACAUUGCAUUGGGCAGCGUGGGGAAGAUCGUUGAAAUCGCACUCAAGAUCAAGGAGGCCGUGGAGACGGUUAAGCAGAACGAGAAGGAGUGCCACGACAUCCAGAGGUGCGUUGCCAGGGUCAGCGCUCUCCUCAGGAAGCUUGACGAGAUGACGGAGACGAUGAAGGACGAGGUGAUGCGUGACGCACUCGAGGAUCUGGCCGAAUCCCUGGAACGCGCCCUCGAGCUCGUCACGGAGUGCCAGCGGAAGCACAUCUUUCGCCGCUUCUUGGGAGCAGGGGACAUGGCCAAGGAGCUGGGCCGGGUCCAGGAUGAUAUAGUGAGGAAACUGCAGCUGGGGAACUUCGCCACCAAUGUCCAGACCACCAUCAUGGUGACAAACAUCCAAUCUGCUGGUGGUCCUCCUCCUCCACCCCCACCCCAACGGGAAGUGAUUAUUGAUGGUAAGGAAAAUUUUAUUCUGUGAUCAUUGGUUCAGCUAGCAAUACCGUCUAUUGCAUAGUGUUUUAUUGCAACUUUGCUAGAUCUGUGUAUCAAAGUGAUGUUGCUCCAACAGUUUUCUUAGAUCAACUGCUCCUACAGUUUCAUGCAUGCGUGUUUAGGUAUUAAUAUAAUCUAAUUCAAGCCCUGUUCCUGUGUGGGUUAAUUUUUAUACAAUAUAGGCUUCACAAUGUUCAGUUUAUCUGAAUUGAAAGCCGCUACAGAGAACUUUUCGGAAAGAAACAGGAUUGGAAGUGGUGGCACUGGUGAUGUUUACAAGGUACUCCGAUCCGUUACUUGGUUUGUUAAUUCUAGGUUUGUGUACUUUUCCAUAUAAUCACGUAGGCAGAGGCAGGUUAAGACUAAAUUUGUAACAUUUAGUAUAAAUUUAAAUUUGAAAUUACUUGGUGUCCCAAGGGCAGGGAAUAAACUAAUUGUAUUAUUCUGUACGUGUUCAACCCGCAAUCACGCCUAAACCUAACCCUUGGUUGUAGUGUCCUCCUUUGUGGCAUUUUAGCUUCGACUCAUUACACAGGGAGUUUAGGGAAAGUGUCUUUCGUGCAACUCUAGAUCUACGGUCCCGUGCAUUUUCAGGGAAAGUUGGUUUUCACGUCACUCGUUUCCCUAGUGCAACUCCCAAUUGAAAGCAUCUCAAACCUCAAAGCACACACGUGUGUGGUGCCCAUGCUUCAUUCCAGCCCAAAGACCAAAGUGAGCCAAAGAUGAAACUUGAUGGACUUUGAUGAAGAUUUUGAAGCCUGAGGCCACGGCGCCAUUGAACUUUUGGCGAAACUUUAAUUUAGUGCUAAGAACAGCAGUUCUGCUUUUUCCCUUCUGUUCUUUUAUAAACAAAAAUCCACCAUCUGACAUGGUGUUUAUGCUUCUCAGGGUGUCCUGCAGGACCGACAAGUCAUUGCCAUAAAAAAUUUGCAUGCUAGUGUUGCCGUCAUUGACGACAACCGGCUAUACGAUGAAAUUAAUGUUUUUGUACAUCUGAAGCACAAAAACAUAACUAGACCUCUGGGAUAUUGCCACGAAAUGAGAAUGGUCUUGAUCAGCCAUAAUGGAAAAUAUGUUGGAGCUCAACAAAGAGAAUUUUGUUUUGUAGAAGAAUACAUGGAAAACGGAAGUAUGGAGAAUAUUAUCUAUGGUAUGUUGUUCUGUACAAAUACUGGUUACAGUUCACCUCUGGACCAAGCAUCCCUUAACUUUGAUGUCACUGAUCAAUAGUUGCUUCUCGUUGCAUGAUAUGUGAUCUCUGCAGGGUCCCGAUUUAUUGGUUGGUCCUGCCGCUUCAAAAUGAUUCAGGGGAUAGCCCAGGGGCUACAUUACCUACAUGAGCAACGUGUCGUCCAUAUGGAUCUGAAACCAGCCAACAUCCUCUUCGAUUCUGAUAUGAAUCCUCGGAUCAGUGAUUUUGGCGUAGCUAAAAAGUUGGACCUUGGUGUUGAAAAAACCAGCGAUGACACCAAUAUAGUUGGCACAAUGUAAGACGUUGCUCCAAUAUAUAUAAAUACUAUUUCCAUUACCUGAUUAACUAUAUAUCGUGAGCCCAUACGUGCAUGAAGCUCUUUUCGUUAACUACAAUUUUUACCUUGAGAUCAUGAUUCAUUUUUAUUUUAUUUAAUUACCCAGGCCUUACAUGCCUCCAGAAUACAUUGACCAAGGAACUGUGUCAACGAAGUGCGAUGUGUAUGCUUUUGGCAUCACCCUCCUUGGGACCAUUAUUGGCAGAAUGAGCAUGUCUUCGUCCAGUUAUUCAUGGAAUCCAAUUCAAUGGGUAAGUACCUCGUAGUGACGCCUUUUUACAUUACAAAAGCAGUUGGGACUAAGGUCCUGUUUGGAUCCACCAGCUAAAUUUUAACUAUUAUGGAUCCAAAUAUGACCCAGCUAAAAUUUAGGUAGCUAAAGGUUCUUUUAGCUAGUUGAUCCUAGCUAAACUAGUUAAAGAUAAAAUUGCCCCUCCACCUUCGUCGGAAAAAGUUUCUAAAAUGGGAGGGAAGGGUAGGAUAGACAACUACCUCUUCAACUAUCAUUUAGCUAGUGGAUCCAACACUCCUAGCUAAACUUUAGCUAGCUAAAAGAAUGUUUCUAAAGUUUAGCUAGCUAAAAUUUAGUUGGGUGGAUCCAAACGUGACCUAAUUUAUGUUCUAACUUUCCAGGCUUUUGAAGCUCGGGACGAUUUACGGAUGGAGUUGUUUAAACCGUCAUUGUGUUGCAAGUCUCAGCUAAUGCAGAUCAAGAAGUGCAUGGAGAUUGGGCUCCUGUGUGUUGAGCAAGACAGGGAACAUAGGCCCACCAUGGCGGAUGUGCUUGCGAUGCUAAAUGGUGUGAAAGAGUUGCCAGCUCUAAAGCGGCCAUGGGGCAUCGAGUAGGGCGGAAGCGGCCCUGCAACCUUAUUUGUCCAGAUUGCUUGUGCCUCUAAUUGUCCCUAAAUAAGAAACGUGUGUCUCUAGUGACGUGGCUUGACCAUUUGAAUUACUUUUUACUCCCGUUCUCACUUGUAUUGAAAAAGAAGGCUGGAGGCGUAACACGUCCUUGUCUAGAAUUUGUAUGGUCAGGCCAUUCUUUAAGAUUUCAUACUUAUAUUUUCAAAAUGACAUAUAAUUUUACAACUCCUUCCAAUUCAGACAUUAACUUUAUAAUUGUACCAUCAGCUUAUAGUGGUCCUGCCUAUCCAAUCAACCGUCCCCACCCGUGAGGCAUCCGUCGCGCCCAGGGACAGAGUCAGGAUGAAACAAUUAGGGGGGCCAUUUGCGGUAUCUUAAGCUUAUUUAUGUUGACAAGGUUAUUUACAUGUGGAGUUUCAUCAAAUAUUUUGCCCCUGCCAGCCACCCCCUGUCACGCAUCGCCUCUAGGUUCAAUAAAUGGAUAAUUGGGUCUAUGUUCUAACCUGGAUUAUUGGUUUCUUACAAUGAAGGCUGCAUGCCAUAACAAAUGGUUUAACAAUGAAACUGUCACACCCGGUUUUAAAGGCAAAACCAGAUGACUAUUAUAUGUGUGCUAGGAUCAAGUUUCACACAUACGAUGACUUCAGUAAAUAUCAAAUACAGUGUUAUAGCGUAAAGAGAGAAUUACAUAAAUUAUGUAACCAGAAUUGAGUUAGAAAUCUCUAAUAUAGGCAGCGGAUCUCCAAAAACUCCACAGGCAGCUAACUGGUGGACUCGCCUAGAACUCUUCCAAAAACUUUAGUAAUCUUCAAAACUCUCCGGGUCUGAGCAGCAAUCCGGACGUUGUAGAUGCAAUAUAUAAAACACAAGCGUGAGCACAUGUCGUACUCAGCAAGAGAGAAAUAUAUAUGACAUGCAAGGCUUUAUAUGGUGGAAGGCUGACAAGGUUAAUUACGAUUAGCACUUUUAGUUGGUCAAAUUUUAUUCAUCAUCUAAUUACUAGCAAAUGUAAGUUUAUACCAUCCCGCAAUUAAUAUAGAGCAAUGAUAUACCAUAAGCAUGAACAUAACAUAUAACACAGUAGUAUCAUCUUCAAGUAAAUUAAUCAUGUGAGGGUUCAGGCCGCUCUUAACCGUGAGCACGGCUGUUAUAACAGUUUUACACUCUGCAGAGGUUGUACAUCUUUACCCACAAGUCGCGUAAAAGUUAAGGUGAACUUUAGACCCAACCAUGCUGUGCAAAAGUAGGCACAAUACCACACUUCCGAGGUGUGAUUGCAUAGGGACGCUACGAGGCCUUUACAAAGACUUCCCUAGUGUGUUCCAGUGCACGAGGUUCCGUGAGUCAUGCCCCCCCUUAACACCAGUCCAACACUAGAGUCGUCUAAUUAGUUAGCCAAGACCAGAGCCAUUUAGUCCUUGUGGCUGUACGGUUUUCCUAGGUGGUCGGUCCAUGUUCCUAUUAAAAUAUAUGGUCUUGUAAUUAAAUCAACACAUAGGAACAUUGAGUAAAUAGAUAAAUUAACCAUGUUGUUUAUUUACCAACCCAGUUGAGCAAGCUAAGCAUAAUCUACCCUCAAGAUUAAUUAAACAACCCGGCUGCAAGGUAUGAUCAAGAGAAACUAGGCAUUGUCCUUAAUAGGAACCCAUCAUAUUAAUGCACGCGGUAAAUAAAUAUUGUGAAUCAAUGCAUGUCAAUUAGGUAUAAACGGGAAUGACCAGGGAUACUUGCCUUCCUCAAAGCCCUGCUGCUGCUCAGAGUCUUCAGUCUUCCUCUUCUUUGGAUUCCUCGAACUACGCUUCUUCUAUACGCAUCACACGAGCACAUACAAGCAAACAAAUGCAUUUAAUUAAAAACAGUACACCAAUCAUCAAAAAUAGUACUUAAAAUCAGUACCAAACUAAUCUACUCAUUAAGAUGAACGCAUGAGCGAAAGAAUCACUUAAAACGGAGCUAGAACGAAGAAGUUAUGAGAUAAACAAGGUGGCAGGGACCCAGGCGCAAUUAACCAUAGACGGUAGGGGCUAGCAAGAAAGAUUUGCAAGACACACGUAAAAGUGCUUCCAAAUAACAGAAUUUAUAGGGUUAUAUUUGCAAAAGAUCUCGGGUAGGACUGGAACUUGAGAAUCUAGCCUUUCCCGGGUCCUUUUUGCAAAACCACAAGACACAAACUUUCUGUCAGAAUUUCCGUUUUCUUCGGGGGCUAAUCUGUAAAGCAGCCUUUCUUCAACCUCCCUGUGCACUACCGGCAGCGCUCGCCGGCCGGCCAGCUGCGGAGCUCCGGCGGCUUGGCCAAGACGAAGGGGCGACGGCACGGCCUGCAGGCGGCGGCGGUGCACUGAGCGCAUAGCGCAGGGGCAGGCCGGCGUGCGGCCAGGCGACUUGGAGAAGCUGGCCAUGGAGCACGUACGAACAGGAACGGGAAGAAAGAAGAAAAAAAAGAGAGAAACAAGGGAAAAGCCGAAAACGAAGUCCGAUCUCGCGCAUGAACGGUAAAACGGAACGAGAUCGACGAUACGAACGUAGCGGUGCGCUCACCUUCGGCAGAGGACGAACGGAUUUGCCGGAUCUGCUCGUCGGAGUUUCGUGGGCGGUCCGAGUUUGACUUCAGAUCUACGGAGCUCGGAGAGUCAACUCGGAAAAAGGGUUUUAGAUCUGAAAUUCUCGCGUCGAGAGGAACGCUAUAUAUAUAUAUAUAUAUAUUCUAGGUGGAGGUCGGGAUUUAUUUCCCUUUUUCGAAUUAAUUUCGGAUUUAAAAAUAAUUUCAGAAAAUCCUGAAAUCCUAAUUAAAUCGCGAAAAAUACUCCGAAAGCUUCAAAAAAUUCAGGAUAAUUCUUGGAGAUGAUUUGGGACACACAAAACCCAACCAAAAGACUUGGAGCUCUGAAAAGGAUUUAUAGAAACCUCCAAAAAUUGGAUUAAGCUGAAAGAAAAUAAGAAUAAAUCCUAGAAAAAUCUGAAAAAUUCUCAGAGGAAACUAAAGAUCGCCUAAAUGCAUUUUUAAACCUUUUCACACUCAAAGAAUAAGAAAUGCAACCAGCAUGCAAUGCAACACACUUAAACCUAUGGUGCAUUAAAUUAAUUUAAGAAAAAGAUUUUAAUGCCUAAUAAAUUCACAGAGAAAUCUUAAGGCCUUAAACGAACUCAAACAACUUCUAAAGAGUUUCUAAUUAAUUUUUAUUAAAUUGAAAAUGCUGAAAAUUAGGGUAUUACAGAAACCCAUUUUGUUGGUUAAUGCUUAAAAAACACAGAUUGAGUGACUUGCUCUGCCGCGUACUGGAAAAAUGCAUCCUUCAUUUUCAGCUGAGUACUCAUCACGUCUAAAACUCUGAAUGUAGUAUACUCAACACACGUAAUGCUGUGAUCAGAAUACUGUCACAUCCUGAAAUUUUCGAAUUUCAAGACGUGAAUAAAAGGAAUAAUUAAACAAUGAUUUUUCUCCUAAUUUUAAAAUUUUCCCAACAUUUAUUUUUCUUUACAGAGAAUUUAAUAUAGGAAAAAUAAUUAUUUACUUUUCUAAAUUAAUUAAUGUUGUUCUGUGUCUGUGCAUUCAUGCCGAUGCAUCUUGGUGUUUCUUGAGUGCAAAAAUUUUUAAAAUACGUUUAGACGUUGCCUAGACCCUUUUGCGAAUUUUCCAUCUUUUUUUGAAAUUUAUUCUCCUUCCUAGAGCUAAAUCUAAUUUUUGGAAGGUUCUAAAAUCUUUUUCACGAGCUCCAAGUAUUUUAUUUGGAUUGAUCAUGUCCCAAUCUAUCUCCAGGAUUUUUCCUGGAAUUUUUGGGAUUUUUGGAGUAUUUUUCGUGAAUUAUCUGGAACUUCUAGAAUUUUCACGAAAAAAUACCCCAUCCUAUCCUUCUGGGCCGAGCCCGUGGGCCCGACCCGUUCUGGCCCGCCCAGCCAUCGGACCGGCCAGGCCCAUCUAUGCCCGGCAGCCAGGCGGACUGCGCCGCCGUCGCCAUUCCCUCGGCGUGCGUGUGCCCAUAGGGCUCCGCGCCUAUAAAAGCGAGCCCGAGCCCCUGGCGCCGCCUCCCUGCUGCAGCCCGCCGCCUUCUUCGCGUCGCGCCGCCGCGCUGGUGCGUCGCCAUUGCCUGCCGGCCGAGCAGCUACCGCCGCCAGUUUUCGCUCGAUUCGCCGCCUCCUCCACCCAUCGGACGAAGCCGGCGACUCAGGAGCUUCAGAACAUCGCCCCGCACAUCGGCCGCCUCUUCCCAUCGUCAUCUCGACACCGGAGCACCGCCGCCGCGGGGAAGCUCGAGCCGGCCAUCGUCCUGCCACCACCGACCGGAUUCUGGCCGCCUUCGUCUAUCUCCGCCACCGAUGAGCGCACCUCCGAGCUCGUCGUCACAUCCUCUCUCGGUUCCCAUCCUCGCCGUGGCCACCGGCUCGCUGGAGCGCCAGCAAGCCGGCUGGCCGAAGCACUGUUGACAGGAAGAAGAAGGCUGUCCAUUUUGCGUUCAAGCCCCUGGAGAACCCUGUAAUGUUUUCCUCUUUUCUUUGUGUCUUGGCAAACUAGCAGAUAACCCCCUGGAUCUAUUAGUUUCCCUAGAUCCCUCCAACCUCGUUUAACCCAUAAAUUCUACGUUUUAGCUCCGUUUUAAUCCGUUCAUAUUGCGUUAGGUUCAUGAUGGCAUAAAGUGCACGUUAGUGGUAAUGUUUGCCUUCACACCUAUUUUUAAAAAUAAAUUUGAUAUUAAAUUGAUUAAUGCCUGAUAAACGAGUUCUUUUCUAAAUAAAAUCUAUUUAGUGUUAUACAUCGUUUUUCAUAAGAAGUGUUCAAUUGAUUAAAUGUCUACUUCGUAACCUUUCUAAAUAAAAGUUAAUUAGGUUAUAUAUCGGUUUUUUAUAAAACAAAAGUUAAUUUGAUUAACGGCUAUCUAAAUAAUUCUUCCAAUUAAAAGCCAAUCAGAGAUAUACCUCAAUGUUUCAUAAAUUAAAUUCAAUUUGAUUAAUGUUUAUUCAAUUUGAUUUCUAAAUAAAAGCUACGUACAUUAUAACUCGAGUUUUCAUAAUUAAAUGUUAAUUCAACUAAUAUGAAUAUAAAUGUGUUUCUAAAAUAAUCUGCUAGUUAAACUCGAAAUAUAAAGCUAUGCGCUUAGAUGUUUACAUGUAAUUUAUUUUUAAAUUAAAUAAUUAAUUUGCAUAAAUUGUACUUAAAUAUUUAUAAAUAAAAUUGGACUAAGUUUUACAUCAUCUUUUCUUAUGAAAAUAUAAAUAUGACUUGAUUAAUUGUAACUAAGGAUAUUUCUCUGAAAUAUCUUUACAUUGUUUUUCUCAACUAAAAUAAAUGAAGCUUGUAGCUCUCACCUUUUUUAAAAAUUCAAAUAUCUCAAUAGCUUUAUCUUUUCAACCAUAGUUCCGUUCUCAGCAUUUCCUAUGUUUGCGUGCAUCCUAGAAACGAGUCCUAUCCUUUAGUACGCUCUUUUAAAGCCUGUCUUUUAUUUUAGUGUAUUGUUCUUAGUUGUACUUGUUUGUUGCUUGUAUGUUUGUGCCGAUGUUCGCUCCGAGUAGAAGGAUCGCCAUUCGGAAGUUUUGAAGAGUAAGAGUUUCAAGAAAGCAAGAAGCCGAAGAGCAUAGCAGUAAGAGUAACUUUUCGUUGGAGAAAGGCAAGUGUCCCUAACCAUCCUUCUACCUAUGCUUUGUUAAUAAUAUCAUGAUAAUGUUAAUUGGAACAUGGAGCGACCACCCAGGAAAAUAGUGCUACCACAAGAUUAAAUGGCUCUGGCCUUGGCUGAAUAAUUAGAAACUCUAAUCUGGGGUAAUCUUACCAAAAGGGCAAGAGGGGAGGCGUUGAUGGGGUAUAACACUCGCUCUAUUGGGAAGUGGGCUUUGCUAAGACACUGUACCCACUAAGGGACUGUUAUGCUCUGCUUCGGCCUGAAACCUUAGCGGGUUACCACUUACUAGCAAAUCUUUGUAAAGGCCUCGUAGCGUCCCUAUGCAAUCACACCUCGGGAGUGUGGUAUGGUGCCUAGCUAGCACCGCAUGGUUAGAUCCAAAGUUCUUUGAACUUUUACGCGACUUGUGGGUAAAGAUGUGCAACCUCUGCAGAGUGUAAAACUGAUCGAUCAGCCGUGCUCACGGUCAAGAGCGGCCUGGACCAUCACAUGAUUAACUAGACUUGAAGAUGGACUUAAAUCGUUAUUCUGGUUAAUUCUAGUGGUCUUGCUGAGUACCAACCAUAAGUGUACUUACUCUUGCUUACUACUGCUUAGAAGAAGAAGGUGUGUGAAGUAUUCUGAAGAUGAUGCUGAGUUCUAGGCGUACGCAACCCCCAGUCGAUUGCCUGUGGAGUUUGGAGCCUCCAUUUCCAGUAUUUAAGCUAUGUAUCUCUGAUGGUUUCGUAAGUCUUUAUUUGUAUCUUUUAUGUGAUACUGUUGCUGUUAUUCACUUAUGAUGUCACUAAACGUAUGAAAUUUGAUCCUAGCAUACAUAUAAGUAGCACUUGGUUUUGUUUUAAAACCGGGUAUGACAAAUACACUCAACACACAUAGUAUUGUGAUUAGAAUAUACAAUCCUGACAGAGUAAUUAAGAAUGGUAUAAAUUUGAAAACACGGAAUCCUACCACAGUGCUGAGCGAUAUUGUUCCACCGUGUCAGGGUUUAUCCUUGGCUCAGUGAUCAUCUGUAUCCACAGCACAAGGUGCCCUACAUAAUCAUUCGUCCCAAUUUGUUCAGUGGUGCAAAUGGUAUUUCCUUCCUCUGGCUUACACUCUACACAGAUGCAGAACGAAAUUUGAAUUAGCUUCAAAUAGAAAUUAGGAGAAAAACAGAAUAAAGGUAAAGAAUGAUGCCUGAAACUUUACUAUUCUUAGAAUGACAUCAUCUUAGAAGAACAAUCUGCUUUUGUCCCUAGUCGGCUGAUCACCGAUAACGUGCUGAUUGCUUAUGAGUGUAUUCACUACCUGAAGAGAAAGAAGGGCAAAAUCGGCGGUCAAGCUUGAUAUGGCGAAGGCACAUGACCAGGUCGAGUGGCCGUAUCUCGGAAGUAUCAUGCUCAGUGAAGCUCUCUGUGAGGGCAUGUGCGGUCAAACUCCAGGAGGGAUUGGUUUUCGGGAUAUAAAGUAGUUUAACAUUGGUAUGCUCGGCACACAAGAAUGGCGGCUGAUGACAAGUCCGGACUCUCUUUGUACAAGGGUCCUGAAAGGCAAAUACUUCCACGCUGGUGUGAAACAUGUGGUGCGCGGGACGAGACAACCUUCGAUGCUCUGACGGAGUGUACGUAUAUAUGCUCGGAGCUUCUGGUCAAAGCUGAGAGAACUGACAGGUACCGUGUAAAACUCCCUGAACUUAACCCAACAACUUGAGCGGGGGACAUACUGAAGGACCAUAUAUCUGAAGAAUAUGACCGAGGAGUCAAAAAUGCAGUGACAUGUGAGCAUUCGAACAACAUAUAGUCGGUCAUUAUCAUACAGUGGACACUUAACAGGAACCGGCAAAAAUGAAUCAUGAAUGAUAGGUCCAAUGCAUGCAGAACUGUGUGCCAAAGUCUGAAUAUUCUGUUCUGUCCGGCAGUGCUAAUCAGAAACUAAGCUCUGUACAAAGCAGGACAUUCUGGACGGUGUAAAUAGGUAGAAACCACGAGUAUGGACAGAUGUAGCUUCAGGCAAGCAGCAAGCAUCAAACGCCCUGAAAAAUUGCUGGAUUCUUAUCUUGCUAUUGUGGAACUUGGAAUCUGAACAUUCAGAUGUCUAAAGAUUAAACGAUGAGACGAAACGGUUUAAGACUAGCAUUAGGAAAUAAACUUUGUUUUUAGACAAUGAGAUAGCUUUUGAAUAGCAUCAAUCUGAAGGAUUGCAGCAUGCUAGCAGUUGCAGACACUGGAACUUUUGUAAUUCUCAUGAAACAGAAUGUAAACUUUAGUUUUGAAUAGCACAUCCAACAGCCUGAAUGGAAAACAAACAGGCACCUGAGAGUUGGUCAAGUGAUAACUAUGAUUCCGAAACAUAAAGUUUCGACAUGCCUAAUUUGUUACCAAGGAAGAACGACUGACGGCCGGCCAACCAUGCUUUUGGUAAUGAAAUAAUGUUCAAAUGAACUGUACAAGCACUAAUCUGAUACAGAACUAUGAGAGAAACUGUAAGCACACUAGAUAUUCAAAUCGUUAGGUCGAGGGUCGAGAAUUCAGCAAUGCUGAAGUUGUCAGGACUAAUUUUUUUUCUAGAAUACGCAGGAGAGCUGCAUAUCAUUCAAUUAAGAGGAAAAAAUAGAUGUUUAGUUGCAACACGGAUCAUUCACCAGGCGCACGCACACGGAUUUGAGUUGAUAAUGAUUACAUUAUUAAACAUACACUCCACCUAUCUGUUAGCAACUCCAAAUUGUUCACCUAGGUGCUAUGAGACACCCGCUUCGAAGUUCCAGCCAGCCAUCGCCAGGCAUCGUGCUCCUGCAGCAAACCAGUUUGCUGCUUCCUCCUGUAUCACGGCGAGGAGUUGUCAGGACUAAUUGCUCUCCAUUAUGCUAAUACAUAGUACAGUAGUCAUCACUGCUGCUCCAAACUAUCUAUAGCGAUCAGAAAUGUUUCCAGCCCAAGGGCAUCUGCACUUGAACAAUCAUCAGAAAGGUGAACCAUUUUGCAAUGCAAGCGAUCAGAAAUGUUUCCACCGAACUCGUUGCUUUUGAUUCAUCGCCGUACUGUUGGCUGGAUUGCCUCCAGAUGGUUGCACAAGAGCUAGAGAGUCGCCCAUGGUUGACGCCUGCUGCAGGGGCGGAGAGGUCGGUCUGAAGAAGGGAGGAGACGGCCGGAUGGUACGGCCAGAUUGCGGCGGAAGAAGUUUUCCGGACGAUUCAGGUCGCUAGACUCGGACGCCGCCGCCUCAGUAGGAACAGAGGGGUGCUGAAGAGCGCCGGCGGUGGUAGAUCCCAGGCGGGUGCCGCGACGGGUAUAGCGGAGGUCGCCGGACGUGAGCGGAGGAAGGAGUCAGGCUGCUCAGAGGAGGAAGGAGUGAGCGGAGGUGAGAGCCGAGGCGGCCGAUGGUUGAGUUGUGAGCGGAGGCCGGGGGCGGAGGCGCGGCCGUGGGGAGCCGCCUUCUCUCAGGACCUCCCACCACCGGUGAGGCAUCGCCAACUUGAUUUGGUGCCCGCCUCUGGCGCAGGCAAAUGAGAAAAUUGCAAUUUUAGGAUUCCAAACAACGCGCUUCGCUAUUUUAGGACUCCUAUCGUCGACUUCGCUAAAAUGACCCUCAAAACGUUGGCACUUCGUUAUACAUGACAUUUGCUCAUUUAAAACACUUUUCUCAAAUAAAAUACAUGUAUUUUAGCAUUAGAGGACCAUAUUGCCCUCAGCUCUUUUUUCCUGGACGUGGGAUGGUGCUGCUGGCCGCUCGCCUGGCCUGGCUGGCCGGCCGCGCCUGGGCUGGCUUGCCGCCGCCUGGCCAUGGCUGGUUGUCGCCGCGCCUAGGCUGCUGGCCGCCGCUUGGCCAUGGCUAAUCGUGGCUUGAGCUAGCUGGCCGCCAUGUACAGUUUAAUAUGUAAUAUAAAUUAUCAAAGAUGAUCCAUACAUAAUUAUAAAAUCAUGAAUUAGCACAAACGAGCUCAUCUCAUAAAACCAUGAUUGUAGCAAGUUCAUCUCAAAAGACCAUAAUUUAGUUCCAAACGAGAUCCAAAUCAUAUGAAAUAAAGCAUGAGUUUACAUCUCAUCACAACUAAAAUAAUUUAUCCAAUGUGUAGCUUUCUCUUUGGAGUCAUCUUUUUUGGUGCUGUCGCGGUAGGCAUCCUUACGGGACUAGUAGUGUCGGUUUGUGAAGAUGUACCCUCUCCUAAUAACAUCGCAAGCUUGCUGCACAUAAAUACUAUAUGACAAUUAUAUGUAUGGAAAAAUUAAUGUACAGUAAAUGUGUUAAUAUUUCUUACCUUCUUGUGACCCUUCCUGGACUAUCCCGUAGGAUUUCUUCUCUAGUCGGCCUUCGUGGGGUGCUAGGUUCUGCUGGCGCAGCUUUUGUAACAUUCUUCCUAGGUUGCCUACGCUUCCUACAAGUAAUCAAAUAAAUUUAUAUUAACAUUUUCAUUUAAGUUUCUUGAUAAAGAAAAUCAGUUCUUACCUCUUUUUUCUAUCCCAUUUAGUGGGCACUUAGCACUAGCUUGCCUGUGACCUUUUUGUCCGCAUUUUUUGCAAGUCAUAGGUCCUCUGAUCAUCUUCUUUCCCUUUCCAUUUGUUAGAGCAAUAUCGUUGUCACAUCCCUUCUCACCUUCACCCUUGUUGGUAAAUUCACCACCUUUCUUCUUGUGGCCACCUUCCAUCCAUCCCUUCCUUCUUAGUUUCCUUCGUCUUCCAAUAGGUAAUUUAGCAAGAGGUGCACCAACUAAAAAUGGUAGGUCAACCUGUGGCCACUGUGUUUUGUCUGUCAUCGGCUCAAUCUCUCUUCCAUAAGCAGCCCUAAAUCUAUUGACCGAGUAGUACUCAUGCACAAACUGUUCAAGGUCAACUCCCCGUUGGCGGGUUACAUAAGCCAAUACAUGUUGACAUGGCUUACCAGUGUGCUGCCAUUCAAGACAUGUACAAGUCCUUUGGUAUAACUUAACAAUAUGCCUCUCUACUCUGCUGCUAUGUUCCCACACCUCUGCACUCCAAUUAGAACAUGGUACAAUUUUUAAAUAUCCCAAGCCUCUAGUAUUUGCCUUUAGCUGAUGCAUAAUAGCUGGAAGUAUCCUGCCUUCAGGUAGCCUGUAUGCAAUAUUUCUUCUCUUGUUCCACUUUACCAUGAUCAUUUCUCUAAUCUUAUCAGCUAGGUCAGCAACAGGCAAGUCUUUAUGGUCUCUAAUCCAGUUAUUAAAUGACUCAGCAACAUUACUAGUUAUGUAGUCACACUUUAUUUCUGGAUUGAAACCACACCUAUAUCAUAAUAGCUUAUGAUUGGUCUGUAACCAUUUCACUGCUUCUGAUGAUUCCUUCAUCAUUGAUGCUAUAUUUUCAUAGAAUAUGUCUUCUCUGUAAGCCCUUGCCGCAGGAUAUAUCUGGCCAAACCCUCUAUAUCUAUUCGAGAAAUUUUUGACAAGAUGAUAAAAGCAUUCUCUUUGCUCUGCAUUUGGGAAUACUUUCUUCACUGCAUUCUCCAAGCCCUUACAAGCAUUAGAACAAAUAGCAAGGAGUGAAUGGUCACCUAUAGCCUUCUUUAAUUGUUCCAUGAACCAAAUCCAGUUGUCUGUUGUUUCCGAAGCUAUGAAGCCAUAAGCGAGUGGAUACAUCCAAUUGUGACCAUCAACUGCUGUAGCUGCCGCCAAUUGACCAUUCCACCUUCCAUUAAGUGUUGUAGCAUCUAUGCUCAAAUGAGGCCUACAACCUUCCAAGAAACCAUCAAUGCAUGGUUUAAGCGCACAGAAAAAACGGUGGAAAUAUACUUGACCAUCCACCUGAAGUACCUCAAUCUCAACGACACUCCCGGGACACCGCUUCAUUACCUCGGCCUUCCACCUAAACAAGAGCUCAAAACUCUCUUCCAUUUGCCAUAAACCUCUUCAAGAGCUCUUUCUUUACCCCGCCAUACAAUGUCAUAUGCAAUUUGACACUUGUGAUCUGUCUGCAACUUCUUUUGCAAUUCCUUAGCACCAAUAUUUGGAUCAUCUCUAAGGAUACUCACAGCCUUGCUAGCUACCCACUUCAGACUUGGAGUUGUAGUUAUCUGCCUCAUGCUAGAUACACAUGUAUGCUUAUCGACUAAGACGGUUACCUGCAAAAAAAAAAGCAAUGAGAUUCAUAUUAAUUUACAUAAAAAGAAGAAUUAAUGAAAGAAAAAAAAUUAUUCACCUCCACAGUGCUUUGGCCUUUAUGUUUGGUGCCAUUUAUCCUCCAAGGGUAAGGGCAAUCUUCAACACCGGACUUGCAAAAAGCCCUAUAUCUCAUCUUACAUGACUUCUCAGUUCCUAAAUCAAACUCCUUAUUGAUUGCAAAUUGCCGCACUGCCAACUUGAACUCCUCCAUUGUUGGGUACACUGUUCCUAAAUCCAUUGAUGGGUUGUUCUUGUCAUAUGAAAUGACCAUCUCACCCGGUAUCUCAUCACUAGUAGGAAUGGCAGCACCACCAUUAUUUUGCCCAAGCUCAUCAUCAUGCUCUUGCUCAUCCAUUGGGCAAUCAAAGCCUUGUGCAGGUAUAUUUGUUGUGUUCUCCUCUGUCAAACCUAAAAGCUCUCAAAUCUGCGACUCACUCAUAAGUGCAAUACGACCUUCAUCAUCAUGUGUCUCCACUAUUUGUAUGUUAUCCCAAUCAAUUCUUUUCAUAUUUUCCACUUGGGGCCUAAAACAAUGAAUUCAUGUUUUACUACUGUCUACUACUACCGUGGUAAAAAAAACAGAAAUAUAGUGCAGCCGAUACCUUUGCACUUCAAGAACAGGAAUGUUGCACUCUAUUGCCGAAUGAGGAGCAGUGACCAGGGCACUAGGCGUCCCUAUCAUGGCCCCUGGCGGCGCGGGAUGGGCAGUCGCUGCCACAGCUAGGGCACCCGACGCCAUGGCCAUGGCCCCAGGCGGCGCGGCCAGGGCAUCCGCUGCCGCGGCUACGGCACCCGGCGCUACGGCCAUGGCCCCAGGCGGCGCGGGUAGGGUAGCCGCCGCCGCGGCUACGGCACCCAGUGCCGCGGUCAUGACCUCAGGCGGCGGUUCUCCAUCCAUGGUGGAUGCCAGGACCUUCGAUGCAACGAACGGCGGCAUCCGGGGCGAAGAACACAGGCGUCCGGGGCGAGGAACGACGACGUCCGGGGCGACCAACGGCGGCGCGUCGCGAUCUCCCAUCACGAGGGAUAGGUAGGCUGACGAACGGCGGCACGUCGCGAUCUCCCGUCGCGAGGGUAGGGUGACGAACGGUGGCGCACGAUCUUUUCUUGCGAUAGAAAUAGAAACGGAACAGCAGAAACAGGCAGGGCAGGCCACGUCCAGGAAAAAAGACCUGACAGAAACAGGGCAGGGCAGGCCACGUCCACGUCAAGGAAAAAAGAGCUGAGGGCAAUAUGGUCCUCUAAUGCCAAAAUACAUGUAUUUCAUUUGGGAAAAGUGUUUUAAAUGAGCAAAUGUCAUGUAUAACGAAGUGCCAACGUUUUAAGGGUCAUUUUAGCGAAGUUGACGAUAGGAGUCCUAAAAUAGCGAAGCGCGUUGUUUGGAGUCCUAAAAUUGCAAUUUUCUCCAGGCAACCAUGGGAGGCACCGGGCGACCUACAAACCCUGGAGGAUUCGAUUCCCGACCCGCCGCUCUCUGCCGGUUGCCGCAUGCCUGCACUUGACUAACGACAGGGAUGGGACUGGGAGAGGAUAAGGAACGGGGAGAAAUAAAAACAAGCCACGCUUGCGCUGUACAGGGAUGGAAUUGGGACUUUGGGCCUCUAGCCGAAUGGCUGAGCUGUACAGCCGUCGAAGAAGCUUAAGUGUGCAGGCCCAACAAUCACGAUCCUAAGAGGUAACUCCAAAAGACCGCUAACCUUAGAGCAACUUCAAGAAUCUCAAAAAAUUCUUCCCCAAAAUGAGGUAUCAGAGGUUAUGCUAAAUUUUUUCCCCCCAAAACAUAUGAGACCACAGUAGAACGCUAGAAACUACUCCCUAAUAUUUACCAUGUCAUCGUAAUUGGGCCUACCUCUAGCUAAUGUAUAUUCAUAUGUAAACCAGGUCCAUUGCCAUCAUUAUUCUCCUGGGCAGACAUAGAUGGACAUGCAGACAUGGCAUCAUCAGGGAAGUAACCGCAGAUUCUGAUGGACUGUUCGUCAUCAUUGGUACAGUAUUCCAUGUAAUUUACGCUGCAGCUAGCCACUGCGCACUCGUUCUCUUCUCUUAUGUGCAAAGGUAUUUAAGAGAAAGGAAGAACUUUGCAAUCUGGUUUUCUCUUGGUAUUGUUGCUCUUGGCAAGGUCAUUGCAUCUGCCACUUAAAGGCCUACAAAAGCGACCGCCACCAAUGUCAUUCCUAGCAGACAUCUUCAGAGGCAACACAUUCUUGUUACCUACCAAACUUCAUAUGCAGCUACUUUCUGUUUCUUGCCUGUUCUUCUAACUAAAUCGCUAGGUGGCAUCGUACUUGCUUCUAGUUUUCUCUUCACAGUUCUAGCACUGGUGGAAGCACAAACAUUGGCCGCUUUCCUCUUAGUAUUGUGAUCAUCAUCUUCAUAAGCUCGAUGAUCCCUGCUCCAUCACAAAUUUUGAGUGAUGAGAGGAGUGAUUAACAAGUCGGACCGGUUUACUCAGCUCAGAGACCUGAAAAGGGGAAUGAUGUUGUUGAAUUAAUUUCUGAAAGGCAAAAAGUGAAAAUUACACUGGUAAUGAGAAGAUAGUAUUGCGAUGUGUUAUGGCAGAUACUGUGAUACAAAAGUCAAGCAAGUACUCAUGAUGAGAGGUACAACCAAUUCAUCACUGCUCACCUCUUGUAUCACAAAAUUAUUAUGGUAACAAAUGUUCAGUCUAACAUAAGUGGAAGAUUUGAAAAAUAUUCAAAUUUCAAGUUUCAACAAGUCUUAUUGCUUGACAGUAGAUGGAACUAAACCGUACAAUGCGGAAUAUGCUGAAAUAUCUAUCUGAACUUUGUCCAAGGUCAUCAUCCUCACUAUUACUCACUGUCUUCUCUGUUGCUAUCUUGAUUGGUUGAAGCACCACCAUGGCAAAAUAAGCUACACACAUCAGGACAUCAUGUCAGUGUUCUGCUGUCCUGGACGCAGCAGCUGCAUUCUGUUGGUUUCAGCAGCUAGCUAGAUAGCUGCAGCCUGCAGGAUGUAGGCUGGAACAAUCAUGAGCUGAUGGGCGUGGUGACCCCACGCUACCGAUUCCUCUGGCGCUUUGCUGCUGCGGCGGCGGCGGUCGGGAAGCAGCGGACGGCGCUGUCCGGGGAGCAGAUGUCCGGUACGAAGGCGGUGCUGUCGAGGCCGCCGCCGUGUUGCCAGUGGAGCCCGGAGGCCGUCGGCGGGGAGGGGAGCUCCGGCACCGACAACUGGAUCUCAGGCACCUGGCCGAACAGCUCGUUGGCGUCCCGGUUCUCCUCCGACGAGCGGUAGUACGGCGAGCCCCCCGCGCUGCCGCCGCGCCUUAGCCCUGCCGGACAGGCGCGAAAGCCGAGCUCUCCUCCGACGAGCGGUAGUACGGCUUUACCAUGCUCUCAUUUACUACUAGCAGUGAUGGAAACCGAUUGAUUGUCUGCAGGUCAUUGCCUGCUUGAGCUCUCUUCCGAUGAGGUACUGAUGACAACGACUCACCCAAUAGCCAGCUCGCUUAUAAAAUUCAGAAACGCUUACACCCUGUCCAAUUAUUGCGCACUGCUAAUCACAACACGCCCUGCUGUCGAUAUCGACCAGUUGGUUCAGGUCAACUCGAUCUCGAUCUGUGCUUCCAAUACGUCCCAUCCCAUGUGCAUAUAGCCAUAUAUGCAUCCACCUCCUUUCCCUUCCAGCUGGAUGCUGCUGCUUGUCUUCACUGCAUUUCUUUGCUUGACUGAACGAGCUGGUCGUUGGUAAACCAAAAAAGAUAUCCUAUGAUUAUGUUUGCCAAAACAAAAAUAACCUAGGAUGACCACUCUUUUUCAGGAUCAUUUGAAGUGUUAAUUUGCAUGUAUUAGUCGCAGAAAAUUUUAAUUUCUCAUAUAGUAGCUAGAGCUAUUAUGUUGUAGUUGUAGCAUCGCACCAUCAUAUCUGCAGCCAAAGUUAAGCAGGGCCAUUUUUUCAUGCAUGUGCCCUAUGAGACCUUACUAAUAUGUCAUUAGCAUCGCACCAUCAUAUCUGCUGAACAUUCACAUCAAUCUGCUUUGUUUUUCCUUCUUCUCUUUGUUUUUAUUUCAAAACUGCUGUCACAGUCUGACAGCCUUACUAAUAUGUCAUUAGCACGUGUCUUCACUGAUUCCUUCUUCGACUAACGAGAUAUAUUGUUUCUGUAUAGUGUGUGGAUCGAGCAAUUAUGUAUUGACAACUUGUUCAGAACGGAGCAGACUUCGCGGUGCUGACCGAGCGGAUAGCUAGAAGACCAGGCAGGCAUCGCUUCCUCUCUGUGCCUGCUCAAAGGAGAAAGAGGUGUGAAGCGAAGGCAAAGAGGAAAUAAGAUCAGUGCCUGCUUGACUACUUAUUUUGAUUCUUAUGAUGAAAAAUAUGAGAAUACGAGAAUGGUUUGUCCAUAUCAUCAGCUCAUAAGAUCAGCAUCUGAUGCCUUUCCUUCUCAUGCGGACGAGGGCUCCAUCAGGGAAGCCAUGCCAGCGAUUAUGCCCAUGAGGUGGCGUGGAACCUGGCCCAUCUCAGAUGAGCGCAAGGUGUUCGUGGGAAUGUUUCUCAAGUCGCCUCUCUUGCCUAGCUCGGUCUCAUUGGAAAUCUGAACUGACAAGGAUCAUGCGCGUUCCCAAUUUGCCAUGCUGAGGUGCUGUACACUCUGGAACAGGCUUGCAUCUACUAGCUAUUCCAGAGUCUCCAGUAGGAUUUUUCUGGUGCUGCACCCGUUGAGUUAGAUCCAAAUUCAGUUAUGCAGAGAUAAAAGACUAACUUCGGAUGGAGCGAAGCGAGGCCCGUCACCGGAGGUUUCAACUCUUUAUAUACUUCAUGUAAGCCGCCGGUUUGGGAUGAGUCGAAAGGUUGUAAAUCCCCGGUGUUGGUAACCUCACCCGAUAUAGUGAAGAUUUGCUGGCUGGCGCUCGUGGUUUUUUCUCUUCCUCCUUGGAAGGGUUUUCCAUGUUAAAUCUCGUGUCUCCUGUGUUGGAUCUGCUGCUCUUCAUCGUUUAUAUUGCCUAUCGCUUCUAACAGCACCGGACCCCAUUGCUCUGUCUAAGGUAAAUUCUUAUGCGCCAUCUCUGCUUUUGUUCGUCUCCGUUUCUGCAGAUGUAGAUUGCUUGAUCGACAAGAAUACCAUAUGCACGCACCACUGAACAAAUUGGGACUGCGGUCUUAUGGUCAUGUAUAUGCACAUGGCACAAGUGUACCACCAGCCUGCAGGCAGCUUGUUCAAUGGGUCCUAGAUGAUCAUUGAGCCAAGGCUAAACCGAGACGGUGGCAGAAUAUUGUUUUUUUUUAUGAGAGUGGCACAAUAUAGUUCAGGUCUGUGAUAUGACAGCUGUGUUUUCAAAUUCAAAUCAUUCUUAUAUUCUAAUCAGAACACUAUAUAUGUACGCUGACAGUCUUGCAUUCAGACGUGAUGGGUAGUCCGCUGAAAAUGAAGGAAGGGUGAAUUUUCUGGUACGCGGCAGCAAGACACCUCAUCUGUGCUUUUUGAACAUGAGAACCAACAAAAUGGGUUCCAUUGUUAAUCCAUUUUUCUACGGCAUGUCGCCUUCAGUGUGAGGAACCAAUAAUCCAGGUUCAAACACAAGGAACUAAUUUUCCAUCUCAUUUUACCUAGUGGUAGUUGAAAUAUCAAGAUCGAGCUCAUCAGAAAUGCUGCACGCCAGAAAAUAGAAUACCUAAUGCUUCAAUGUUUCUGUUGGACUGGAAACCAGCAACAGGCAGGUCUUUAUUUUUAAAAUUAAGACCUGGAGCUAGACGUUAACUAUGGCCAGCCUUUUUUUUAUGGAUCCUCAACUUCUCAUAAUACAGCAUGCAUUAGUUGGAACUCUGGAGAGUCAGGCUCUUACAUCCUCGGUGGGCUAUUUCAAGGCGUGCCUGAGCAGAUUGAAGGAUUGUCAAAGUAAAGCUAAGGACUGUCAUAAUAGGGGAGAAAGGUUAGUCAUCUUACGUUCUUACUCGAGUGUAUGUAUGCCCAUUUCCUGUUCCUUGAUCAUCAUAUCUUAGUAGUUCUGAUGAUACACAUACCAUGCUCUGUCGGUAAGAAGGUGAGAGAUGGCGCUAUGCGGGAUGGUUGCCAACAUAACACAGCUCCUAGGGGUGGACUUAUUUGGGCUGAUCAGCAUGAUCGAGAAGGCUGCGCAGACGGUAAGCCAGAAUGAGGAGGCGUGCAGACGGAUCACUGACCGUGCAUCGAUGAUCAAGAAUCGGCUGGAACAGUUACAGCAAGUCUCAAGAUCCUUCGAGCACCUGGAGAUGUGGAAGCCGAUGAAGGGGCUGAAGAGCACCCUCCGCAGAGCAUACCGGCUCAUCAUAGGCUAUCAGCAUAGCAGCUACAUGUACAAGUUCUGCUGUGGAUCUGAUCUCGCCAAGGAGUUUGAGUCAGUGCAGAAGGAUAUGGAUCUCUGGAAUCAGCAUCUGACUGAUUUGAAAAUGGACAUCCAGUUCGAACUCACAGUUGUUGACACGGGGAGCUUGCAUGGAAAAAGGAACAUCAUCAAGCAGGUAAAUGUACAAUGACUACUGUAAUCUCACCUCAAUUUGUCAAGUAGUGUUAGUGUAGCACAGUUUUGUGGUUAAAACGAAAAAAAGGAAAAAUUCAACUGUCCGUGAUUUAUCAUUGUUCAUUCUCACCAGUACUGUAUUAACAACAUGAUAUUUGUUGAUUAUCCCUAUUUUCUUGUUUUAGGAUGGUGCUCAUUUACCUCCUGCUGGGUCGCCAGCUAGUCAUUUGAACAACAAUGACAGGUGCAAUGUUGCAACAUUUCAUCUUUACUUCUUCAAGAAUUUAUAAAGAGUUCAUAUCAUAUUUCUUUUAAAUGCCUGGCGACGAUGAUAGGGGAAAACUGGUUGGCGAUUUAGGACAGUUUCAAUUGCUUGCAGAUCCAUCAGGUACUUCUGUUUUAGGCAUUCAUACUGCAUAUCAGAGUCUUAAUUAUAUGAUCUUAUUAUCUCGAUAUGAUAUUUAUUAUUAGCUUUCAAGCUUUUGUACAUUAACUGCACUAAGACUAAGAUAACAUUUUCUGCAUGCUUCAAGAUAUUGUUGAAGAUUUUACAAUAAAGAGCCAAAUAUCAAGGUGCUGCUGUUGGUGUCCCAACAUCAGCUACAAAGGAACAGGUAUGAGCUAGACAUUAAAAUUUGGCAUCAUGCAUUCCAUACUAAUAGUAAUAGCAUACAUUUUCAGUGCCAGGAAAACCAUACUAAAUCAAUAUUUCAAUGGUCCACAUUCUUCUAAACAACAGAUCUUACCAAGUUCGGUUUCUCUCAGUUGGCACAUGCGACAAAUUACUUCUCACUGGAAAAUAAAAUUGGAUUCGGUGGCUCCAGCUAUGUUUACAAGGUACUGCUUUACAAUUACACCUGCUUUGCUUUUCAUCUCUUUUCAUGUUCCCAAAACAGCUUUUCUCUAGUGCGCAGAUGAAGUAGCAACAUUACUCUGUGUUCAGCUUUUCCAUCCUUUUUCUAACAAAGCUGCAUCAUUACUUGUAAUUGGUGUUUACACUUUUCAGGGCCAGCUAAAAAUGGGACUCGAGGUCGCAGUCAAAAGAGCAUCAUAUGAAGGGAAAAUUCCAUUUAAACACUUUCAAAAUGAAAUUGAGCUAAUUCCAAAGCUUCAGCAUGCAAAUAUAGUUAAGCUUCAAGGAUAUUGUAUCCGAAAGGGAGAAAGGAUCUUGGUAUUUGAGUAUAUGCCAAACGGAAGCUUGGAUUCCUUCAUAUAUGAAGGCAAGUUUCUACUAUCUUUAUAUACUGAUUGGAUUAAAUUAUUAUACAAUUCUCAUGUAUGCAUGUUUGCGAUUUACAUACAGGUGAGAGAGCAAGGGAGUCACUUGAGUGGCCAAAGCGCCGUCAAAUAAUCGAAGGGAUAGCUCAGGGAGCUAAGUAUCUGCAUCAAUUGUGUGAGCCACACAUAAUUCACGGGGAUUUAAAGCCAGGCAAUAUACUCUUGGAUUCUGACUUCAUCCCUAAGAUUUGCGACUUUGGGAUAUCGAAAGCACUAAAGCCGGGUGCAGAUGAGGACUGCACUGGCAUUGUAACAGGCUCACGGUAAAACUUCAUUUUACAUUACAUUACAACAUUUGCUAAUUCUGACGAACGAUUUGGUUUGGUGAUCUUUAUAUUUUUUUCAGGGGGUUCAUUGCACCUGAAUAUAUCAGGCAAGGCUGUUUAUCCAAAAAGUCUGAUGUGUACAGCUUUGGAGUUACCCUUCUUCAGAUCAUUAGCAGGAAGAGGCUCCCUCCACCUCCGCUAGAACUAUCAGCUGAAUCACGUCACUAUGGGCCUCUUAAUAAAUGGGUAAGUGAACGUCUUCGAGUAGAGCGCAAGUUCACAUGAAACAUCUCACAGUAUUCUUAGUUCAUCAUCUAAUCAGUACUAGCUUCUUUCAGGCGUGGGACUUAUGUGCAGCAGGAGAGCUGCUGGAGUUCAUCGAUCCAUCGCUGCAUGACAAGCGUCAAAAUGCCGAGAUAAUGAGAUGGGUUAAGAUAGCACUGCUAUGCGUUCAGGAGGAUCCAGAGAAGCGACCGAGCAUGUCCGAUGUUCUUGAAAUGCUGGGCUCUGAGGACGACAUCCAGAUACAACCCAGCCGACCUGCUUACUACUGAAAAAGAGAUUUCAUAUGCUGGUUAAGCUCAAGCUGAAGAUCAACAAUUUGAGCUGAAACUGGACCGAGCUGAAACAUAAUGUAUGCAUGUAUUCUCUGACGGCUGAUGCUACAGUACCAUAACUUCCAUUAGAAAAAAAAACAUUUAUUGUUCUGCAUUUUGUGGUGUUGCUUCACAUUAGAAAAAAAAACUCUCAAGUUAGUAAUUCUCUAUGAAUGUGCCAGUGGUUUUGUUUUCUAUUAAAACGAGGCAAUCGUUUUCUCAAAUGUGCUACAUUGUUAGUAAUUUGAUAGUUUUAUAGAGGCAAUGCGUCAGUAUUGGCCAUUGCCAGAGGCUUCAGAACAGAGAGAUUCAGGCCCAACUGAGCUUCUUCAUUACUUUUGCAAUUAUAUAGUGAGGCAACCAGCGAAGCGGGUGUGUGCAAGAUUGCUCGAGAUCAAGAUGGCAAUGCCAUUUUCUGUGCCUGACACAUUAUGUCCUCGUGCCCUAGAGCUGAAAUUUCUGCAUGCAUGGGAUGGAUUGUCAUCGGCUUUACCAUGCUCUCAUUUACUACUAGCAGUGAUGGAAACCGAUUGAUUGUCUGCAGGUCAUUGCCUGCUUGAGCUCUCUUCAGCGAUGAGGUACUGAUGACAACGACUCACCCAAUAGCCAGCUAGCUUAUAAAAUUCAGAAACGCUUACCCUGUCCAAUUAUUGCGCACUGCUAAUCACAACACGCCUUGCUCUUGAUAUCGACCAGUUGGUUCAGGUCAACUCGAUCUCGAUCUGUGCUUCCAAUACGUCCCAUCCCAUGUGCAUAUAGCCAUAUAUGCAUCCACCUCCUCUCCCUUCCAGCUGGAUGCUGCUGCUUGUCUUCACUGCAUUUCUUUGCUUGACUGAACGAGCUGGUCGUUGGUAAACCAAAAAAGAUAUCCUAUGAUUAUGUUUGCCAAAACAAAAAUAACCUAGGAUGACCACUCUUUUUCAGGAUCAUUUGAAGUGUUAAUUUGCAUGUAUUAGUCGCAGAAAAUUUUAAUUUCUCACAGUAGAGCUAUUAUAUGUUGUAGUUGUACUGUUGUAGCAUCGCACCAUCAUAUCUGCAGCCAAAAUUAAUCAGGGCCAUUUUUUCAUGCAUGUGCCCUAUGAGACCUGAACUGUGUUCUGCUGAACAUUCACAUCGAUCUGCUUUGUUUUAUCUCAAAACUGUUGUCAAUGUCUGACAGCCUGUCUUAUUAAUAUGUCAUUAGCAAGUGUCUUCACUGAUUCCUUCUUCGACUAACGAGAUAUAUUGUUCGACUAAUAUAGUGUGUGGGUUGAGCAAUCAUGUAUUGACAACCUGUUCAGACCGGAGCAUACUUCGGGGUGCUAGGAGACCAGGCUGGCAGCAUCGCUUCCUCUGUGCCUGCUCAAAGGAGGAAGAGGUGUGAAGCGAAGGCAAUGAUGAAAAUAUGAGAAUACGAGAAUGGUUUGUCCAUAUCUCAUAAGAUCAGCAUCUGAGCCUUUCCUUCACAUAGUCUUGAAGAUUAUUGUUGUUGCAGUCAACCGCACAAGAGCAAGAUGGCUGACAUUGCAUUGGGCAGCGUGGGGAAGAUCGUUGAAAUCGCACUCAAGAUCAAGGAGGCCGUGGAGACGGUUAAGCAGAACGAGGAGGAGUGCUGCGACAUCCAGAGGUGCGUUGCCAGGGUCAGCGCUCUCCUCAGGAAGCUUGACGAGACGACGGAGACGAUGAAGGACGAGGUGAUGCGUGACGCGCUGGAGGAUCUGGCCCAAUCCCUGGAACGCGCACUACGGGAAACCUUAAAUUUGCCGAGUGUUUUCUUUUUGCCGAGUGUUUUUUCUCGGACACUCGGCAAACAAGCUUUUUGCCGAGUGCCAAGCUAAAAACACUCGGCAAAAAAAAAACACUCGGCAAAUCGGGGCUUUGCCGAGUGUCAAAUAAAAAGCACUCGGCAAAGCCCCCUCUUUGCCGAGUGUCAAAAAAAACACUCGGCAAUUUGCCGAGUGUCAAAAAAAACACUCGGCAAAGAGGGGGGUUUGCCUAGUGUUUUUUUUACACUCGGCAAAAAAAUAAUUUUUUUUCCUCUUUUCACCAUGAAAUUUUUUCUACUCCCCACAUACAACAUGUGGUACUCCAUGUUAAAAUUUGGUAUAUUUUUGAAUUUAUUUGCUAUAUUUAUUUAAUUAAUUACAUUUCAAGGGAAUUUUUGGUAUAAGUCAAAUUUGAACUGCAAGUGAUUCAAAUUAUGGAAUAAAAUGAGUCGAAAAAUGAUAUUCAUGUUAUUUGGACCAAUUUGAGACCUGACUCAUGAAAUGAAAAGAAAUUUCGAACAUCUUAUUCAGGAAACACGACCAUGAACGUGUGGCAGUAGUAUUUUUAAAUUGUAAAAAAAACAAUCAAAAUCUGAAAAUUAUGAGAUUUACCAUGAUGUGAUGAUAUAAUANNNNNNNNNNNNNNNNNNNNNNNNNNNNNNNNNNNNNNNNNNNNNNNNNNNNNNNNNNNNNNNNNNNNNNNNNNNNNNNNNNNNNNNNNNNNNNNNNNNNCACUCGGCAAAGUCUUUGCCGAGUGCCGACACAAAACACUCGGCGAACUAGUGUUUGCUGACUCGAUAUUUGCCGUGUGCCGUUUGCCGAGUGUUACACUCGGCAAACGGUUCGCCGAGGGUAUUCUGCACUUCGCCGAGUGCCCCUGGCACUCGGCAAUUUGCCUGUGUCCCGUAGUGGCGCCCUCGAGCUGGUCACGGAGUGCCAGCGGAAGCACAUAUUUCGCCGCUUAGUGGGAGAGCUCUUUUACGGUACACUACUUAGUAGUAUAUAUAAUAUCUAAAUGUUCAUGAUUAUGGAUGAUUUAGUAAUUAUUACAUGUGAAAAGUGAUAUUUCAAACGGAAUGGCCUUUUAAACUUUACGCUAGUGUCAAAAAUAAAAUUUUAGUGAUGUUAUUUGUGUUCUUUUACCAUGAUACCCUUAUACUACCUAUACUACUCAUGUAUACCACCCAUACCACAGGUGUAGGUUUCAGUAGUAUACAAUUAAUCUUGACCGUCGGAUGUUUAUAUACUAGUCCUUUUUAGCACUAGUAUAGCCUAGCAAGGGACAUGGCCAAGGAGCUGGGCUGGGUCCAGGAUGAUAUAGUGAGGAAACUGCAGCUGGGGAACUUCGCCACCAAUGUCCAGACCACCAUCAUGGUGACAAACAUCCAAUCUGCUGGUGGUCCUCCUCCUCCUCCUCCUCCUCCACCCCACCCCAACGGCGAGUGGUUAUUGAUGGUAAGGAAAAGCUAUCAAAGUAUCAAUACCGUCUAUUGCAUCUUGGGUCCUUGUGCAUCAUUGGUUCAAAGUAUAGUGUUUUAUUGCAACUCUGUGUAUCAAAGUGACGUUGCUCCAACAGUUUUCUUAGAUCUCAAAGUAUAGUGUUUUAUUGCAACUCUGUGCAUCAUUGGUUCAAGUAGCAUAGUGUUUUAUUGCAACUGUACUAGAUCUCAAAGUGAUGUUGCUCCAACUGCUCCUACAGCUUCAUGCAUGCAUGUUUAGGUAUUAAUAUAAUCUAAGGGCCUGUUUGGCAACAAGGUGUUAAAGUUUAACACCCGUCACAUCGGAUGUUUGGAUGCUAAUUAGGAGUAUUAAAUAUAGGCUAAUUACAAAACUAAGUGCACAGAUGGAGUCUAAUUCACGAGACAAAUCUAUUAAGUCUAAUUAGUCCAUGAUUUGACAAUGUGGUGCUACAGUAACCAUUUGCUAAUAAUGGAUUAAUUAGGCUUAAUAAAUUCAUCUCGCGAAUUAGCACAGGGUUCUACAAUUAGUUUUAUAAUUAGCUCAUGUUUAGUUCUCCUAAUUAGCAUCCGAACAUCGGAUGUGACACUGUUAAAGUUUAACACCUCGUAUCCAAACACCCCUUAAUUCAAGCCCUGUUCCUGUGUGGCUUAAUUUUUAUACAAUGUAGGCUUCACAAUGUUCAGUUUAUCUGAAUUGAAGGCCGCUACAGAGAACUUUUCGGACGGAAACAAGAUUGGAAUGGGCGGCUUUGGUGGUGUUUACAAGGUACUCCGAUCCGUUACUUUCUUGGUUUGUUGAUUCUAGGUUUGUGUACUUUUCCAUAUAAUCACGUAGGCAUCACUAGCUAGUUGAAUAUCAGGCAGAGAUAGGUUAAGACUAUUUUUCUUCGUGUAACAAGUAAUUUCAAAUUUAAAUUUAUACUAAAUGUUACCAAUUUGCUGUCCCAAAGGGCAGGGAAUAAACUAAUUGGUAUUAGUCUGUGCUCAAACCCGCAAUCACGCCUAAAGCUAACCCUUGGCUGUUGUGUCCUCCGAUACCUCCUAUAAGUCCUCCUUUGUGGCAUUUUAGCUCAUGGCAAGAAGCCACGAAAACUCCUCUCAACUGUACUCUACAUUAGACAGGGAGUUUAGGGAAAGUGUCUUUCGUGCAACUCUAGAUCUAGCAUUUUCAUUGGUGGUUCCUUUUGAAAAUUGCCAUCUGUAGUGAGCCUGGUUUCUACGGUCCUCGAAGUUAGUUUUCACGUCACUCGUUUCUCUAGGGCAACUCCCAAUUGAAAGCAUCUCAAACCUCAAAGCACACACGUGUGGUGGUGCCCAUGCUUCAUUCCAGCCCAAAGACCAAAGUGAGCCAAAGAUGAAACUUGAUGGACUUUGAUGAAGAUUUUGAAGCCUGAGGCCAGGGCGCCAUUGAACUUUUGGCGAAACUUUAAUGCUAAGAUCAGCAGUUCUGCUUUUUCCCUUCUGUUCUGUUAAAAACAGAAAUCCACCAUCUGACAUGGUGUUUAUACUUCUCAGGGUGUCCUGCAGGACGGACGGCUAUACGAUGGAAUUAAUGUUUUUGUAGAUCUGAAGCACAAAAACAUAACUAGACCUCUGGGAUAUUGCCACGAAGUGAUAAUGGUCUUGAUCAGCCAUACUGGAAAAUAUGCUAGAGAUCAAAAAAGACAAUUUUGUUUUGUAGAAGAAUAAAUGGAAAACGGAAGUAUGGAGGACAUUAUCUGGGGUAUGUUGUUCUGUACAAGUACUGGUUAUAGUUCACCUCUGGACCAAGCAUCCCUUAACUUUGAUGUAACUGAUCAAUAGUUGCUUCUCGUUGCAUGAUAUGUGAUCUCUGCAGGGUCUCGAUUUAUUGGUUGGUCCUGCCGCUUCAAAAUGAUUGAGAGGAUAGUCCAGGGGCUACAUUACCUACAUGAGCAACGUGUCGUCCAUAUGGAUCUGAAACCAGAGAACAUCCUCUUCGAUUCUGAUAUGAAUCCUCGGAUCAGUGAUUUUGGCAUAGCUAGAAAGUUGGACCUUGGUGUUGAAAAAACCUUCGACAGCAGCAUAGGUGGCACAAUGUAAGACGUUGCUCCAAUAUAUAAAUACUAUUUCCAU